UUUACUUGUUUCUCUGUCGGAUCGAAUGAGAAAAGAUAAAAGGCUCAUGAAAUUGACGUGUGGGGUUAGGAAUGGUUAUAUUCUAUGAGUGAGCUCCAGUCCCUUCGUCUCAUAUUUGAUAUUUUUAUUUUCGUCGACAAGGGAGCCCAAAAAAUAACGACGUCGGAGCAACUGAAGCAUAUAAUUGCAACUCUUUUGUGAGCUUCCAUAUGUCCCAGGGUAUGUUAUUCUGCAAUCUUACUACCAUAUCAAAUAUCCUUCUAGUAAUUUUCUGGAAGAAAGUAUAGGGGCUUAUGAGCUACAUCUGACUUUUGUUUCACUUUUUUUUCUUAUUAUAUAUGUAAUUCUGUUGGAAUGCAUGCAAGUCAUAUGUUUUGUUAAAAUGCAUGCAUGAAAUAAACAUGUUGGAUGACUAGUGAAGUUAGGCUAGUCAACAUUCUUUGUGUAAAUUAGGCAAGUUAGGCAAGUUAGGAAAUUAGGCAAGUUAGGCUUAUGUUCUCUUUCUUUUCCUAUAUAAUGUUUCAUCUUGUAAUUGUUUUGAUAUGAAAUACACAUCCAAAAUUCUACAUGGUAUCAGAGCAGGAACUCGAAAUUCCUGGCUCUGUUGAUCGUUUCCGCUAAGUUUCUUUUACUCUAAGCCAAGAUGGCUGGAGAACAUUUACUCUAAGCCAAAAUGGCUGGAGAACUUUUACUCUAAGCCAAGAUGGCUGGAGAACAUUUACUCUAAGCCAAGAUGGCUGAAGAACAUUUACUCUAAGCCAAGAUUGGCUGGAGAACAUUUAUUCUAAGAAGAUGCUGGAGACAUUAUGCUGAGAGCUCGAUGGAUGCUUUAGCUCUACCUAACGUUGUUCAAGUUUUGCGGCACGAAGCCAUUUCAAGUUUGUUUGUUUGCGGCACGAACGAAGUCAUUACUGUUUUGUUUGCGGCACGAAGCCAUUUCAUUUCAGUGGGAAUUUGGUAACAUGGCGCAGCAAGAAGCAAAGCGUUAUUUUUACUAAACCUCUUCCUACGGUUCAGUUCAUGCGCAUUCUGUCCAAGCUUGGCUCAAGGAAUCCCCUCGAUCCAGCUUGAGGGGGAGUGUUGGAAUGCAUGCAAGUCAUAUGUUUUUUGUUAAAAUGCAUGCAUGAAAUAAAUAUGUUGGAUGACUAGUGAAGUUAGGCUAGUCAUUAACAUUCUUGUUAGUAAAUAGGCAAGUUAGGCAAGUUAGGCAACAAGUUAGGCAAGUUAGGCUUAUGUCUACUUUCUUUUCCUAUAUAUAUGUUUCAUUUGUAAUUGUUUCUUCAUGAAAUACACAUAAAAAAUUCAACAAAUUCAGAUUCUGAGCAUUCAUCAUCAAACACAAGACUUCAAAUUCGAUUUCUUCUUCAACAACAUUGCCUGUAAAAAAAGGGGUGAGUUAUUGAUUUAAACGCCAUUAAGUUGAAUUUGGUUGGAAGUCUAGUCAAUAUUAUUUGGUGUUUUAUUUUAAUAAUUUAAGCAAGCAAACGAGUUAUAUUUAUCGUGUUUUCGUUGUUUUGUCAUAUUCGUCAUUUUAACAGAUAAUAUUGUGUCAAAUAUGUUAUCCUAAUAAAUUCUUCACAAAUGACCCCAAUAACGACUUAAUUCGUUAACGAAUUGUGUCGCCUCACGCAAUGAUGAAGCCAAAAAUUAUCAAGAGGAGGGGCAAAAGUUAAACGGUUUAAGGUCCCCAAAAAAUGUGGACAUCCAUUCGAGGCCGAAGUCUAGUGUUUACAUGAAGAAUAUGUGAACUACCUCGAAUAUUUGUAGGAUAAUUUGCACUAACUGAAUAUUCAAAGUAGGAAUUGGACAUGACCUGACCUAGGCGGAUUAGGCGAAUUUGAAUUUUUUUAAUUAUAUAUUGUAUAAAUAAGUGUUUAUUUAUUAUAUACAUAUAAUAUCUAAGAACAUUGACUAUAAAACAUACAAUAUAUAAAAAUAUAAAAAAAAAAAUUUUACUUUGUUGUAUUUAACAGUAGGAGAUAAAAAUUCAAAUGAUUACAAGUUUUUAAUACUUUACAAAAUAUUUUUUAAAGUUCGUAUGAAUUUAUAGUAAAUUUGAAGAUAAAUAAUAAUGUAAAAAAAGUUAAAAAAAUAUUGAAAAAGUGGGCAAAUUAUUCAAACAAUAAUUAAAAAACAAAACAAAUCUCAAUAUAAUCAGCACAUUAAAUAGCUAGCUAUGUGGCCCAAACUUAUUGGGUACAAUAAUUGAAAAACCAAAUUAAAGUGGGUAACUUUGAAACGGCAUGUGGGGUGGGGUGGGUAAGAGAGAAAGUUACUUUUUAGUAGCUGCAAAAUUGGGUAUUUUGAAAAGAAAAAAAAAAGGAGAGCCUGGGCGUAGGAAACCCAGAACACCAAAAAAUCAGAUGGGACCAAAGGGACGGAACCACUGAUCCUAGACUUGAUUUUCGGCUUGGGGAGGGGCGACCCUUAUGUAGCUUUGCCCAUGAUCUCAUGCCUAUUUAAUAGGUCAUGCAAGAAAUUAAUAUACCUAAUACUAAUUUAAUAGUUGGGAACUCCCCCGUGAUAAGUGUUGAAUUGGAUCAGAGAUGGAAGUGUAUAUAAACUUUUGUAAUGUGAAUUAAAAUUACAGUGCGCUUGAGUGAUUUUUCAAAACCUUGUGUUUGUUAUUUGAAAUAAGAGUUUUCUAUUAUAUUUUUAAUUUUAUUCGUGCACCAAUUAUUUUUCUACCGAUCCCAAAUUCGAAGCGCAACUUUAAUAUAUGACCCCACCUCGCAAUUAUUGUCGGCGAGCAAAAUACAUCCUACGCGGUUUCAGUUCCACGGUUUACAAAUUGCCACGUACAUCACGUUAUCAUCUUUGUCCAAAGGUUUUUGUCUUGGGCUGAAAUUAUUGGUCUUUGUCAGAAAGUAUUCGUAAGGACCAACAAGUCCUGGUCUUUGAUUCAUGACUUCCAUCAUAACUUGCAAUUGUUUCUAAUUCUAAAGUGAAUUUCUCUAAUUUUACUUGUUUCUCCGUCAGAUCGAAUGAGAAUUGAUAAGAGGAUCGUGGAAUUGACGGAAGGGGUUAGGAAUGGCUAUAUUCUCCCUUCGUCUCAUAUUUGAUAUUUUUAUUUUCAUUGACAAAGGAGCCCAACAAUAACGACGUCAAAGCAACUGAAGCAUAUCAUUGCAACUCUUUUGUGAGCUUCCAUAUGCCCCAGGGUAUGUUAUUCUGCACUCUUACUACCAUAUCUAAUAUCCUUCUAGAAAUUUUUUGGAAGAAAGUAUAAGGGCUUAUGAGCUACAUCAGACUUUUGUUUCACUUUUUUUUUUGUAUGUAAUUCAUAUUCUGAGCAUUCAUCAUUAAACACAAGACUUCAAAUUCGAUUUCUUCCUCAACAAUUACGUAUAUUGAAAAAAUAAAAUGCAAAAUGAAAAUUUUUUAUUUUCUGUAAAGCUUAUAACAAUUUAUUGAAAAAAAAAUAAAAGUAUUCAACAAGUCUAUUACAAUAUCUUGAAAAAAUAAAAUGCAAAGUGAAAGUUAUCUAUUUUCUGCCUAGACAGGUCUAGGCGGUGCCUAACUAGGUUUAGGCGUCCUUGCUUAAUUUUCAAAUUCCUAAGCAUUAAUUGGAUCGAUGGCCAACCGCCUAGUGCCGCUGGAAUUUUUAGAACAGUGGUUAACGUGUUGACCCCAAGACCUGUUAUUUUCGUGUUUUUCAGCGUCUGAUUAACGGGUCGUGCAAAAAAUUGUGUGGUAUUUGUGUAGAGUCCAAUCUACUAUACCCAAAACAUUCCGUUCUUUUCGACGUGUGUACUUUCAUUUAACAACAAUUUUGUGGUACUUGCCAACUGCCACCUACAAAGAAUUGAAACUUUUGGUUAUCCUUUAACACUGACUAAAAUCCAUGACAUUUGGUGGAAGAAUUAGAUUGAAUGAGUUCGAAAUUUUCAAUCAUAGAUUUUUGUUAUGGAACCAAAUUCUUUAAUUAUGUGUUCUUGCAAAAAAGACUCGAGAAGUAGUUUUCGGACUUUUGAAGUUUGGCCCUUUGUUAAACUGAAUGAAAGUUAAGAACAGAAAAUUAAAUUUCUUGUGUACCUUAUUUAGAUCUUGAUUUCUUUUGGCUUGUGGUUUUGUUUUGAAAACUAAGCACAUAGUUUGUUAAAUACAAAAAUUUAUCCAUUGCGUUCUUUUUUUCUUUUUCUGUUGUUUUGAAACUUGUCUUUUCUGCAGACAGAUUGCAUACCAAGUAUCGAAAGCCAAAAUGGAGUCAGCUGCAUCACUAUUGGUUGGGAAAAUUGCGGCCAUUCUUGAGAACGAAGCAUCUUCCAUAGCGGCAGUCCGUGAUGAAGUUGAUGAGCUUAAGCUGGAGCUCAUAAGCAUGAAAUCUUUCUUAAUAGAUGCUGAAGGCAAGGAACCACAAACAGAAGGAGAGAGAACGUGGGUUACAAGCGUCAGAGAUUUGACCUGCGAUGCUGAAAAUGUCAUUGAUGAGUUCCUGUAUCACAUAUAUGACAAGCAAAGUGCGACUCCAUUUGCAAAAUUGCUCCACAGAACCAUUUACUUUCCAAAGAAUCUUUGGUAUAGGCAUCGAAUAGCCAAAAAAUUACAGAAAAUCACGAAAAAGAUCAAAGCCAUUCCAGAGAGGAAUGAGAGAUAUGGUGUCUCUACAAUAGAAGGAACAAGUUCGGGUAGUGUUCCCAGAUGGGUGAAGAACAAAGCCGAGUCUUCUCUUUAUAUUAUGGAAGAUGAAUUAAUCGGCAUUGAAGACAAGAAGCAAACGUUAAUGGGAUUGUUGAUGAAUGGCGAGGAAAAUGAAAUGGUUGUGUCUGUGGUCGGGAUGGGAGGAUCAGGCAAGACAACUCUAGUUGCCAAUAUCUUCAACAACGAAAAUGUAAAGCGGCAUUUUGACUGUUAUGCAUGGAUCACUGUUUCUCAAACUUUUGUGAUCGAAGACUUAUUCAAAAAUCUGAUCAAGCAAUUCCACCAAGGAAGAAAGGAAGAGGUGACAGCACAAUUGGAUUCCAUGAGUUACAAAGAAUUGUUAGAGAUGUUGUCGGCAUACUUGAAGUCUAAAGGUACCUCGUUGUAUUGGAUGAUGUGUGGGAUAUUAAACUUUGGCAAGAAAUAAAGAUACCACUUCUUAAUAGGCAUCAUGGAAGUCGAAUCAUGCUUACAACUCGAAAGAAAGACAUAGCAUCCUAUUCUUUUGAAGUUGAAAGUCGUCCUAUUGAAAUUGAACCCUUGGGAAACAAUGAAGUUUGGGAGCUCUUUAGCAAGAAAGCAUUCUCAACUUACGAUAAUAAAUCUUGUCCACCAGAGCUUGAAUCCUUAGCAUGGAAACUUGUGGAUAAGUGUGAAGGCCUACCUCUGGCAGUGGUAACUUUAGGUGGUCUAAUGUCUUCCAAGAGGUCAUCAUCGGAAUGGAGAAGUGUAUAUAACAGCUUAAAUUGGCACUUGACUAACAAUCCUAUGCUAGAACCAAUGAGCAGCAUCUUGUUGCUUAGUUUCAACAAUUUGCCCAACCGGUUGAAGCCCUGUUUCCUAUAUUGUGGCCUUUUCCCAGAAGAUUAUCUCAUCAAAAGAAACAGGUUGAUCAGGUUGUGGAUAGCUGAAGGGUUUGUUGAACCAAUUGAUGGGGUCACACUAGAAGAAGUUGCAGAGGGCUAUCUUGUGGAACUUAUUGUUCGUAGCAUGCUACAAGUUGAAAAGAAUGAAGCUAGAGGACUAGGAGCAUGUAAAAUGCAUGAUCUUGUGCGUGAGCUUGCUUUGUCGACAUCAAAAAAGGAAAAGUUUGGUGCUACGUAUGUUGGCAGAGAAAUAGUUGAUAAAGCUGAAAUCCGGCGAUUGUCAAUUCAAACAACUGAAAGAGAAAUUAAUUCUUGCACAGGUAUGUCAGAGCUUCGCUCCUUUAUUGUCUUUGGCGCGUUAAAGAAAUUGCCUUCUGGAUUCAAGUUGUUGAGAGUUCUAGAUCUGGAGGGUGCCCCAAUUGAUAGAUUUCCAGAUGAACUAGUGUACUUGUUCAACUUAAGAUAUUUAAAUUUGAAGGGAACUUUAAUUGAGGAGCUUCCAGAAUCCAUCGGACGGCUUCGCAACCUUCAAACCUUGAACAUCGUGACAGUAAGAUAAAGGCACUUCCGAAAGCAAUCUGCAAGUUAGUAAACCUACGCCAUCUAAUCAUGCAUCGUUACACUGGUGAUCAUUAUAGCUUUAUAUAUGUCAAUGGGACAAAACCAGCAUCCGAUCUAAGUAAAUUACAGAAACUGCAAUUUUUGCGAUGUGUUGAAUCAGAAGGAAAGAUUAUUAAAGGCAUCAGGAAUAUGACCCAACUUACAAACCUCGGGAUUACAAAUGUGAAAGCAAGUGACGAGAUGGACCUAUGUGACUCCCUUCAAAAGUUAGAGCUCCUUCACUCUUUGAUUUUAAUGGCAAGUGAUGAAGAGGAGUUUCUUCGAGUUAAUGCACUACGUUUGCCUCCUCCAUACCUUCAAAAGGUUUGUUUGGCCGGAAAACUAGAAAGGGUACCUCUUUGGUUUGGUUCACUCCAAAACCUGACGUGUAUGAUUCUAUAUUGGUCUAGACUUGAAGAAGAUGUGCUACCUCACAUUCAAGCAUUGCCGAAUCUUGAAGGGCUUGAGCUAUAUAAUGCAUAUGUUGGCGAAAAAUUAUGUUUCUCCAGAGGCUUCAUAAAGCUUAAGCGUUUGGAAUUACUUGACUUCCCCUUAUUGAAUAGUAUAGCUAUAGAGAAAGGGGCGAUGCCAAAUCUCCAGGUCUUACGGAUUAGGCGUUGCGCGGAGAUGAAGACAUUGCCGCAGGGCAUCGAGUUCCUUGCUGACGUAGAACGCUUGAUUCUGUUUUCUGUUCCAAUGGAACUUAUGGAGUCCGUAAAAGGAGGCAUGGAUCAUCCAAAGGUACAACACAUUCCUGAAAUCAACAUGUAUUACGAGAGACAAAAUAGGUGGUGUCAUGAAAGCUUUUCUGGUAGAAGGUACGCACUCUUUUAUCCUUGCAUAAAAAUUUAAUUAAUGCUAGACUUACUAUAUAUUUUGUAUCACAUUUGUAACCCCUCUUUUAUAAAGGUAAGGCCCAUUGACAUAUGUGGGUCUCAUUUUUAUUAGAGAAGUGGUACAAAUGUGGUAUGAAAAAUGUGGUAAAAGUAAGUUUUUGUAAAAAUUUGUAAAAAAAAAUUUCCCCAACGUAAUCAUUUGAACUAUUAUGUUAGAAAGUUAAAAGGUAUGUGAUUUUUAUACUCCUAUUUUUUUUUCUUAUGCUCUCCUCUUUUUUUUGUUUGUUAGUGUUUUAAUUUAUUCAAUUGUUAGGCUACGAAAAAGAGGAAGUAGUGCAUCGGAGUGUAAAAAUCAUUUUCCCUUACAAUUUGCCUGUCCAAUCUUAUACAGAAGUCUGGCAAAGACAUAAACAUGCAUGCAUUGAGAUUUUAUUCGAUAACUGUGUUUUUUUUUGUUUUGUAAUAUCUUUUUUGUAGAAUCAAGCCUCAGAAGCACUUGUGAAACUGCAGUGAGUUCUCCUUUCUGCCAGUUGAUUUUGCAGUGAAUCUCGACUUUCGUAAUAGUAACAUAGUUGGCUAUACACGUGUUGAGUCAUUUGCCCUGCAAGGAAGAAUUCGUUCGUUGUUUGUGUGUUGUGAAGUUGCAAACAUUGAUCGAUCUUGGUUUCUUAUUUGCCCUUUGUGAAAUUGAAUAAUGCCCAAGAUUCUAUUUGUGUAACUAAAACUUAUAUUAUUGAUUGUUUGCGUGUGUUUUGAUGUAAUAAUAUUGGUUUGGAACUGAAUCUAUCACUGAUGAGAAUAAUGCCCAAGAUUAUGUUUGUGUAGUAUGAACUUAUAUUAUUAUUUGAUUGCGUGUAUUUUGAUGUAAUAAUAUUGGUUUGAAACUGAAUCUGUCACUGAUGAGAUCAAUUCUAACUAAACCAAUGAUUAUGACCCAUUUUUCAUUUUCGAUAUUUAAUGUUUUUAUCAAGUUUUCAAAUAUAAAUUUUGUGGCCGAUGUUUUAGGGGGGUGUAUUCAAUUGAGAUUUUGAGAGAUUUUAAUUCUUUUAAUGAAUCUAGAGGUAUUCAAUCAGGAUUUUCAGUGAUUCUCUAAAAUUCAAGGUGUAUUCAAUUAGAAUUUUAAGAUAGUUUAUUAAAAUCCUUAGAAAUCCGGGUGUAUUCAAUUAAGAUUUUGUUGACCCUAGAAACUACAAAGCCUAUGUGGCGCGCAUGCCGAGUAAUUAAUAAGCUAACUACGUCAUUCGGUGAAUGCGGGGCGUGCCAACUCGUCGGCCGAGCUCGGCCGAGGAGUAAAUUUUGUUGAUGUUGCGUUGGGUGCGCGACUGACUUCUGCGUCUUGCGAUUGCGGCCGAGAAAGGAACACGUCUCGGCCUUUUGGGCUCUCGAACCUGAAGACAAGGUUACUAUUCUUACGAAGUUCAAUAUCAAAUUCGGCUUUCAAUGUGCCGAAUGAAAUAACUGUAACACCUCACUUCGCCGAGAAGGCUGAUGAGAUGACCUCAACCAAUAAGGAUUUAGAAACCCUUCUCGACGGAGACUUGGAUAGGUAAUCAACCGCUCUCGCCGCAGUGUUGUUGAUGCCAACGGAAGAUACUGCGAGAACGACUAAUUCUACGGUGACAAAGCUAUCUAUGCCGACUUAAGAUAUCACCGGUUGCUUCCACAGUGCUGUUGAUGCCAACGGAAGAUGUGUCAGCGAAAAGGAAAAAGAAAAAUCACAAGUUGUGAGAAUUUGCGCAGGGCAAUUUUGUGUUGAUUUGCAGGGGCUUUGAAUGAUGUGCAACCUCUUAUAUUUAUAGCAAUGGCUCCCCCCAAGGUCGAGUUAAAAACCUACUCGGACUAGGUUUUUCUUUCCCUGAUCAGCAUCAACUCAACCAGUCCUACCUUCACUAGGACUGUGAACCUAGUCCUUUACCUGAGCUGGAUUCACUUCCGGGUCUUGCCGAGACUCCUUAUUGCACUAGGAUUCGACCUCUUGCGUUAUGACCUAGCCGACCUAGGUUUGGAGGCCCACAUACUGAACGAUCCAUGGUAUUCUUGUCGCAAGGCUUCCCGGGCCGAGAAUGACCCUACACUCGGCCCAAACUGUUAUUUUGGGCCCAAACAUUGCCCCCUCGCUUCUGAGGUCCUCGGCCUGAAUUCUUUUGGCCGAGUUUCGGCCUUGAAGAAGCGAAUCUACCACUUAGAACCCUAAUGCCCGAGUUCCAAGGCGCAUUUAUUGAACAUGAUUGCACGAUCUUGAUCCUGUUAACCGAACCCGCCACGUGGCGUCCUCUAACACGACCAAUCCUAAUAAUGACGUCCAAGGCGUGCGGCUGCCUGAACCGUCUUGCCAUUAUGACCACUAUCUCAAUCCGCGAGCCACUUCCUCAAGUCGUGAGCCCACUUGUCAUCGUGCAGGCGUCGAAACGUCUUCCGCCAUUAAUUUCGCCGUCACACGCAAUCGUGCGCCCCCAACAUCUGAAACCUUCGGUCUUUUCAACUGCAUUUCCCAAAUGUUCAUCAUGAUCAACGAUUCUUUCGGUCGAUUUUGCCCUUUGUUUUGAAUUUCAAACGAUUGCCCUUCCUGCCAAAAGCCUAUAAACUGAAACUCUCUCAUUCGCACUUUACGCUCCCAAAACUUUCUAAAAACCCUUGCUCUUAUUCUCCAGCACAUUUCUUUUUCCAGGUCUUCGUCUUCAAAUCCCCCAACCCAGAAAACCCUUUUACACCGUGCUUCCUUCUUACAAUGGCGUCCUUCAUCUCCAAGCUUUCCAGGGAACGUGACCAACAUCAGAAGAUUCUUGAUCGGAGCUCGAUCAAGACUAUACGGUUUGAAAGUGACAUGAGCACCGUCCACCAAAUCUUAGGUCCUCUCUUCAAGGCUACAAUACCGCCGACCAUUACUGGUCUUCUCCAGGAGCACUGCCUAACACCCUUGCUACAAGGGUUUGAAUAGUCGAGAUGGGAUGCGGCGAAACCCCAAGGCUCCUGGCCCUCGACGACCACAUCCUGGGCAGCCUGGGUUGUUCGAAUGGAACGGCUCUUCGGCGAGCAAUGGAAAGCCCUCGGUAUCUACGACGCCAUCCUCCUCUCGUCAAUGGAUGUCGUUCUCGACAAGGAGCUUCUCCUAGCCGCCUUGUGCUUCUGGUGCUCGGCCACCAACACCCUGGUUCUUCCUCUUGGUCCCAUCGGUCCCACCAUCCUUGAUGUCACCGCCAUUCUGGGGAAUUCGGCAACCGGGAUCCCUAUCGACGCGGCCCUCUCUGGGCACCUGUCGAAUAUUGAUCUGAGGAUGCUUUUUGAUCGACGAGCCUUCGAGGCCUUGAACCGUGACGGUCAAAUCUCGUCGAAAGAAGACAUCCAGAAGCUCCACAAGAACUUCUUUAAUUACAAUACCCUCUAUCUUCACUUCGCCGGCCGAUGAGAGGAGGACCUGCGAGAGGGAGAGCAUGAAGCCUUCCUCUUCUAUUGGUACAACAAGUACAUUUGUUGUACCAAGUCAAACAAAUGCUUGGUCGAGAAUAUGCCGGUAACCGAGGCCCUGGCCAGUGGUCACGUCCUGGCACUGAGCUCCAACAUUCUCGCCCAUCUCUUCCGCUGCCUGGCCGAGGCGACCCUCCACAAAAUCGAUCCACACCAGAAUGGUCCCCUCUGGGUCUUCCAACUCUGGUUACAAGUUUACUUCGCCUCCCUUCGGCCGGCCAUAGCUGACUUCUCACCAACGGAGGCGCUUGGACCUCAGCUGGCCUCUCGACCAACACCUCCCCAUCAAGCCAAAGAGGUAUUUUGGUACCUCUUCGCUCUCGACGACUUCUCCAACGACGAGUUCCUGAUAUGUCGUCGUCGAGACUACCCUUCCUCCAUCAGGCUGCCUACCUCUACGUGGGGCUCGGAGCAGGACGCCGUUCUUCGUCAGACCUGGGGGUCGUUUGUGCUUGCUCGCAACCUCCCUCUCGGCUGCGAUGGGAAACGGUCGGGUUGGGAAGUAUAUCAUCCGAACUUCCUUGCCCGACAGUUCGGCUAUCUUCAGGGUUGCCCCGUCCCCCUUCUCUCCUCCCGAACAGUCCUAAGCCGUGGACGUGAACCUCGUUCCUCGAAGAAAGAAUGUAAAACUGCCGCGAUGGAGUUCCAAGAGUACUGCCAAAAAUUCCGCCUUCGACCGGCCACCCUAGAAACCUAUUGUACUGACACCUUCGGUGAGUGGUGGGAAAAUUACACCCAGGAGUUCUUUGGUGCUCCGGUCGAAGAGGUGCUGAACAAACUCUUCGGCGACCGACCUAAGAAAGCCUCGGCCCCACAAACUCAAGGUAAUUGUUUCAUUUCUCCUAUUUUCCUUCAACCUUGCAUAUUGAUUUGCCUUACUGAAUUGUUUUUUAUCUUCUUAGGUAGUCGGCCUUCGAGAAAAACGGAGGCUGUUGCCGCGGCCAUGGUCGAGAAAAAAUCGGCCGUGGUUAAAAGGGAUAAGGCUGCUGGUCGGGCCGUGCUGACCAAACGCCCUCGCCAAGAGGCCGAGCCGGUCGUCGAACCCCCACCGCCUGGCAAGCGGGUAAAACAGCUGGCAAAGAAGGGUGCACGGGAGAUCCACGUCAUCUCCAAUCAAACCACAGGGGCGACGACUCCCAGUGUUUCCCCUUCUCCUGCCGUUGUUCAACCCUCAGUCGAGAAACAACCCGCCCCGGUCGCAGCGACAGUUCGAACGCAGCCUAUCUCUGGGACUGGUACACCAGUUGUGUCUCCCUCCGUCGAGGAAACACCCGUUCCAAAAAAGGUGGUUUCUGCGACCGAGGGAACAGCCCCUAAAAAUCCAAAACCCUUGGUCUUCAUUCUGGAAGAGAGUGAGGGGAGCGACGAGGUCCCGCUGGCAGAUCGUCCUCACUCUCGUCGGCAACCUCUCCCAAGGUCCGAGAUGGUGGUUCAAACCGGCCCCUCCACGGCUGAUCGUGGUAAGCGCCCGGUCGAGGAACCGACGGCGGCGGCCGAACCCCUCGCUCCUUCCCAGGACCAGGAUGUCCCUGCCUCAUCCGAAACAGCUAUUCCGGUCGGCCCAUCUGCAGCCGACCGUGGCAAAUGCCCGCUCGAGGAACCCGAGGCAACGGCGGAAUCGCCCGUUCAUCCUCAAGACCAAGGCUUCCAUAUUCCUCCACAGGAGGUUACCUCGGCCUUCGUAAGUAUCUUCGACCAUCUUUCCUUGAUUGCUUUUUUGCUUUAGAAUUCUAAACGAGGAAAAUAAUAAAUGUCAGGUGCCUGUACAUUCUUUUCACCGACAAUUCUAUGCGCCGAAGGGCGUUAUCUAUAUUUCUUGGCCGCCUCAGUGGCCAUCAAACGUAGAUAACCUCCAUCGGCCGCGUGAACUGAGAAGCAACCUGAGACACUGGGCUCGGCCAUUGAGUUCUUUAGGUUUGAGCAACGAUCCUGGGGACAUGGCCGAGGUCUCCUCUCGGCAGGUUAAAAAAACGAAACCUUCUUACUAUUCUCGCCCUGCAUUCCUUUAAGCCUAAACUGAUUUGUAUAUGCAGGCUUCGUGGGAGGUCGAAUUCAAAGCCUUCCUCUCCAGCACAACUGCCGAGUCCGGCCCUUCGGCUGCUCCGACUGAGGCUACCGAUCCAACCGCUCUAACCCAGCUGCGAGAAGUUCUAUCGCUUUCAGCACCGCAAGUACUCAAGCGCAACGGUCUUGAUCUACUUGGCGUGUGUCUGAACGAUCUUGGGGCCGACGGUCGCCUGAGCGGAAAUGCCAUCGUUCGGGCAUCGUCUGCUUUGGAGCGGGUUCGGGAGACAUUCAGUGUCUUCCAGACCGCCCUAAAGGCCGAACAGGACCUGCAAGCUACCACGGCCGUUCAAGAUACUCUCCGUCCGAAAAUCGACUCUCUAAGGGCAAAAGGAGAAGUACUAGCUGAGCUCGACCGUCAGAUGGCCGAACUGGCAAAACGUCGAUCGGCCAUCGCGUCCGAGCUUGCUAGAGACUUCGAGUCGGGCAAAAAAAGAUCGCCUAACUGAGUACGCGGCGACAACAAAGCGGGUCGAGCGGUUGAAGCUGGACAAAAAGAAUCGGCAAGCUGAAGUUAUCAUGGCCGAGGUGCGGUGGUUGGAAUUGAAGGCCCUUCUCAGCACCCUCUUACCUUCUUCCCCUUGAAUGUACUUAGUUUUAUCCUGAAUGACCUACUUAGCUUGUACAUGCUCAUCAAUCUUAAUGAGAUGGUUUUGUUUACUCUCACAUUUCCCACGUUACCGGGUAAUACUUUUUCAAAAACUUCCCAUUGAUCGGUAAUCUGUGAACUACACCGGUUCGGUCUUUAAGAUGAUACGCCCCAUUUCCGUAUACUUUAUGCACAAUGAACGGCCCUUCCCAAUUCGGGGACCACUUGCCGAACCUAGGAUCUUUUAGUCCUACGGGCAACACCGUUUGCCACACUAAUUCACCCUCGCCGAAUGUUUUCUGUCGCACCUUUUUAUUAUAGGCCCGCUCGACAAUCUGUUUUUGUGUGCCACCAAUAAGUUAUAAGCGUCAAGUCGCACUUCUUCCAAAUCUUCUAGUUCCUGUCCCAUGGACUGAUUAUAUUCGGCGCUAAACAAACUACUUUGUUCAAUUAAUCGCAACGAAUUUAUGCUCAACUCGACUGGUAACAUUGCAUCGUGUCCGUAGGUUAAUGCGUACGGGGUUGUCGCAGUCGCCGACCGGGGCGACGUUCGGUAUGCCCACAAUGCCUCGUUCAACCUCAAAUGCCACAUGCCAGGCCUUUCUUUUAUUAUUUUUUCGAGGAUGCCGAUCAACACUUUAUUACUUGCCUCGGCCUGCCCAUUCGCCUGUGGAUAAUACGGUGUGGACUGUUCCAGCCGAAUUUUCAAAUUUGCCGUGUAUUCUUUAAACCUUUCGGCUGUGAAAAUUGUUCCAUUGUCGGUUAUGAUCGUUUCCGGUACACCGAACCGGGUCACAAUGUGUUCCUCCACGAAGUCGCAAACUUUUUUAGAUGUUAACUCGGCGUAUGAUUUUGCUUCGACCCACUUAGUAAAGUAAUCAGUUGCGACUAUUAUCCAUGCAUGCUUAGCAGCUCCAGAAGUCGGCGUGAUUUUGCCGAUUACGUCCAUGGCCCAUCCUCUAAACGGCCAUGGCUUAAUGACCGAAUGUAGUGACUCGGCCGGGACCCUUUGUAUAGGCCCAUGGAUUUGGCACUGUACGCAUCCUCGUGCAAACUCGAUACAAUCUUUCAGUAUUCUUGGCCAAAAAUAGCCGUGUCGUCGGAGUAGCCAUCGCAUUUUCCGUCCGGAUUGAUGAGCUCCGCAUACCCCUUCAUGAACCUCUGCGAUCGCCCGAGCAUUCUCUUGGGGGCCGAGGCAUAGCAGUAACAAACCAUCUUCAUCCUUUCGGUAUAACUCGUUCUGGUACGUGACAUAGUUCGUGGCGUGCACCCGUGUCCUGCGACUAUGUUUCCCGUUAUGAUUGCCAAUGUACUGCAUAAUGGGUGUUCUCCAAUCAUCCGGUAUCACCUCGGUCGUGCAAAUCUCGACAGAGUCCUGCCGAUCUAACAACGAAGGUAAGGACAUAACCCUGGUGCGUAUCACGUCGUCCCGUCGGAAGAUUUGCUGGUUAACCAAGGCCGGGUAUAACUGUCGUAUCACUGGUAUCUCUUGGCCUAGUUUUCCCCCCAAGAGUUGUGCGCCGGAGGCAAUUUGAGCCAAUUCAUCCGCGUCGGUAUUAUAACACCGGGAAAUAUGUUGAAAUGUAAUACCGUCGAAGGAUUCGGCCAAAUAGCUGGCGACCAUAUGGUAAGGUGCCAGGGUACAACUCAUGCAACGAAAGGAACCAUUAAGUUGGUUAAUCACAAGCUCGGAGUCACCGAGGACGAGGGCGCGGGUUGCCCACAGGUCAUGGAGAAUUCCAAGGUCGACGAUUAGGGCUUCAUAUUCGGCCUAAUUGUUGGUGCAAUCGAAAUCCAACUUAAGUGAAAAGAACUAGCGAUCGUGAUUCGGGGAUUGAAUGACAAUUCCCACGCCCGCCGAAGAUGACGUACUGGAGCCGUCAAAGUACAUCGUCCAGUGGUUGUCGCGCGUCUGAACCAUGCCGAUGUCAACGUCGUUGCCCCCAAAACCGUAUGGGGAGGGAUGUUGAGCAAGGAAAUCAGCCAAUGCUUGGCCCUUGACGGCUUUCUGAGCUACAUAUUGCAAGCUAAACUCGGACAGUGCCAUGGUCCAUUUCCCAAUGCGGCAUUUUACGAUCGGUCGGGUGAGCAUGUAGCGGAUGACGUCGGUCUGCGCAAUAACUUGGGUGACCGAUGGGAGCAUAUAAUGCCGAAGUUUGGAAGCGGCGAAAAAAACGGCUAGGCACAGCUUCUCGACGGCUGGAUAAUUGAUCUCUGGUUGACUGAGAUUACGACUGAGAUAAAAAAUAGCCUGUUCCCGUCCGGCGUCGUUAUCUUGCGCGAGGAGACAACCGAUGGACUCUUCGGCCGCCGAGAUAUAGAGCUUAAGAGGCUUACCGCGCCAGGGAGGAACCAAGACAGGUGGGUUCGUGAGAGAGACUUUGAUUUGCGUAAACGCCGCCUGAUGCUCGUCGUUCCACACAAAUUUAUCUGAGUCCUUGAGUUUUAAGAUUGUGGAAAACGCUUUCAUUUUUCCUGCCGAGUUGGCAAUAAAUCGGCGGAGGAAAUUGAUCUGUCCGAGUAAAGACUGGAGCUGUUUCUUCGUCGUUGGGGGUGGGGCAGUGAUGAUUGCGCGUGCCUUAUUCUCAUCGACUUCAAUCCCACGAUGAUGUACGAGGAAACCAAGAAAAUUCCCGGCCGAUAGACCGAAUGCACACUUGGCAGGAUUCAUCUUGAGGUUGUGCUGACGCAUGCAGAGGAAAGCCUGUCGGAGAUCGUCCAAAUGUGUCUGUCGGCGUUUAGAUUUGACGACAACAUCAUCGAUGUAAACUUCGACGAUGGUGCCAAUUAAAUCAUGGAAUAUGGUGUUCAUCGCCCGUUGGUGCGUGGCGCCGGCAUUCUUGAGGCCGAAUGGCAUGACAACCCAUUCGUAAGUGCCGAAUGCCCCCGGGCAACGGAAAGCAGUUUUGUGCACAUCGGCUUCGGCAAUAAAUAUUUGGUUGUACCCGGCAUGUCCAUCCAUAAAGGAUAAGAUCGCAUGAUUCACCGCGACGUCGAUUAACAGAUCUGAAAUCGGCAUUGUAUACUCAUCUUUGGGAGUUGCCAGAUUCAGAUUUCGAAAAUCGGUGCAGAUGCGCAGUGCACCAUUUUUCUUUAAUACAGGAACGAUAUUUGCCAACCAUUCGACAUAUCAAGCUGUCCGAAUGAAUCCGGCUUUCAAAAGCCGAACUAGUUCGUCCUUGAUACUGAGUUGUACUUCGGUCGAGAAUCGACGAGGCGGUUGACGGAAAGGUUUAAAUCCGGGCUUAAUACGUAAUUCAUGCUCAACCAGAGUACGAUCUAAGCCGGGCAUUUCAUGAUAACUCCAAGCAAAACAAUCUUUGAAUUCCGUAAGCAAGGUACGAAACUCGUCUUUCAUUCGUUGGGGAAGUAAAGCACUAAUAAACAAAAGCCGUGGGUCAUCGGCCGUCCCAACAUUAAUCUCUUCUAAAGGGUCCUUAACUAGGGGCCGACGAUCUUCGAGCUCGGCCGGGACGGCUCGAAUUUUAUCAAAAGAUAAUACAGGCCCAUUAUCUCCCUUAGCAAGGAACUCGACGAGGUUGACGCCCGAAUUGGGUUGCUUAGAUAUCGUAUACCAAUGGGCCAGCAGUCGUUCCAUAGUAGAUGAAACCGCGGCCCUGCGUGUUUCCCGAUCGGCGUCAAACAUCAGCUUCGGGGAGGAAGUUGGCUAAUCCGAGUCUCGCCGAAUCCUGCUGGACAAUCUCGGCGCCAACCUCGAUAGCUUUCUGAACGGAAAUCCGAGUCGGCCGUCCCUCUUCAUUGAAGCCUUGCAAAGUAAUAUAGCCGACGUGAUCGUCAUAAUACCGUGCUUGGAUCAUGUUAGCUUCGAAGGGCUGGCUAUCAGCCGGAUGAACAGUGACCGAUUUGCCGUCCCAAAAAACAAGCACUUGGUACAAUGAGGAAGGAAUACAACUGGUUUGAUGAAUCCAAUCUCGGCCGAGCAGUACAUUAUACUCGGUUUUGGAAUUAACCACGAAAAAGGCGGUCAUGUGGGUGCGACCGGCAAUAUUUAUAGUUAACGGAAGUACACAUUUGGUGUGGGAUUUGUCACCGAUAAAACUACUCAUUGUGAUUCCUGACGGAAUAAGCUCGUCAUUUGAACGGCGUAAGGCCUUCAUGAUAUUCAGAGGCAUGAUAUUGACGGUAGCUCCACAGUCGACAAAAACUUUAGAAACUGGAUAUCCCUCGAUGUGGGCCCUCACAUACAGUGGCUUUAAAUGGUGAAGCUUGGCCGACGAUGAACGAGGGAACAAUUCGGCCAAAGCGGCCUUUAGACUAUCAUCUUUUGCUGUUGACUCGCCUUCAGCAAUCGAUACAAAAUCAACAUGGUCGGGUUCCUCGGCAACCACAUCUCCAUCAAGGAAAUUUGGUUAAGCCGUGCUUGAUUGAAAAUCGGCGGGUAACACAUGGACCAUACUGAUUUCCAUAUUAUCCAGGACUGACGGACCCAUCUGGUCAAGACCCUCCUCGUUUGGUUGGUCGGCGACUACGGACUCAGGUGUCGUCAGAGUCGGACAACGAGACUCUUCUGUCCCUUCUUCAAUGACGUCACUCGGCGGAGCUGCUUCGGCCACUUGUUGGUUCUGCGUGACCGCCUCAGGUAAGGUUGAGAUUGACAAUGAACUUGGGGUCAGGACCUGAACCUGCUCCUGGUAAUGUAGCCGAGCAUCCCUAGUGUCGAGAUAAGCAUCCAGACGAGCAAUACGUGCGAUUUCAUCGGUUGUAAGGCCGAAGAGAGAAACCGCCGAAAAUACUUCAAAGUGAUAUCGUAAAUACUGAAGGUCUUCCAGCGAGAAAGGAAGGUUGGCUACAUCGAUAUCGGUGUACGGGUCGACUUCAAAUCUAAAGACACGAGCUUCUCGUAUGUGCUGGAACCUUGCUUUCAAUCCUGGAUCUGAGGUCUUCUGGAUGAUCCGCUCAGCAUCCGGACAAGUUAGGACAAGAUCAAUGGUGUCUUGGCAUGCCUUCGGCAAACCAUACAGAUCGUUGGCUGAAUGUUUCUUAUGAAAUUCUCGCAUAUAUUCCAAAGACUCCCCAAGGAACGGGGGAUGCAAAUUUCGUCGAAUUUUGACCAAAGGUUCUUGUAUAGCCGGCGGGGAUAAUUUGCUUUCGGCCUCUUGCCUGAAAUGUUCAAGGCGUGCCUUCAUCUCCCCUGGUCGAAUGAGAAGUUUGAUCCGUUUAUCAGCUUCUUUAAACGUGGUCUCGACAUCUCGAUCGACCAGCCGUUUCCCCUGAACCAACUCUGUCAUAAUUGCUGGAGGUGGUCGCUCAUCAUCAGUGGCAGCUGUGUCCUUCGGCCGCCACUUAGGGGCCGAAGUUUCUUGGGCUGUUCGGCGGUGAGCCAUGCAAUCUAUCCGUUGAUGCCGGCGUUUCUGAGAUUUGGACAACGCGGUGUAGACGCCCUUCGAAGAAUGAUAUGUGUACCAACGUUGAUCUCUAGGCUCGGGAGGCUUGAAGGUCUUUUGGCUCCGCGAUGAUUCUGAACUGCUAGAAUUACGCUUAUGGUAAUCAUCGUCAUAGAAUGAAGCAUCAAAAUCGAGGCGCCGCCUGACCGGGAGUGUCUCUUCCAUCCGUACUUUAGGACCGAGCCUCUCAAAAACCCCGUGAUGUUAGCCUUCGUUGGCUACCUUUUGCCGAGUUGCGGCCGCAGGUUGCGAAAGAAAGCUUCUCCUUUGGUUCACUGUUGACCUUCGCUCUACAUUUCCUGCACAAAACCACCAUCCCACUGUCUUCAUCGGUGCUAUAAUCCAUCAUAGGUUUGACAAUAGCUGGCCCCGUUAAAGCCGUAGGUGGUUUGUUUGAACGAAAAUCGGCCAUGAACCGUGGCCGAAAAUUCUGAUUCCGCGGGCGUUGCGUCUCAACCACUUCGGCCUUGCCUUUCCCUUUGUCCUUGGGUAGGUACGCGUCGACCAUAUUUACUGUUGCCGUGGGGAACGGAUCAGUAUCAACACUCAUCCUCUUCUCGGGAAACUUCAGUUUGCCAUUAUCAAUCCAGCUUUGGACGUUAUCGCGAAAUACAACACAAUUGUUUGUCGUAUGUUUGCUUGAAUUGUGGUAUUUGCAAUACACAUUUCCUUUAAGCUCUUCGGCCUUAGGAAUGUUAUGACCAGGCCGAAGCUUGAUGAUUCUUGCUGAUAACAGUUGCUCGAAAAUUACGUCAGCCUUGGUAAUAUCAAAAGUAUAAACCUUUGACGGUUUCAAUGUUCCUUCAGUGGCCGAGCGACUUUUGGCUUCUCUAGAAUCAACCUGAGUCAAUGCCUUGCAAACGUAUGGCUUAUCGAUCACUAUCUCAGCCGCAUCCACACUAACGCAUUCAUCCUCGGUUGAUGCAUAAUUGACAGUAGGGUUUUUGUAAAUCGUUCCCCGAGUUGGAGUCUUCGAAGUCUUUUCCUCGCGGAGCAAAUAAUCAUACUGCUCGACAUGUUGGGCUAAUUCGUACAUAUCCCGAAAAUUUGCCCCCAAGAAUUACUUUUUGUAUUCAACGUCAAGGCCGUUCAAAGCAAGCCUGACAAAUUCGACUUCGGGUAAAGGCACUCGGCACCAAUUCCUAGCUGAUUUGAACCUGGUAAGAUAAUCCAUUGGUGACUCAUCAGAUGCUUGAGCCAUCCGUGCUAAUGAAGAGACUGACAUCUCCAUCCCCGGCCGAUAAAACUGCUCGUGGAAUUUCUCGACCAACUCAUCCCAGUUUUGGACGGAAUUAGGAGGGAGAUUGAUGUACCAGGCAAAUGCCGAGCCGGUCAAUGAAAAGUUGAACAGCCAUAACUUAUGGAAAUCACUAUUAACAUCUCCGCAUUGCGCGGUGAAACGAGCCACGUGUUCCAACGAAGACAGAGACGAUUCACCGGCAAAAAGACUAAAAUCUGGGAUCUUGAAACCCUUCGGGUAUCCAAACGUUUCCACGUAAGCUGGGUACGGAUGAAUAAACUUGGGAAACUUCGGCCCUUUCUUCAUGGCCGAGUCGAUCAUCCGCUGAACUUUGGUCAUAUCAACAGGUGUUGCUUCGAUCCUCUGGUCGGUUCCGUCUGACCUACUAUUCGACCCUCAUCCUUUUUCCAAGUUAAUUGGUUUGAGCGGAGCAGGAAUAGGCUCGGCCGGUACAAUCGGUACCGGGUUGUUUUCUGGUGGACAAUGUUGGAGAAGAUCGAAAGGCCUGCUGCCACCAACUUUACUAACCAGCAUUUCGAGCAGCCUGGUUUGUCGAUCAUUUGAACUGAGUAUCGCGUCAUGCAGCUUGUCAAUGCCUCGACUAAACGUCUGCUCGACUGACCGAGACUGCUCGUCUAGUCGCUUUCGAAGAAACGACCUUGUCGGUGGAUUAGAUCCUUCACCACCAUCCUCGUCGCACUCCUCUACUAUCCAUUCAGUGAGAACGCAGGUGUUUCUGUUAGGGAUGUCUAGCCCACGGAGCUGACCGCCGAGAUUAACUUCUCUCUCUCGGCGGGUCGCGCUUGUGGACUCAGGUGUCACAGCGCUAAGGGGAUUCUGCGCCUGUGGCACACUUUGUCUCGUGCUUUGAUUCGGCAAAUCGGCUGUCGACUUUCCCAUAGUUGUUUUCUUUUUUACCGAUCGUGUUUCAAUUGGCAUGAACUUCGUAGUUUAGCACUGGGUCCCACUGGGCGUGCCAAAAUGUUGACCCUAGAAACUACAAAGCCUACGUGGCGCGCAGGCCGAGUAAUUAAUAAGCUAACUACGUCCUUCGGUGAAUGCGGGGCAUGCCAACUCGUCGGCCGAGCUCGGUCGAGGAGUAAAUUUUGUUGAUGUUGCGUUGGGUGCGCGGCUGACUUCUGCGUCUUGCGAUUGCGGCCGAGAAAGGAACACGUCUCGGCCUCUUGGGCUCUCGAACCUGAAGACAAGGUUACUAUUCUUACGAAGUUCAAUAUCAAAUUCGGCUUUCAAUGUGCCGAAUGAAAUAACUGUAACACCUCACUUUGCCGAGAAGGCUGAUGAGAUGACCUCGACCAAUAAGGAUUUAGAAACCCUUCUCGACCGAGACUUGGAUAGGUAAUCAACCGCUCUCGCCGCAGUGCUGUUGAUGCCAACGGAAGAUACUGCGAGAACGACUAAUUCUACGGUGACAGAGCUAUCUAUGCCGACUUAAGAUAUCACCGGUUGCUUCCACAGUGCUAUUGAUGCCAACGGAAGAUGUGUCAGCGAAAAGGAAAAUGAAAAAUCACAAGUUGUGAGAAUUUGCGCAGGGCAAUUUUGUGUUGAUUUGCAGGGGCUUUGAAUGAUGUGCAACCUCUUCUAUUUAUAGCAAUGGCUCCCCCCAAGGUCGAGUUAAAAACCUACUCGGACUAGGUUUUUCUUUCCCUGAUCAGCAUCAACUCGACCAGUCCUACCUUCACUAGGACUGUGAACCUAGUCCUUUACCUGAGCCGGAUUCACUUCCGGGUCCUGCCGAGACUCCUUAUUGCACUAGGAUUCGACCUCUUGCGUUAUGACCUAGCCGACCUAGGUUUGGAGGCCCACAUACUGAACGAUCCAUGGUAUUCUUGUCGCAAGGCCUCCCAGGCCGAGAAUGACCCUACACUCGGCCCAAACUGUUAUUUUGGGCCCAAACAGAUUUUAAAGAAGUUUAUAACAUUCCAGGUGUAUUCAAUUAGAAAUUGAUUUUAAAGAAUUUGGGAAAGUUGAGGAAUUAGAGGGAAUUUGAGAGAUUUCGUAGUGUAUUUUAAGCAUCCACAAAUCUCAACUCUUCCCAUGAGAUUUCGAGGGAAUUGAAUCAAAAUUUUAUAUGGAAUCUGUACAAAUCAAUUAGACUCCAUAAAAAUCCAUGGAUUUAUAAAUCCAUUAAAGUCUCUCAAAUUCUCAAUUAAAUACACCCCCUUAGUUUAUUAUAGUUUUAUCUGAAAAAUUAUUAGAUGGUACGGUAUUAUCAGGUCGGCAGGUGAUUCUUCUAAAAAAAAAAGGUCGUACCCAGUGCACAAGGCUCCCGCUUUACGCAGGGUCUGGGAAAAGUGAAUGUCGGCUAGCCUUACCCCCAUUUUAUGGAGAGGCUGCUCCCAAGUCUCGAACCCGAGUCUUGGCAGGUGAUUCUUCUAUUCAAAUUUAAACAUGUGUGCUGUUUCUUACAGCUGAAUUAAAAAGCUUUUUGAAUUAUUAUUUUUAAUUAAAAGAACUAAAAAUAAGAGGCGUUUUGACAGACUUAAAAUACCUCUUUUCCACCCCGUCCUCUUCUCUUCCAUGGCGACUGCAAUGCUGCCAAUAUCCGAGCCCGCCAGAAAGCAACCCCGACCGGGUCGGGGCGGAUUCGAUGCCCAUGGACCAUCCGAAAAAGAGGCCCGGGUCCGAGCCAUCGCCGAAAUCGUCAGCUCCAUGGUCGACCUCUCCCGGAAGGGCCAAAACGUCGACCUAAACGCCCUCAAGACCACCGCGUGCCGCAAGUACGGCCGUUCACGUGCCCCCACAUCGCUAUCACCGGGAAUAUUUGCGUGUACUGCCCCGGUGGUCCCGAUCCGGACUCUGAGUACAGCACUCAGUCUUACACUGGAUACGAGCCUACUAGCAUGCGCGCAAUUUGGGAAAGGUAUGGCUUUCUCUAGUUCAUUGACGCAUUUUAUCGAACACUUGAUGGGGAAUUCAAGUUUUAUUUAUUCAUCAUUCGUUUCAAAGCUUAAAGUUUUUGGCUUGAUUGAUUUUUCACCAUGAAGUUGAGAGCUUUGUAAUGAAGAGAUUAUUUGAAGGAAUUGGUGUUUAAAAUUGGAUUAGUGAAGUUAAUUUGGUAGUUAAUCUUUUGGUUUUGUGUGCUUAGAUACAACCCAUAUGUCCAGGCUAGAAGCAGGAUAGAUCAGCUGAAGAGAUUGGAUCACAGUGUAGACAAGGUUUGGCCUGUUCUAUGUUUAGAGCUUAAAGAAUUUAUUUUCGGGUUUGCAGAUUUCCAUGAUAGAGUAAUAUGCAUAGUUGUCGCCUCAUAAGUCAUAACUGGUACUGAAUUUGUGUUUUCAGGUUGAGUUCAUCUUAAUGGGCGGUACUUUCAUGUCGUUGCCCGCGGAUUACCAUGAUUACUUUAUUAGAAAUCUGCAUGAUGCGUUAUCGGGACACACUUCUGCCAAUGUUGAAGAGGCAGUUGCCUACUCUGAGCAUGGUGCUACUAAAUGUAUUGGAAUGACCAUUGAAACGUGAGUUUUUAGUUUAUUUUAGAAGCCAUUAAUUUCUCAUUCUUGUGUUUAACUUGGUUGACAGUAAUUUUUAGCUUACAUUCUAGUUUCCAGUUCAUCUGGUUAGUCCAGAAAGUUAACGAAGGUAGUUGUAACUUUUUAUUCUGCCGGAGGCCAGAUUAUUGCCUUGGACCUCACUUGAGACAACUGCUUUCUUAUGGUUGUACAAGACUAGAAAUUGGAGUUCAGAGUACAUACGAGGAUGUGGCUCGGGACGCCAAUAGAGGUCAUACCGUAGCUGCAGUGGCUGAUUGUUUUUGCUUGGCAAAGGAUGCUGGUUUUAAGGUCAGCCUAGUACCUCACAGAUUUUGGACCUUUUAUAUCAUAAAACUCACUUACCUUCACCAUGGGAAAAGAACGGAUUUUGGACCUUUUAUAUGUACAGUGACAGGAGAUUAAUCUUUCAUCAAAACAAUUUGUGAGCCUGGAUAUAUUUUUCAAAUUAUUGUGCUCUCCCAUAAUUCAGCGUGAAUAUUUUAUCAUAAUCUAGUUGGUUUUGGUAUUACCAUUCACUUUGUCUAAGUUCAAGAAGAAGCAUGUGUUUGUAAUUGUAUGACCGUAAUCUUUAUGAACUGCAAUAUUAAAAGCCUUGAGGACUGUUUACAAAAUGCAUUUUUGCUGUGUAUUCUUGUCGUUCAUUUUGAGUUACUUUUGUUUUUGACACUAAUAAUUGAGUAAAUUACAUAGUAGCCCCUCAGGUUUGAGGUCAAUUACAACCUCAUUCAACAACUUUAAAACAUUUCACUUUCAUACAUCCAGUAUCAUUUUAUUUCAAAAUAACACCUUCGUUAGAUUUUCCAUCUAUUAGUCUGUUAAAUGCUGACGUGGCUACCACAUUUAUGCUGAUGAGGCUGCCACGUGGCAAAAAAAUAAUUUUUUAUUUUUUUUUAUUUUUUUAAAUCUAAUCUUCUAAAUAUUAUAAAAAAUAAAUAAAUAAAAUAAAAAAAAAAACCUAAAAGCUUUACCCGCAACUAGGCCUGGCAAACGGGUCGUGUUAGUCGUGUUCGUGUCGUUUUCGUGUAACACCUGUUAUCUUAAUGGGUCGUGUCGUGUCACACCUGUUAUCUUAACGGGUCCUUAACAGGGGUAAAGUGACCCGACCCGUUAUGACCCGUUAAGAAAAAAAAAAUUUCUUAAAUUUGCACAUACCACACAUUGUCACAUAAAUAAUACUUCAAAACAUUAAACACACAUUUGUCAUUUAAGUACUACAUCUACACUCGAAAAUAAGAGCAUCAUAAAAAAUACAUUCAUACACUACUAAUUUAUUACAGAUAUUAAAUGUGCAAGGAUAUGCAAAAUGAAAGCGUUUUUGUUUUCAAGGUUGUGAAACCUUUCUCAAAAGUUUAAACCUUACCAAUGGAACUCAAAACUUAAUGAAAGUGACCCACCAGAGUGUUUAUUCGUACUUUCAUUACGUAUAACAUAAGAUUUUGUGGUAUCCACUAGUGUAAAUAUUUUAAAUUGAAUAUCGAAUUCAUUCAUUGUAUUCAUAUAGGGUCAAGGAGUGUAGUUAUAAAAAAUCAUCAAAAUCGGAGUUAAAAUAACCGUUAAAUUGUGAUUUUUCGUUUAUAACCGUCGAAAAGUUUUGUCCCGUUACUUAAUCUUUAAAUGUUUGUUUUUUGCAAUUUUUGGCGUAUGCGAUCUCGAAGCAUAUACAAACAAGUAUGACGGUUAGAUCGUUGAAACUAGUUUCGUAGAAUGCGUAUCUCAUCAAAACAAUAGAUUCACUAACACUUAAGAGUUUAUUCUUACUUUCAUUAAGUAUAACAUAAGAUUUUGUGGUAUCCACUAGUGUAAAUAUUUUAAAUUGAAAAUCGAAUUCAUUCAUUGUAUUCAUAUAGGGUCAAGGAGUGUAGAUGUAAAAAAUCAUCACAAUCGGAGUUAAAAUAACCGUUAAAUCGUGAUUUUUCGUUUAUAACCGUCGAAAAGUUUUGUCCCGUUAUUUGAUCUCUGAAUGUUUGUUUUUUGCAAUUUUUGGCGUAUGCGAUCUCGAAGCAUAUACAAACAAGUUUGGCGAUUGGAUCGUUGAAACUAGUUUCGUAGAAUGCAUAUCCCAUCAAAACAAUAUAUUCACUAACAUUUAAAGAUUUUACUCAUACUUUCUUCAAAUAUAACAUAAGAUUUUGUGGUAUCCACUAGUGUAGAUAUUUUAAUUUGAAUCUCGAAUUCAUUCAUUGUAUUUAUAUAGGGUCAAUAAGUGUAGCUGUAAAAAAUUAUCAAAAUCGGAGUUAAAAAAACCGUUAAAUCGUGAUUUUUCAUUUAUAACCGUUGAAAAGUUUUGUCCCGUUACUUGAUCUCUGAAUGUUUGUUUUUUGCAAUUUUUGGCAUAUGCGAUCUCGAAGCAUAUACAAACAAGUUUGACGAUUGGAUCGUUGAAACUAGUUUCGCAAAAUGUGUAUCUCAUCAAAACAAUAUAUUCACUAACACUUAAGAGUUUAUUAAUAUUUUCAUUAAGUAUAACAUAAGAUUUUGUGGUAUCCACUAGUGUAAAUAUUUUAAAUUGAAGAUCGAAUUCAUUCAUUGUAUUCAUAUAGGGUCAAGGAGUGUAGCUGUAAAAAAUCAUCAAAAUUGGAGUUAAAAUAACCGUUAAAUCGUGAUUUUUCGUUUAUAACCGUCGAAAAGUUUUGUCUCGUUACUUGAUCUCUGAAUGUUUGUUUUUUGCAAUUUUUGGCAUAUACAAUCUCGAAGUAUAUACAAACAUGUUUGACGGUUGAAUCGUUGAAACUAGUUUUGUAGAAUGCGUAUCCCAUCAAAACAAUAGAUUCACUAACAUUUAAAGAUUUUAUUCAUACUUUCUUCAAGUAUAACAUAAGAUUUUGUGGUAUCCACUAGUGUAAAUAUUUUAAAUUGAAGAUCGAAUUCAUUCAUUGUAUUCAUAUAGGGUCAAGGAGUGUAGCUGUAAAAAAUUAUCAAAAUCGGAGUGAAAAUAACCGUUAAAUCGUGAUUUUUCGUUUAUAACCGUCAAAAGUUUUGUCAUGUUACUCUAUCUCUGAAUGUUUGUUUUUUGCAAUUUUUGGCGUAUGCGAUCACGAAGUAUAUACAAACAUGUUUGACGGUUGGAUCGUUGAAACUAGUUUCGUAGAACGCGUAUCCCAUCAAAACAAUAAAUUCACUAACACUUAAAAGUUUAUUCAUAAUUUCAUCAAGUAUAACAUGAGAUUUUGUGGUAUCCACCAGUGUAAAUAUUUUAAAUUGAAGAUCGAAUUCAUUCAUUGUAUUCAUAUAGGGUCAAGGAGUGUAGAUGUAAGAAAUCAUCAAAAUCGGAGUUAAAAUAACCGUUAAAUCGUGAUUUUUCGUUUAGAACCGUCGAAAAGUUUUGUCUCGUUACUUGAUUUCUGAAUGUUUGUUUUUUGCAAUUUUUGGCGUAUGCGAUCUCGAAGCAUAUACAAACAAGUUUGACGGUUGUAUCGUUGAAACUAGUUUCGUAAAAUGCGUAUCUCAUUAAAACAAUAAAUUCACUUAACACUUAAGAGUUUAUUCAUAUUUUCACUAAAUAUAACAUUAGUGUAAAUAUUUUAAAUUGAAGAUCGAAUUCAUUCAUUGUAUUUAUACAGGGUCAAGGAGUGUAGCUGUAAAAAAUUAUUAAAAUUGGAGUUAAAAUAACCGUUAAAUCGUGAUUUUCGUUUAUAACCGUCGAAAAUUUUUGUCUCGUUAUUUGAUCUCUGAAUGUUUGUUUUUUGUAAUUUUUGGCGUAUGCGAUCUCGAAGUAUAUACAAACAUGUUUGACGGUUGGAUCGUUGAAACUUGUUUCGUAGAAUGCGUAUCCCGUCAAAACAAUAAAUUCACUAACACUUAAGAGUUUAUUCAUACUUUCAUAAAGUAUAACAUAAGAUUUUGUGGUAUCCACUAGUGUAAAUAUUUUAAAUUGAAGAUCGAAUUCAUUCAUUGUAUUCAUAUAGGGUCAAGGAGUGUAGCUGUAAAAAAUCAUCAAAAUCGGAGUUAAAAUAACCGUUAAAUCAUGAUUUUUCGUUUAUAACUGUCUAAAAGUUUUGUCUCGUUACUUGAUCUGUGAAUGUUUGUUUUUUGUAAUUUUUUGCUGAUGCGAUCUCGAAGCAUAUACAAACAAGUUUGACGGUUGGAUCGUUGAAAUUAGUUUCGUAUAAUUCGUAUCCCAUGAAGUUCAAUGGUGUGUGUGUGUAUAUAUAUAUUUAUUUAUUUAUUAAGUAGAUUUAAAUCUAUUUAUUUUGUAUGUAUAAUUAUUAUAGUUUUUAGGGGUAUAAAAUUUAAUAUAUAUAUAUAUAUAUAAUUAUGAUAGUUAAUAUUUUGGGGUAUAAGUAUUAUAGUAUAUAUAAUUAUUAUAAUUAUUAUAGUUAAUUUAAUAUAUAUAUAUAUAUAAUUAUUAUAGUUUUUAGGGGUAUAAAAUUGUUAAAUUAAUAUAUAUAAUAAUUAUAGUAUUUUUUUUAGGGUUAUAAAAUUAUUAAAUUAAUAUUCUGCUUAUCGUGUAUCGUGUUACUCACGUGUAUACCCGAAACAACCCGUUAUCUUAACAGGUGCUUAUUGGGUUACCCGAUAACAACCCGUUUCGUUAUCGUGUCGACCCGAACACCUGUUAAUUUCAUGUUGUGUCGUGUCGGGUUAUCGGGUCGUGUCAGGAAUUGCCAGGCCUACCCGCAACCCCCAAAACCAGAAACCAAUUAAUCCCAAACCCACCUCCCCAUUAAUCCCCUCAGAAACCCAGCACAGCAACCUCCUCCUGCCCCACCCCCCAACGAACCAUUCCCGUCAAAUCCCCCUUCCCCCGACGACCCAUUCCCGUCAAAUCCCACCCCCCCUCCCCGACGACCCACUCCCGUUAAAUCCCCAUUCCCCCGACGACCCACUCCCUUCAAAUCCCACCCCCCCCCCCGACGACCACUCCCAUUAAAUCCUCCUUCCCCCCAACCCGAGCCGAGCCUUUUCCCUGCAACCCAAUCCCACAAAUUCCACCUCCCAAAAAUCAUUCCCUUCACCAUCUUCAUCCCCACUCCCAAUCCCAACACCACCGAACUGCUCACCUUCCACUUCAUCUGUCCUUCCUCCUUCACCCUCCUCACAGCCUCCUCCAACACCCCCGCCCCCGCAAGUUCCAAUCUUUAAGGUCCCAAGCCGCCGUUCCAGCAUCCGGUUCAACCAAUCAAGCCGUUCGAACCGCUAAGGAGGAAGGCACAUGCGGUGGUGGCCCAGCGGAGUUGUGUGGAUUUUGGAUCUGGGGAGUUUGGGGUUCGAGAGAGAGAGCGAGGAGAGUGGGAGGAGGGUCAAACCGCUGAGGAGGAAGGCGUUGGCGGUGGUGACCCGGCGGAGUUGUGUGGGUUUUGGAUCUGGGGGGUUUGGGGUUUGAGAGAGAGAGUGAGGAGAGUGGGAUGAGGGUCGGGGGAAUGGGUUUCUGGGUUUCUGGUUUUCAAUUUUUUUUUUUUAAAUGGGUUUUUGGAUUUGGAUUUGCUGAUUUUUGGAUCAAGCCAUAGCACGUGGAAUUGUAGGAAUUUGCAAUGUUUGGUCCAUGCCAUGGCGAGGAAGGGAUGAAGGGUGCAGGGAGGGAGGAAGUGGCAUGAAGAGGGAGAGAUGAAAGGUGCAGGGAGGGAGGGAGGCACGGGAUGAAAUUAUGGGUUUUCAAUAUUUUUUUUUUUUGUUCAAUAGGGUAAUAAAAAAUUAUUAUUUUUUCCACGUGGCACACAUUUGGCAACCACGUGGCACAAAUGUGGCAGCCACGUCAGCAUUUAACAGACUAAUGGAUGAAAAAUCUAACGGAGGUGUUAUUUUGAAAUAAAAUGGUACUGGAUGUAUGAAAAUGAAAUGUUUUAAAGUUGUUGUAUGGGGUUGUAAUUGACCUCAAACCUGAGGGGCUACUAUGUAAUUUACUCCUAAUAAUUUUAUGCAUUUGCUCUAGGUGGUUGCAUGCAUGAUGCCUGAUCUUCCAAAUGUAGGGGUGGAGAGAGACAUGGAGAGUUUUCAGGAGUUCUUUGAGAGCCCCUCGUUCAGAGCAUAUGGGCUUAAAAUUUAUCCAACACUCAUGAUCCGUGCAACUGGACUCUAUCAGCUUUGGAAAACGGGCAGGUAUAGAAAUUACCCACCUGAGCAACUUGUGGACAUUGUAGCUCGGAUCGUAGCCGUGGUCCCCCCUUGGACGCGUGUUUAUAGAGUUCAGUUAGACAUUCCAAUGCCUUUAGUUACUUCUGGGGUUGUGAAAGGAAAUCUUCGGGAGUUAGCUUUGGCUCGGAUGGAAGACUUGGGUUUGAAGUACCGUGAUGUUCGUGCACGAGAGGCUGGAAUUCAGGUAUGUGGGUAGUCAUUCUUGUUUGAACGUGUUUUAUGCAACUGAGGCCACAAACAUGACCCCUCAAAUCCCUAGAAAAAAUCUUUACUAAACAUUUUUGCUGGUUCUAGGACAUACAUCACAAAAUUAGGCCAGACCAAGUGGAGCUUGUUUGUGGGGAUUAUAUGGCAAAUGAAGGAUGGGAAACAUUUCUUUCAUAUGAAGAUACUCUCUGGGUAUUCGUUCUUUUUAUGUGAGAGAGUGCUUCGUCACACAGCGAUUUGUAUAGAUUAUAGGGAUUAUAUUUGAUUAGACAUUCACCUCUCCCAGACCCUGCGUAAAGCGGGAGCCUUGUGCACUGGGUACGACCUUUUAGCCUUAUUAGGUUUUUAUUUGUUUCCCUGUAUAGUCUACUUACUUGUAUAGCACUCUUUGUAAACCCUAUUUAUACUCUACUCUCAGAGAGAAUAAUAUAUCAUAAUUUUACCCAUAUACUGUUUGACUUGGCAUCAGAGAAGUAAAGUUCUGGUGACCGUGCGUGCCCACCAAAACCAAAAAAAACCUCCUACCCGUGCAAAACCCUAAUCUGAGAAACUCUAAAUCUUGUCGUUGCUGUGGAAAUUUUUCUGUGAAAAUUUUCUGCGUUCGUGUCUUGCUAUGUUGAUUGUUUCCGCUGUUAUUUGGUGUGUGUGUUCUACAACCAUGGCUGGUGAUGAUGAUGUUAAACCCAACUCCGGUUCAUUUGGUACCAAGGAUGAACGACCCUACAGUGAUUAUUCUGCUCCUAUUGCACAAGAGAAAUUAGAUGGCUCCAACUAUGUCUCCUGGUCUCGUAACGCCUUUCUUACGAUAACUGGACGACGUAUGGCGGGGUUUAUCAAUGGCAAAAAACCUGCUCCUAAGGAUGGUGAUUCUGUGGAAUACUCCGAAUGGGAAGAGGAUAAUUGUUUGGUACAAAUAUGGCUUUUCAACUCUAUGACUCGGAGUGUGAGAAGUCUCUUUGAGCGUUGUACUUCAGCAUAUGAUGUGUGGGAGGCUGCAAGGAAGACUUUUACAGUCACCCAAAACAGCUCCCGGUUGUUUCAACUUCGAAGACAGUCCGUGACUACAACCCAAAAUGGUGAAUCUAUUGCUAUGUUUUAUGAGAAGCUUCAUGUUAUCUGGGAGGAGAUUGAUAAUCUUUGUGCUAACCCACAUACCAAUCCUAAGGAUGUGGCUCUUCGACAUAAGGAAAUUGAAUCUGAGAGGGUGUAUGAUUUUCUUGGAGGGCUUGAUCCACAGUUUGAUGGUGUUCGUAGCCGUAUCUUGGCUAUGACUCCGGUGCAUUCUGUCUUGGAGGCGUAUGCAUUGGUCGUGGAAGAAAGCACACGUCAAGUCACUAUGCUUGGGGUGCUGCUGCUUUGAAGAUUGGUACAAGCCAGCAUCGGACAAAUGGUGCUUCCUCAACUGGCGGUGGUGGUCGUCAGUCGUCCCUUGUGAGUGCACAUUCCGGAGGCUCUUCGAACUCCAAGUCUGCCGUCUCCCGCCCUCCUGCAGCAAAGGCUCAACCUGGUUCUCGUGAAUGUGCCCAUUGUGGAGGUGAUCAUCUUUUAGAAAAAUGUUUCCAGCUUCAUGGUGUUCUAGAUUGGUUUCCUGAGUACAAGGCCCGUAAGUUUGGACCCAAAGCUGCUCAUGUCGUGACUGCAGACGAGCUUGAGUCGCCUCGUCCUUCCAUGAAUUUGAGUGUGACAAAUUCCGUACCAGGUAACGAUUUCAAUACAUGGAUAAUUGACACUGGUGCUACUGAUCAUGUGACUUAUAAUUCUAAGAUUUUUGAUGAGUUGUCUAGCCAAACUCGUGACCCUUUUAUCACGUCUGCCAAUGGUAUGCCGUCUCCAAUUACUGGAGAAGGCACAAUCACACUUACCCCUACCUUGUCCCUAGCACAUGCGUUUUUGGUACCCAAUAUUAAUUGUAAUUUAUUAUCUGUGGGACGAUUACUGGACUCACUAAAUGCCUAUGCUACUUUCUAUCCUACAUGGUGUAUGUUUCAGGAUCUCAAAACCCACGAGACGAUUGGACGUGGUAAAAGGAUAGGGGGGUUAUACUACUUAACUCUACCAACAGACGUGGUUCGUGGUAGUCUUGCUAAUAAAGUUCAGAGUGGCAGUGACAAGGACAAACAUGAGUUGUGGUUAUGGCAUCGUCGCUUGGGACACCCUUCUUUUGGAUAUCUUAAACCUUUAUUUCCUUCACUAUGUCGUUCAUAUGAUGAGACUUGUUUUAAGUGUGAAACAUGUGUAUUGGCCAAAAGCCAUCGUACUGUUUUUCCGUUAAGUAAUAAUAAAGCUCUUCAGCCAUUUGCGUUGGUACAUUCCGAUGUAUGGGGUCCUGCUAAGAUUACUUCAAAUGGAUUUCGUUGGUUUAUCACUUUUAUUGAUGAUUGCACCUGUUUAACUUGGGUUUUCUUGAUGAAGAAUAAAAAUGAUGUGACAUCUAUUGUACAAGAAUUUACUGCCAUGGUAUCUACUCAGUUCUAGACUAAAGUCAAAGUGCUUCGGUCUGAUAACGGAGGAGAAUAUGUGAACACUGCCUUGAGUUGUUUCUUUCGUGACAAGGUAUUAUUCAUCAGUCGACUACUCCGUUUACACCCCAACAAAAUGGUGUGUCUGAGCGGAAGAAUCGCCAUUUACUUGAAGUUGCUCGUGCUUUGCUCUUGGGAAUGUUGGUCCCUAAUUAUCUUUGGGGACUUGCAGUUUUAGCCGCAUGUUAUUUGAUCAAUCGGACUCCUAGCCGAGUUCAUGAUUUCCGCACACCUUUUGCAGUUUUACAAGAACAUAUCUCACCUAUUGGUAUCUCCAAGCUUCCUCCCAAGGUGUUUGGAUGUGUUGUGUAUGUGCAUAUUUAUUCUCAUCAACGGAGUAAGCUAGAUCCUUGUGCUCUUCGAUGAGUGUUCAUUGGGUAUUCAAAUACUCAAAAAGGUUACAAGUGUUAUCAUUCUCCUACUCAAAAGACUUAUGUCUCCAUGGAUGUCACCUUCCAUGAAGAGGUCCCGUAUUUUGCCUCAUCAUCUCCUAUCCCUCCACUUCCCGAUGAGAGGGUUUGCGAAGUGUUUAGUGAAGGAGCGACAGAAAGUGCAGGAAAUAGUGAUAUUGUGAGGUUGCUCGAGCCACCUUGUCUUACCAGACCCCAGAAAUGUGGGAGGAGAGCUUGAGGUUUACGGUAGAAGCUUGUCUUACCCAUGUGUCAGUUUAUGAUUUGCAAGUCGAACAAGGCACGAAAUUCGGGUUGUCGUAAGUGGAUUGAGUGAUGAAAUCUACGGUUUUAGUUUUGGAAUGAAUUUGGUCCUGAAGUUGGAGUUUCCGUUGCCUUCAGAAACGCGGUCUGUUGAGUUCUAUAAGAUGGCGUCUAGGACACUUUCGGAUGCAGGUUACAACCUCUAGAAAUUAGCAGUUACUGCAAGAGUGGAUAUCACUGCGAACACAAUCCAACUUAUUGGAAGAACAAGCCUUUCUAUGCUUUUGGCCUUGGCUCCGCUGGCUAUGCCGAUGGCGUGAGGUUUUCGAGACCAAAGAAGAUGAAAGAGUACACAGGACGAGGAGAGAAGGGACAUCGCUGCAGGUGAAUUCAACACCUUGCUAGUAAACGAGGACGAGACUGAAAGAAGUCCUGCCUACAUUCGGUUUAGUGAUCCAGAUGGUUUCCUUUUGUCGAACGAAUUGAUAGCACUUGCAUUUGCGGUUGUAGCUCCAUAAGCUAAAGAGCCUUGACGCAACCUCACAUAGGUGGUGAUUCCGUGCAACAGCUGCAGGAUUGCAUUUGGUUUUGCUCGACUUGGUAUUCAUCACAGCAUCGCAUGAAUCGGCUAAGCACUUGCUGCCACUCUGCAUUCAUGACAUUUUUUUCAAAGAUAGAGAUCAAAUAAAUUUAUAGUAGGCCUUGGCUACUCUUGUGGGUGUCCAGUUGGUGCAGCAGCUCUCUCAAUAAAUCCUGGAUUUUGUUCAAAUAUAUACUCUCUGUGUUUGUGUGUAGAUAAUUAACAUAAUUAGUUCGCUAAUCAUCGAUGUCUUCGCAUGAUAUGUUUACUACGGGUACUGAUACCACGUAUACAAUCCUCGAGUGGGCGAUGGCUGAGCUUACAAGGCAUCCAAGGGUCAUUACUUGAAGGCGGUGAUCAAGGAGACUCUUCAACUACACCCUUCAGUUCCGCUACUGAUUCCCAGGCUGUCAACCGGCGAUGUGAAAAUACACGGUUGCAACAUUAAAGCCAAGACACAAGUACUGGUCAAUGUAUGGCGGAUUGCAAGAGAUCCUAAGCGUACAAAAAACCGAACAUCGAAAGUACCCUGUCGAGGCCGUUGCUUUCCUGUACGAAAUUCCAUCUUUCUGAAAAUGUACGGUAGAGAGGAAGCUGCAGGGUUCCAACAAGUGGUUUAGAUUGGAUUUGCUGUAUUUGGUGUUGUACUGGAUUUGCUGUAAUGUAUCUGUAUUCUUGUCUUGGGUUAGACAAAAAUGUAUGUACUUUUGUUAUAUGCUAUCAUAUGCUUGUGCAUCUUUUAUCGAAUCCAACGACGCUCCAAACAAUGAGAAAUUAGGGAAAUAACAGCAAUUAAACACAGUAGGCAGCAGGUGUUCCAAGUUCUCGCACUCAAAAAGCUACCAUGAAUGAACAGCAAUUAGAAAGGAAAAGGGAAACCUCGAUACAAGUACUUCGGUUCUACACAAAUUCGGAGAAAAAGACAAAUACAACUUAGUUUCAUCUAAUUAAAAGUGAAAACGCACAAGUUGCUAUGCUCUGAAGUUCCUUAUGACCACAUUCAAAAUGCAGAAAGCCUACCUACAGGUCAAUGACACGAGAUAGCUUCUGGAUGCGGUUCAAUAAGAAGUCCCCUUGCUUGAUGGUUGCUUGGUACAGUGAAUUCUUAGCAUCAGGAUGAUUGGUUUCUAAAACACCGGCAACUUUGUCAAUCUUGCAAUGAAGCUUCCCUGCUGCAAUGAAACGAGAUAGCUCCCUGUAUGUCGUAGAAUGGGUUAGCUAUAUGCAGAAAACAUGUAAACGUAAAAUACUUAACAGCAUCUCCACGAAAUCAAGGACCAAAUUUUUUAAAACUAUAUAAAGUAAACCUGAAACGAGGUAACCAUAAGACUCAGUCACUUACAGAUCAAUGAAAUCCACGGUCAUGCCAAAAGCUUUAGCCAUAGCUUCAAUGGUAACACUCUUGUAGGACUCCAAGAACUGAGAAUAAACAACAGUUCUGAUCUCCCUCAUGUAAUAACGGAAGUGUGGGUGCAAAUAACGGUCCAACUUUAUCUGCUCUGUCAGGCCAGCUGAAAAACAAAAAAGAAAAGAAAGAAAGAAAGAAAUUACAACUAUGAAAUUUAUUGAUUUGGUUGAUAUAUGACCGGAGAACUCAUACUCCAUUAGCAUCCAAUCUCACAAAACUAUAUCACCUGUGUAAAGCCUAAUUCAACAAGUUAUCCAAGUUCUUUUCCGCAUCAGCAAUCCUAAACAAAGCCAACCAUAUAACUAGGUAACGGAAAUUACUUGAUCGCAAUGGCUAUAAUAAUAGUAUAAACAACAAUAUUUUUCACACUAUACAAUUCAAACAAAUCUUGUCAACCUGCUUAAUUUACAGUAAAACUCCCAACGGAUUGCGAUUAAGUCAAUGGAGAAAUCAUGCUUCAUCAGCAUCCGAUCUAACAAAAAUACAUCACUUGUGCAAGCCUAGUUCAACAAGUUCCAAAGCAAUUACAAAUUUUCAUUGCUUCGAAUCACAGUGAAGAGUUCAAAGCAUAAAUUUCAAUCCCUAGUUCUUUUUCUCACAAUUCUCAGUAACCAAACAGAAUCUGGACCAAAAUCAAAAUUAAAAUCGAAAAAAAAAAAAAAAACCUCAAUAAAGCACUCACUUUUCAUCGAGCUUCUUGAGCUCCUCCUGGUUCUUCGCCCUCAUCGAGUCCAUAACGCCCUGGUCCAGCUCGAGCAUUGAUUCGGCGACUAGGGUUUCGUACAACGGCGCCAUAUCUACAAAAUCCCCCAAACCGAAACUCAAUUCCCGAUACGCAAAAACCGAAAUUGAAAGCACAGGCAAUGCGAAAACCAGUUCAGCUUAGUAAAAAACGGGCGAUCUUACCGUCGGCUUUGACGGAGGCAAAAACCUCCUCCCUUAGUUGGACCUUUUCGAUGUCCGGGACAUCGGAAUGGGAGAGGAGGAAGAGCUUGUUUGCGAGCACGAGGUGCGGCUGCUGCGUCCCCUCUUGGGCUUCCAUUUGGAAUCGGUGGUGGUGACUCGGUCGGUGAGAUAGGUCCCCGAGUUGGGAGUUCUUUGUGCUUUGCUUGAAGGAGAAGCGAAACGACGGUGGGGUUUGGCCUAGUGACGGGUGUUUACUAUCUCGCUCGGUAACAGGUUUGUCUUUUUCAACACGAAAGGUAAAUUGGUAAUCAGCCUAGAAUGAAAAUUUGAUUGGGCUUUAAAUUAUUUUUAUAGAUAUAAAAUGAAAAUUUUGAAUCGAACUGGACCGGAUUAUAUAUGCACUUUUUAUAAGGUGAUUUCUAAAUCGGUAAAUUGCACUCUUUAUAAAGUGAUCUUUAAAAUCGUUGUUGCUAGAAUCAGAUCUCUUUUACCUUAUUUGAUUAGUCGUGACUCGUAAUCAUGUUAGUUUUGUUCCUGGUAGACAAAUAUCAAUUGAGGUAAAAACAAUCUAUGUUUUUCGUGAAAAAAUACCAAUUGAAGCAGGGGAUUUUUUUUUUUCAAACAACAAAGAGCUGGGUCAAAUAUUCAAUCAAAUGAAUUUGAGCAUGUUUCUCAUCUCUUCUCAACAUAAAAUAACACGAAAAUAACAGGUUCAGGUCAACACGUUAAUAAGUCGGGUCAUUAUCGGAUCAACUGUUAAAAUAACAAGUAUAACACAUAAACGACCCAAAAUUGAACACAUAAUCUCGAGGGCAUUGGGUGAAUGUUAUUAAAAGUUUAGUUCAUAUCUCCAAAAGUAUGUUACUCUACAUUCUCACUACUAUCCUUCUAUAAUCUCCAAGAGUAUUUAUGUGGCGGUUCUCUUUUUAAUUUGUUCUGGUUCUAUCAUGUCCCUAAUUUUUUGGUUCCUACGUUCUCAUUACAACAUGCCAAGCUAAUUAAGUCCGGCUCAAUCGUGCCUCGUGUCGUGCUCGUAUUAACUCAUUUAAUAAACAAGAUGGGUCGGCCCAUCUCAUAUUUGAAACCUUUAGCCUAGCGCAACCCAUACCAGAUAUCUAAUUAUACUUGUGUCGUGCUUGCCAUGUUAGACUGAGCUUGCUUGUCUUUUUACUUUGUUUUUAAUUGAAAAUAGAUACUCAAUAUAAUCUAAACUACUUAUUAAUAGAAUCUUUUUUAUCAAUCAAAAGAGAGUGAAACAAUUAUUUAGUCUUCUAUAAAAAAAAAUAUGGACAAUAAUGUAUUUAAUAUUAAAAUACAAAAACCUCUUACUCCUACUCUCACCCACAUUCUCUCUCCCUCCCUCCUUCCCAUUUUAAGAACAAAAUAAAAAUGCUUAUGUUAAUGUUAUUAUAACAUAGAGGCUCUGUCAACAAUCAUUUUUCUAAAAAUGACAAUCAUAUUCUUAUUUUUCAUAUUCUAACUUUUCUUCUAAUACACAAUAUUUACAGUUAUUUAGUACUACGGUCUAGUGGUAUUGCUCUUCACUUGUUAGUUAGAGGUCUUAGGUUAGAUUCUCGCUAAAGGCGAAUUUGAACAACAUUAUUCCUAGCCCAUUAUGAGGCUCAACCCACUUCUUCCCUUUAAUGUAGAAAAUAUUGUUUCUUAAAAAAAAUACACAAUAUUUACAAUCUAAGGACAAACCAAUAAUUAUGUAAUAUAUUAAAAAAAUAUGUCCACGUUAGAAAAACUGUCCCAUUAUUGUCUCAUCUUUUAUAAAUAUAUAUAUUUUUUUUAAUUUUAAAAACUAAUUACAUUUUUUAAUAAAUAAAAAUAAAUAAAUAAAUAAAUGAAAUUGUUCAUCUGCUAGUUUAUAUUAGAGUAAAUUGUAGCUAUGGUCCCCUAACUUUAACUCAUUGGAGCAAUGGUCCCUCAACUAAAAAUCCAUUAUCAUUGGUCCCUCAACUCAUCAAAACGUACAGCUAUGGUCCCUCAACUAAAAAUUCAUUACCAUUGGUCCCUCAACUUUAAUUCAACUGGAGAAAUGAUCUCUUAACUUUAACCCAAUUGUAGCAAUGGUCCUUCCAACAUAACUCGUUUUGAGAAAAAAUUGACGUAGUUGACGAAAAUGACCAUAAUUACACACCUUGAUGAGUUGAGGGACCCUAAUUAUAUGAAUGGUUAUUCCAACAUAACUUAUUUUGACAAAAUUUUGAUGAAAUUGAUGAAAAUGACUAUAGCCACACAUUUUGAUAUGUUGAGAGACCAAUGGUAAUGAAUUUUUAGUUCAUGGACCAUUGCUCCAAUUUGAUUAAUGUUGAAGAACCAUUGCUACAAUUUACUGUUUAUAUUAACAACUAUUGUUACCAAGACCAUCACCGAUUGACUGUUAUGCAUGGAUUGGUGUUCCCGGACCGAUUGAUUGUUAUGCAUGGAUUAGUGUGUAAAGAUAUGAACAUGAGUAUACGGUGAACAAGUGUCAGUUAUUUGGUCCAAUUAGUAUAAGAAAGCCUUAUAGGAAGAUGAAUGUGAGUUCUUGUUGAUAGAGGAAUCUGUCAUGGAGAAGAACCAACAUACACGAGGAAACAUGAGUUGUUUCCUAAUCGGAUUGUAAUAGGAAAUCCUCAUUGGUUUAGGAGAGGUAUAUGUAUAUAUAUAUAUAUAUAUGCUGUAAUCUCUGCUCUCAUAGACACGCUCAGUCAAGAACUAAGUCCUAUUCUUAGUUAGAGCAUUAAGAGUUCUACCAGAGAGGAGAAGAGUUGCAACAUACAGAAUUUGGACAACUGCUGCAAUGGAAUAUUCGAAUGGAGGUUCAUCAGGUUAAUGUGAAUACAUCAGUUCAUAUUUAAAAGGUUUUAUGCUUUCUUGAUUGUGUUUUACGUGGCUUAAAUCUUGAUCUUGGCUAAUUGAAUCUAACAUGUGGUAUCAGAGCUUAGAUUUAAGUUCUUAAAAUCAAUCAAGCACGGGUCAAUGAAAAUCGCCAUUAUCAGGUUUCGAAACCGGUUCUAAAUAUUAAAACAAUUUUUCCUAAACGGUGCGUUUUUGAUAAAAUUAGGUUAGAUUAAUAUGACUGUUGGUAUUCGAAAUCGGCGCGGUUUUUCUUUUGGGGUUUUUCUGGGUUUUGUUCUUCUGCAAAAGAGGACUUUAACUCGUCCCUCUUAUUUUGACCCGUUCACUUGCAAUCCGAGUAAUCCAAAUCUUGUUAUUGAGUGUUCAAUACCUGUCCAAAAUUGUUUCCGCUGCUAGGUAUUGAUGGUUGUCUCUUUAAAAGGUAUGUGAUCUUCAAAACUCGGAUCAGAAAAAUGAAUACCAUGAAUCUUGCAUAGAGAUUUGUAUAAUGAUUUUUUGAUGAACAUGAAAGCAGUCAUUCUUAGCAUAUGAUUUAGUUUCUUAAAAUAAUGCAUCUUAAUGGUCUGUAUAAUGAAAGAAGCCAUUCAUAAGAUGAUUGUAUCUGGUUAAAUCUAUGCAAAUUUAUUGUCACUAUUAAGAUCAUAAACUGAGAUGUAUAGAACAAAUCAGUGUGAUGGUUGAUUCUGAUUAUAUGGUGAUCAGUUCAUGAUCUAUUCUGAAAUCAAUAAUCCUAUAUGCGCCUAUCAACUGGUUGUUGUUAAGAUUGUAUAUAUGGAUAUUGGUUAUAAAGCUUUGAUGUGCAAUAGACUGUGAAACGAAAUCAGAACUUUGAAUGUUCAUAUGGUGAUUUCAGGUUCAUCGAUGUCUGCAAUAUCAAUGAAGACCUUAAACUUAGCAAAUAUUCUGAUCCUUACUGGUGGUAGCAAUUACAAGAAGUGGAGGAGGGAUAUCAACUUGCUAUUGACUCUAAAUGAGUUUGAUAUAGCAAUUGAAAAUCCCAAGCCUGUAAUUAGUGAUCAAAGCACCAGAGCUGAGAAGUCAGAUUUUGAGAGGUGGUCAAGAGCUAAUAAGGUAGCACUUUCCAUCAUAGAAGUUGGAAUGACUGACACUAUCAGGGGGGAAUUAAGAAACCAGAGCUUGCUAUGGAUUAUUUGGCUGCAAUUGAAAAGAAAUUCAAGGAGUCCGAGAAGGCAGAAGUAAGCCAGUAUAUGUCUGUGUUGACUCAAUACAAGAUUGAAGAUAUUGGUUCAAUAAGGGAUCAUAUAAUGAAAAUGUCAGAUGCUGCCGAGAAGCUAAACUCCAUGGAGAUAAACAUUGGAGAGAAGCAGCUUGUGUUCAUGAUUUUUCAAGCCCUCCCUACCAAGUAUAGUCAGUUAAAAGUCUCUUACAACACUCAGGACAAGAACUGGGGCAUAUAUGAAUUGAUUGCACAAUGUGUGCAAGAGGAAACUCGGCAAAAGCAAGAGAAAGGCAAGGAGAUCGAAGAAGCAAAUUAUGUGCAACCUGGACGAGAGAAGAGAGCAUUCAAUAAAGGUAGCUCUUCAGGUCCUGAAAAUCUAUCAAAUUUAAAGCUAAACCUAAAGAUGUGUCUAAACUUAAGUGUUUUUGGUGCAAGACUAAAGGGCAUUUAAAAGUUGAUUGUGAAAUUUUUAAAGAUUUUGUGAAGAGCAAAGAAAAGGAACAAGUACUUGUCUGUGUUGAGUCAAAUCUUUGUGAAGUACCUGUUGAUUCUUGGUCGUUUGACACUGGAUGCUCGGUUCACAUAACUAAUUCUUUGAAAGGUUUUCAAAAACAAAAGGAGAUUGGAAAUACUAUGUAUCAUGUCUAUGUGGGGGAAGGGACUAAGGUUGCAGUGCAUUCCAUUGGAGUAGUAAACUUAAAACUAAAUUCUGGUUUUGUGUUACAACUAAAAGAUGUGCUCUAUGUGCCUAAAAUGAGAAGAAACUUGCUCUCUGCUUCUAAAAUAAUAAAAGAUGGUUAUGCAUUCUCUGCUGAUGACGUAUGUUUGAAAAUUUUUAAGAAAAACAGUUUUCAUAAAAUUUUGGGCAUUACCCUCUUGUCUGAAAAUCUCUGGAGACUAGAGUGUAUAGUUGAGUUUGUUGAUCAGUCCGUUUUUAAUGUCAAUUCAAAAAGAAUGUUAGAACAUGAUUCAUCUUUUAUUCUUUGGCAUAAGAGGUUAGGGCACAUCUCUAAAGAAAGGAUUCUUCAACUUUGCAAAGCUGAACGAAUUCCCAAACUAGAUUCUGCCACUGUGAUAGAAUGUGUUGAUUGUUUGAAAGGAAAAAUGACCAACUUUAGAAAACUAGAUGCCAAAAGAAGCAAAGGGUUACUUGAAAUCAUUCAUACUGACAUCUGUGGUCCUUUUCCAGUCAAAACCAUAUGUGGAAACAAGUAUUUUGUUAACUUUAUCGAUGACUUCUCUAGACUGGGAUAUACUUUUCUGAUUAGAGAAAAAUCCGAUGCCCUUAAAUGUUUUAUUGUUUACAAAACUGAGGUUGAAAAACAAUUAGGUAAAGUUAUUAAAAUUGUUAUAUCGGAUAGGGGAGGAGAAUACUUUGGCAGGUACACUGAAUCAGGACAGCAAAAGGGACCAUUUGCACUAUAUUUAGAGCAAAACGGCAUUGUAGCUCAGUAUACAACACCGGGGACACCUCAACAAAAUGGAGUCUCGGAACGAAGGAAUCGAACUCUUAUCGGUAUGGUGAGGAGCAUGAUGUCAAGAUCCAAAUUGCCUGGUUUCUUGUGGGGAGAAGCCUUGAAGACAGCAAAUCAUAUUUUAAACAGAGUACCGAGCAAAUCUGUUAUCUCAACACCUUUUGAGUUAUGGCAUGGCAGAACACCUAAUUUUGAAUACUUUCACGUUUGGGGUUGCAAAUCAGAAGCAAGGUUCUAUAAUCCUAAUGAAAGAAAAUUAGAUUCAAGGACUCAAUCUUGUUACUUCAUUGGGUAUCCUGAAAAGUCAAAGGGCUACAGAUUCUAUAUUCCUCAACAUCACACUCGGAUCCAAGAAACGCAUAAUGCAGUAUUCUUAGAGGAUCAAGAUGUUACAGAUCUGUCGCGGGAAAAUUUCAUUUUUGAACAGAUGGAUCAGCUACAUGACAUCCCAGAAGCCCUCAACUACUCUCAGGUUCCAUUAUUCAGUCAGCCAUCAAUUAAUGAAAGAGAAGAAACACUUGCAGAUUCGGAUUCUCCCACUGACCACACCAUGGAAAUCGAUGAUCAACUUCCUGCACCUGCACCUGCUUCAAAUUCUGACCAACCAGUGUUAAAUGAACCCAGAAAGUCCACAAGAGUCAGGAAAUCAACUGCUACGAGUGAUUAUGUUUACUUGCAAGAAGCAGAUUUUGACAUUGGUGAUUUGGAUGACCCCAUCUCUUACUUUCAGGCCAUUGAAAGUUCACAGUCAACUCUAUGGCAGAAUGCUAUGAAAGAAGAACUAGAUUCCAUGUAUAAAAAUAAUGUAUGGACACUUGUGGAGUCUAGCCCUCAAAUCAAGCCUAUAGGUUGUAAGUGGGUGUACAAGACCAAAAGAGAUGCUCUUGGUAAAUUUGAGAGACACAAAUCACGAUUAGUUGCAAAGGGCUUCACUCAACGAGAAGGUAUUGAUUACAAUGAUACUUUUUCCCCAGUCUCUUCUAAAGAUUCAAUGCGAGUUGUCAUGGCAUUGGUUGCACAUUUUGACUUAGAGCUGCAUCAAAUGGAUGUCAAAACAGCCUUUCUUAAUGGCGACUUAGAGGAAUGCAUCUAUAUGAAACAACCAACUGGAUUUGUUGAAAGGGGGAAGGAAAACAUGGUUUGCCAGCUCAAUAAGUCCAUCUAUGGGUUAAAACAGGCCUCUAGACAAUGGUAUUUAAAGUUUGAUCAGAUUGUCUCUUCUCAGGGAUUUGAAGAAAACAAAUUGGACGAUUGCAUUUAUCUUAAAUUUUCUGGUUCUCAGUUCAUUUUUUUGGUACUUUACGUUGAUGACAUUCUUCUAGCAAGUUCUUGUCCACAGUUAUUACAAAGAACUAAGAGGAUGCUCAGUGAAAGUUUUAAUAUGAAGGAUCUAGGAGAGGCACACUAUGUGUUGGGGAUUGAGAUUGUACGCAAUAGACAGAAAAGACUACUUGGCUUAUUGCAAAAGGGUUACAUUGAUAGAGUAUUACACUGGUUCAAUAUGGAGAAUUGUAGUUGUGGACAAGUUCCAGUUAAUAAAGAGGAUAAGUUCUCCAAGAGUCAGUGUCCGAGGACUGACUUGGAGACAGAGAAAAUGCAAGGUAAGCUUUAUGCUUCUCUGGUGGGAAGUCUCAUGUAUGCAACUAUAUGUACACGGCCUGACCUUGCUUUUAUAACUGGAAUGUUGGGAAGGUUUCAAUCAAAUCCAGGUGAAGCACAUUGGAUAUCUGCCGAAAAGGUUCUAAGAUAUUUACAAAGAACCAAGAAUUUCAUGUUGGUUUAUGGAAAUGGCGAAUCUUUGGAACUUGAAGGAUAUACUGACUCUGAUAUGGCUGGUGAUAUAGAUGAUACAAAAUCGACCGGUGGCUAUAUCUUCAUGUUAAAUGGUGGUGCAGUUUCUUGGAAGAGUGCUAAGCAAACUGUGAUAGCCACAUCCACUAUGGAGGCUGAGUUCGUAGCUUGUUUUGAAGGGAUGAAACAAGCUGUGUGGUUGAAGAAUUUUCUGACUGAUUUAAAAAUUGUAAAAUCGAUUCAGAAACCAGUAAGGAUGUUUUGUGAUAACAAUUCUGCUGUGUUCUUUGCCAAGAAUAAUAGAAGAACUUCUGCCUCAAGGUUAAUGGAUGUAAAAUUUCUUAAAGUAAGAGAGGAAGUGAAGAAGGGGAUGAUUGAAGUUCAGCACAUCAGCACUGUUUUUAUGGUUGCAGAUCCUCUGACUAAAGCACUGCCUAUUGGAGAAUUUCAGAAACAUGUAUCUCGGAUGGGAGUGUUAGAAACUCUAGAUCAGUGGGAGUAAUUGAUCUGUUUCAGAAAGUUUGAAGGUUGCUGCUAUGUGAGUAAUUCAAUUUGGGACCUUGUUUACAUUUUAGUCUGAGCUAGCUUACUUAGUUAUGUUUAGUUUGUUAGUUUGUUUUAUAUUUUAAUAAGAGUCUUUGCUUCGAAACCUAAGGCUUCCAUUUUGGAGUAUUGUGGUUUUGAUAAUAGACUUUGUUGGAUUCAUAUGGUACUUUGCAAGGACAAUUUGUUUGUUUUAAAAGUUUAUAUGUUUCAUGAAUUUUAUUCAGUUAAUGAAAUGCUGUUUUUCAUUGAAGAUUGAUAUAGAUUGUGAUCUUUUGAAAAGUGGGAGCAUGUUCUGGAUUAGUGUUGUUAAUCAUGUGUCAUAAUUGCAGAUUGGAUACAUGUGAGUCUUGAAUCAAUGAUUGUUUGGUAGUAAUCUGAGAUUCUUGGCUUCUGUAUUUUGAAAUGCAAUGGGACGUUGGUCAUGAUGAUAAAAUCUUGAAUAAGGCUAUGUGAUCACUUUUUAUAAUUGGUAAAGGCUGUGCUUGUUCAUGUCUCAUGUUCAAGUGGGAGAAUGUAAAGAUAUGAACAUGAGUAUACGGUGAACAAGUGUCAGUUAUUUGGUCCAAUUAGUAUAAGAAAGCCUUAUAGGAAGAUGAAUGUGAGUUCUUGUUGAUAGAGGAAUCUGUCAUGGAGAAGAACCAACAUACACGAGGAAACAUGAGUUGUUUCCUAAUCGGAUUGUAAUAGGAAAUCCUCAUUGGUUUAGGAGAGGUAUAUGUAUAUAUAUAUAUAUGUUGUAAUCUCUGCUCUCAUAGACACGCUCAGUCAAGAACUAAGUCCUAUUCUUAGUUAGAGCAUUAAGAGUUCUACCAGAGAGGAGAAGAGUUGCAGCAUACAGAAUUUGGACAGCUGCUGCAAUGGCAUAUUCGAAUGGAUGUUCAUCAGGUUAGUGUGAAUACAUCAGUUCAUAUUUAAAAGGUUUUAUGCUUUCUUGAUUGUGUUUUAUGUGGCUUAAAUCUUGAUCUUGGCUAAUUGAAUCUAACAUAGUGUUCCCAGACCACCAAUGUGAUUGAAGACUUAUUUAAAAGAUAGGAGUUUUAAUGAAAAACUUACAGUAUUGUUCAUUUUAACGAAAAACCAUAAUCAAUCCUGGUAGUAUUCACUUUAUUGUUAAAACUCAAAGUUUUCAAAACCAUUUUCAUUAGUUUUUUUUAUAAAGAAUUGGCAGCAAUGUUGAGCUACUUGGAGUCUAGAAUCUGGCAAGAAACAAGAAUUGCACUUUGGUAGAUUGAUACAAAAUUAUUAUGAACGAUAAAUAUGUCAUACUUGGUGGAAUCGUUGGAUGAGUAUUAAUGACUAUAAUCAUUUGUUGGAAUCUUAAAUUGGAAAGUACGAGAUUUAUAGAAACAUGGAACUAAAAGUAGUUGAGUCUCCGUUCGGGGCACCUAGAUCUAUGUUCUGCUCAAAGUCACCAAAUAAGGGAGUGAAACCCUUUCAGUUAAAAUCAGAUAAAAUGAUCAAAUUGAGUUUCGAAUUCGUGGACUGAAAAAUGACUAUUGAAAAGAGAAAUAGAGUUAUUUGAUGAUUGGGUUAACAUAAUAGAAUAAAGAGAAAACAUUGCAUUCAUGCUUUAUUAUUGCUUCUGCUAAAUUAAAUGCAUUUUGAUUUUACCCUAUUAAGCUAGUAGCUCACCCAUGACUAGUGUUAAAUUAGAGACUUAAAAAGCAGUUGGUUUUAUGGAUGUUUUAAAAAGUAGUUGGUUUUACAUAGGAUUUUUAUUUUAUUUUAUUUUUUAAAACAAACGUUAUUAUUUACAGUUAUAUUAAAGGGAGGGGUGAACUAAGUUUCACAAUGGGUUAGUGAUAAUGUAGUUCAAAUUCACCUUUAGCGAGAAUCAGACCAAAGACGACUCACUAAUAAGUAAAGAAAAAUAUCACUAAACUGUAGUACUAAGUAAUGAAUUAAUAGGACCUCACCUCGUUAAUUAUUGCCGGCGAGCAAAAUACAACCUACGCGGUUUCAGUUUCACGGUACACAAAAUGCCAAAAGUAUUGGUCUUUCUUUUUUCUAAUCAAACAAAUAGUAUUGGUCUUUGUCUCGUGCCUUCGAUUAUUUCCAAUUUUCAUAAAUUAUAAUCGGUCCUUCUUUUUUAAUCAAACAAAAAGUAAUGGUCUUCUACCAAAAAAUAAAAAGUAAUGGUCUUUGUCUCAUGCCUUCCAUUAUUGUCCAAUUUUUUAAUCAAACAAUGGUAUUGGUCUUUGUCUCAUGCCUUCAAUUAUUUUCCAAUUUUCAUAAAUUAUAAUCUUCAUCUUUUUCUCCGUCUCAUACUUGAUAUUUUCAUCGAGUUUAUUGACACAGGAGUCCAACAAUACCGUAAGUUAUAGCGUAAUGCGAUUGAAGCAUAUCACUGCUACUCUUUUGUGAGCUCUCAUAUGCCCCAGAGUAUGUUCUUCCAAUUGUUUCUAAUUCCAAAUUGAAUUUCUCUAAUUUUACUUGUUUCUCCGUUGGAUCGAAUGAGAAUAGAUAAGAGCGAGCUCCAAUCCCUUCGUCUCAUAUUUGAUAUUUUUAUUUUCAUUGACAAAGGAGGAGACCAACAAUAACGACUCAGAGCAACUGGAGCAUAUCAUUGCAACUCUUUUGUGAGCUUCCACAUGCCCCAGGGUAUGUUAUUCUGCACUCUUACUACCAUAUCUAAUAUCCUUCUGGAAAUUUUCUGAAAGAAAGUAAGGGCUUAUGAGCUACAUCUGACUUUUGUUUCACUUUUUUUCUUCUUAUUAUAUAUGUAAUUCAGAUUCUGAGCACUCAUCAUUAAACACAAGACUUCAAAUUCGAUUUCUUCCUCAACAAUUACAUAUGUUGAAAAAAUAAAAUGCAAAAUGAAAGUUAUUUAUUUUCUGUGUAGACGGGUCUAGGCGGCCACCUAAUUAGGUCUAGGCAUCAUUUCUUAAUUUUCAAAUUCCUAGGCAUUAAUUGGGGCGGUGGCCAACUGUCGAGCGCCACUGGGAUUUUUAGAACAGUGGUUAACGUGUUGACCCAAGACUCGUUAUUUUCGAAUCGUUCAGUGUUUGAUUAACGGGUCGUGCAAAAAAUUGUGUAGUAUUUGUGUAGAGUCCAAUCUACUAAACCCAAAACAUUCCGUUCUUUUCGACGUGUGUACUUUCAUUUAACAACAAUUUUGUGGUACUUGUCAACUGCCACCUACAAAGAAUUGAAACUUUUGGUUAUCCUUUAACACUGACUAAAAUCCAUGACAUUUGGUGGAAGAAUUAGAUUGAAUGAGUUCGAAAGUUUCAAUCAUAGAUUUUUGUUCUUGAACCAAAUUCUUUAAUUCUGUGUUCUUGCAAAAAAGACUCGAGAAGUAGUUUUCGGACUUUUGAAGUUAAGAACAAAAAUUUAAAUUUCUUGAGUACCUUAUUUAGAUCUUGAUUUCUUUUGGCUUGUGGUUUCGUUUUGAAAACUAAGCACAUAGUUUGUAAAAUACAAAAAUUUAUCCAUUGCAUUCUUUUUUUCUUUUCCUGUUGUUUUGAAACUUGUCUAUUCUGCAGACAGAUUGGAUAACAAGUAUCGAAGGCCAAAAUGGAGUCAGCUGCAUCACUAUUGAUUGGGAAAAUUGCGGCCAUUCUUGAGAACGAAGCAUCUUCCAUAGCGGCAGUCCGUGAUGAAGUUGAUGAGCUUAAGCUGGAGCUCAUAAGCAUGAAAUCUUUCUUAAUAGAUGCUGAAGGCAAGGAACCACAAACAGAAGGAGAGAGAACGUGGGUUACAAGCGUCAGAGAUUUGACCUGCGAUGCUGAAAAUGUCAUUGAUGAGUUCCUGUAUCACAUAUAUGACAAGCAAAGUGCGACUCCAUUUGCAAAAUUGCUCCACAGAACCAUUUACUUUCCAAAGAAUCUUUGGCAUCGGCAUCGAAUAGCCAAAAAUUACAGAAAAUCACAAAAAAGAUCGAAGCCAUUCCAGAGAGGAAUGAGAGAUAUGGUGUCUCUACAAUAGAAGGAACAAGUUCGGAUAGUGUUCCCAGAUGGGUGAAGAACAAAGCCGAGUCUUCUCUUUAUAUUAUGGAAGACGAACUAAUCGGGAUUGAAGACAAGAAGCAAACGUUAAUGGGGUUAUUGAUGAAUGGAAAGGAAAAUGAAAUGGUUGUGUCUGUGGUCGGGAUGGGAGGAUCAGGCAAGACAACUCUUGUUGCCAAUACCUUCAACAACGAAAAUGUAAAGCGACAAUUUGACUGUUAUGCAUGGAUCACUGUUUCUCAAACUUAUGUGAUUGAAGACUUAUUCAAACAAAUGAUCAAGAAGUUCCACGAAGGAAGAAAGGAAGAGGUGCCUGAACAUUUGAAUUCCAUGAGUUAUGAAAAUUUGUUAGAUAUGUUGUCGACAUACUUGAAGUCUAAAAGGUACCUCGUUGUAUUGGAUGAUGUGUGGGAUAUUAAACUUUGGCAAGAAAUAAUCAUGCUUACAACACGAAAGAAAGACAUAGCAUUCUAUUCUUUUGAAGUUGAAAGUCGUCCUUUUGAAAUUGAACCUUUGGAAAACAAUGAAGCUUGGGAGCUCUUUAGCAAGAAAGCAUUCUCAAGUUAUGAUAACAAAUCUUGUCCACCAGAGCUUGAAUCAUUAGCAUGGAAACUUGUGGAAAAGUGUGAAGGCCUACCUCUGGCAGUGGUAACUUUAGGUGGUCUAAUGUCUUCCAAGAGGUCAUCAUCGGAAUGGAGAAGAGUAUACAACAGCUUAAAUUGGCACUUGACUAAGCAUCCUAUGCUAGAAUCAAUGAGCAGCAUCUUGUUGCUUAGUUUCAACAAUUUGCCCAACCCGUUGAAGCCAUGUUUCCUAUAUUGUGCCCUUUUCCCAGAAGAUUAUCUCAUCAGAAGAAAAAGGUUGAUCAAGUUGUGGAUAGCUGAAGGGCUUGUUGAACCAAUUGAUGGGGUCACACCAGAAGAAGUUGCAGAGGACUAUCUUGUGGAACUUACUGGUCGUAGCAUGCUACAAGUUGAAUUAAGGAAUGAAGCUGGAAGACCAAAAGCAUGUAAGAUGCAUGAUCUUAUGCGUGAGCUUGCUUUGUCCACAUCAAAAAAUGAAAAGUUUGGUGCAACAUAUGUUGGCCGAGAAAUAGUAGAUAAAGCUGAAAUCCGUCGAUUGUCAAUUCAAACAACUGAAGGGGAAAUUAAUUCUUGCACUGGUAUGUCAGAGCUUCGCUCCUUUCUUGUCUUUGGCACGUUAAAGAAAUUGCCUUCUGGAUUCAAGUUGUUGAUAGAUUUCCAGAUGAACUAGUGUACUUGUUCAACUUAAGAUAUUUAAAUUUGAAGGGAACUUUAAUUGAGGAGCUUCCAGAAUCCAUCGGACGGCUUCGCAACCUUCAAAACUUGAACAUCCGUGACAGUAAGAUAAAGGCACUUCCAAAAGCAAUCUACAAGUUAGUAAACCUACGCCAUCUAACCAUGUAUCGUUACACUGAUUAUCAUUAUGGCUGGGAUAAAAGCAGCAUCCGAUCUAAGUAAAUUACAGAAACUGCAAGUUUUGCAAUCUGUUGAAUCAGAAGGAAAGAUAAUUAAAGGCAUCAGGAAUAUGACCCAACUUUCAAGCGUCGGUAUUACAAAUGUGAAAGCAAGUGACGAGAUGGACCUAUGUGACUCCCUUCAAAAGUUAGAGCUCCUUCACUAUUUGUUUUUGAUGGCAAGUGAUGAAGAGGAGUUUCUUCGAGUUAAUGCACUAAGUUCGCCUCCUCCAGGCCUUCAAAAGGUUUAUUUGGCCGGAAAACUAGAAAAGGUACCUCUUUGGUUUGGUUCACUCCAUAACCUGACACGUAUGUCUCUACGUUGGUCUAGACUUGAAGAAGAUGUGCUACCUCACAUUCAAGCAUUGCCGAAUCUUGAAAGGCUUGGGCUAAUUAAUGCGUAUGUUGGCGAAAAAUUGUGUUUCUCCGGAGGCUUCAUAAAGCUUAAGUGUUUGAAUUUGGGCAACCUCCCCUUGUUGAAUAGUAUAGCUAUAGAGAAAGGGGCAAUGCCAAAUCUCCAGGUCCUAGACAUUUGGGAAUGCAUGGAGUUAAAGACAUUGCCGCAGGGCAUUGAGUUCCUUGCUAACGUGGAACGCUUGAUUCUGGGGCAUGUUCCAAUGCAACUUAUAGAGUCCGUAAAAGGAGGCAUGGAUCAUCCAAAGGUACAACACAUUCCUGAAAUCAGCCUGUAUUACAUGGGACACCUUGAAAGAUUGUCCGGUAUUCACUCUCGUAGAAGGUACGCACACUUUUAUCCUUGCAUAAAAAUUUGAGUAAUGCUGGUAGGGGUGGGCGCGGUGCGGUUUGGUGCGGUUUUGAGUGAAACCACAACCGAAAUCGAAACUUUUUGCAGUGCGGUGCGGUGCGGUUUUGAAGCCAAAACCGAAAUGAAACCAAACCGUUUGGUUCGGUUUGGUUCGGUUCGGUGCGGUUUCAAACGGUUUCGGUUUGGUUUUUGAGAAAAAAAUGUACAAUUUAAAAUAUACACAUAUUUAUGUAUAAGAUGGUCUUAUUUUCCUUGUAUAUUAAUUAAUGAAUAUGCACCAAAAUAGCACCAAAAACUGAACCAAACCUGCAGCAAAACAACACCAAGAAACUGUACCAAACCUGCAGCAAAAAACUGCACUGAAACUGCAGCAAAAAACUGCACAAAAAACAGCAGCUAAACAACACCAAAACUGCACAAAACUGCACAAAAACAGCAGCUAAACUGCAGCAAAAAUUACACCACAACUGCACCAAAACUGCACCAAAAAACUGCACAAAACUGCACCUAAAAACUGCACAAAAACGCAUCACAUAAUUCACAUCUACUAAAAUUCAACUUGAUCACCAAUCAAUCACAAUAGUUUACUACAACCCAAUUGAAAAAUUAAGUUUGCCAUAAUACAACUAAAGUUCAAACUUCAAAGUUUCAAACAAAGUUCAAUGUCAAAUGCCUUAUGGCAUUAGUACAACCAAAAAAAUAAAUGGUUCAUGGAAUUCAACAAAAUCUUGGUUUUCAACUUACUUUGCAUCGUUCAAGUUUCAAACUUUUACAUUUCCUUUUCCUUUUGGACACUUAUUCUUUGAAGGUUUAGGAGGCCUUUGAGCUUGUGAAGACCUUGCACUUUGUAAACGCAUAAGGGGAGGCUCUUGUGAAUUAGAACCUUGAGAUUGCUUUGGAACUUGUUGUGGUUCUUGAUCAAGAGUAAGAGAGGCAAUGCUUGAAGUCGAUUUGGCCAACUCUACACAAUACAAAACAUAAAAAAUAUAAUUGAUGUUUAGUUGAAAAAAGAAAACAAAGAAAGUUCUUUUAUUUCAAUUGAUAUACUUACCGGAUUCAAUACUUUCAUAUAACUCAAUGUGGUCAAUUGAAGGUGCAUCAUCCUCCAAAGUAAUAAUAUUAUCACCCCUCAACCAAUUUUGCAUGCAUAUCAAGGCCUCCACCGAUUUAGGAGUUAAAGAACUCCUAAAAUCCGAAAUCACUCGACCACCGGUGCUAAAAGCACUCUCCGAUGCCACGGUCGAAACUUGAAUUGCAAGAAUAUCUUUUGCAAUUGCGGCCAAGAUAAGAUACUUGUUACCAUUCACCUUCCACCAUAGGAGAAUGUUAAAAUAUUUUGUGGACUCCUCUUUUGUAAUUUGUACCAAGGGAUCAAACAAAUAAGAAUCCACCUCAUCUCCCACCACUUUCUCAUCACUAUCUUCAACAAAAUGCAUCCAUUCAUCAAUUAGAUCAUCUUCCGUCAUAGCCACAUUAGAUGAGGUAGAAGAAGGUUGUGAUUGUAAACUUUCCGAUUUCUUCAUGUAUUUUCCACCUUCAACAUUAGGAACAUAUUCAUCAUAAAGGGCACGCAACUUUCAAUUAACUUUAUUGGCGGAAGCAUUGUCCACUGUGAUUGUCAUAACUUUGUCUAUCCCUCAUUCCAACAAGCAACUUUCAAUUAACUUUGCAAUUGUGGUUCCUUAGUGGUUAGGAAUAACACAAAAUUUUAUGAUCCUCUUAUGCAUAUUCCAUUCAUGAUCAAUAAAAUGUGAAGUAAGAACCAUAUAAUUGGUAUUUUGUGUGCUUGUCCAAGUGUCGGUAGUGAGACAAAUUCUAUGGGCACUUAAGGUUUUCUUCAAAUAAGCUUUUGAUUCAUGAGACAUGUUGAGAAAAGUUCUCACAAGAGUUCUUCUAGAAUGCACUUUAAACAAUGGAAUACCAACAGCACAAAAAAGCCGAAACCCCAUCUUAUCAACUGUACUAAAUGGCAUCUCAUCUAUGACUACCAUCUUAACACAUGCUUCUAACACUCUCUUGUGAAAAUCCAACAGCAACCAGAUUGUUACCUUUACUUUUAUCCCCAACCAAAACUUUUUGCUUUUUACUUCUAUUCCCUUGGUAAAAUUUACAAUAUCUUUCAAUGUGGUGUCUCAUGCUUGUGGUGCCAUUAACUCUUGGUUCAGCUGCAUAAUCACCUACACUGCUCUAUUUUGGGCAAUAAUUACAUUUAGCUCUCCUAAGUUUUACUUCGGCCAAAUAUUUCUCUCCCUUUUCAUUGAUUUUUGACUAUUUUUUCGUCACAUAAUACGUUGUAAAAUUAUCACAAACCCAACUACGUUUUCUUGAAUCAGAGUUACUUACUUUUUCAUCUUCGCCCUCAGAUUCUUCGCCGUCAUUUUCAAAGUCACCUUCAACGUCUAUUUCAUUUUUCGAGUCAAUUUCUAUUGCCUCGUCCUCCGGCUUCUCAGGGGAGUCCCCCGUAGAAGAGUAACCAAUCCCACUAUGCUUGCUGGAUUCUUCAUAUCUUGACUGAAAUAAAAUACGAAAGAAGAACAUAGAUAGAUAUUAGGUUUUUAUACUAAGAAAAUAGAUAGAUAUUAGGUUUUUAAAUUGACUUUGUACUUCACAUUUCUAUUAUAAUGUAGCAGGAAAGAAAUUGUAAAACAUUGUAAAGAGGUUGCCGAGAAAAGUAAACAUUGUUAUGUAGGAAUCAAUACAAUUGGAUAUGUAAUAGCUGAAUAAAUAGGGAGGAAGGCAAAAUGACGCGAUACGCACCAUAGUUUGAAGUUCAUCGGUUAAGAACGGGUUACAGUAGUGGUCCAUGCAUAGAUUAACAAACUGAAAACAACAAAUGGUGCAGUGAAGACGGUGAAUCAACGCAGUCACAGAUUAACAAAUUGAAAACAACAAAUAAAACCACAGAAAAAGAAAACAGCCAACUCCCAUUGGAACAAAGAACAUACGGACAGAAGAAGACUCAAAAUGAGAGAAAUGAAACAAAUAAAUAGACCUUCUAAAUCUCCUAAUUCAUUUAAAAAACAAACCAUAGAAUAAUGUUAUAUGGGUGAUAUCAAACAAAAGCAAACGUAUAACAGAAAAUUACUCAAGGCUUUGCCUGAUAUCAUACAAAAGCAAACUAAUGUGAACUUUUAACUUCAAAACCAAUCAUCAAUGAUAGAUACUAAUAUCUCAACUUUCGAAAAAAAAUUACUUACUUUGCCAAACCCAAACCUGCCUAACAUUCGAAAGAAAUGCACAUUUUAAAUUAUCAAUCAUGAUUAGUGGAGUACCUCUAAUAUCUCAACUUUCGAAAAAAAAUUACUAAUAGUAUAACAGUCUGACAUUUGAACAAACCUGCCUAACAUUCGAAUUAAUCUAACAACAUUCGAAUUAAUUACUAAUAUCCCAAACCUGAGUUUUUCAAAAUUGAAGACUGCUUAGAUUAAUAAUUACUCCAUUGAGUGUGUCGACUUCAACAUGUAGAUUAGUAAUUUUUUGCCAAACCCAAACCUGCCUAACAUUCGAAUUAAUCUAACAACAUAUAUGAAAUUGAAGACAGAGGAUGAGAAAUUUUUACCUCUGCUCUGGGUGUGUCGACUCCAAGAUUGGAGGCAAGGCAGAGAUGAAAACAGUGACUCACUCAGUGAGGUCGCAAGGCAAGUAGUGACUCACUCAGUGAGGUUGCAGUCGCAGAGGCAGACGCAUCUUGUGCAGAUUGCAGUCAGGCAGUCGCUCGCAGAGGUAGAUGCAGGCAGAAGCAGUCGCUCGCAGAGGUAGAUGCAGGCAGGCAGAAGCAGAUGCAGAAGCAGUCGCAAACCCACUCGGUGUUGGUGCAAAGGCAGAUGCGGAGAUGCAAGGAGGCGCAGAAGCAGUCGCAAACCCACUCGGUGUCGGUGCAAACCCAGAAGUUCUGGCGGCGCAAAACCAAAUGUAUAAGUAUACUGUAUAACCUAGUUGAAUAAUGAACUAAAUAAAAAUAAAAAAGUGCGGUUUCGGUUUCGGUGCGGUUUUGAAAACCCAAAACCGAAACCAAACCGUUUUGUGUGCCGCGGUUCGGUUUUGAAACCGAAACCGUUUCAAAACCGCAAAACCAAACCGUUUGGUGCGGUUUGAUUCGAUUCGUGUUUCGGUUUCGGUUUUCGGUUCCAAAUGCCCACCCCUAAAUGCUAGACUUAUCACAUUUUACAUACUAUAUUUGUACCACCUUUCUAAUAGAGGUAGGGUCCAUCAACAUAUGUGGGUCUCAUUUCAAUUAGAGAGAUGAUACAAAUAUGGUAUGAAAAUUAUGGUAAGAGUAGCAUUUUUGUAAAAAAAAAAUUCCACAAUGUAAUCAUUUGAACUAUAUUACGUUAGAAAGGUUGGAGAUUUUCACUCUUAUUUUUUUCUUAUGUGCUCCUCCUCUGGUUUUUGUUCGUUAGUAUUUUGAUUUAUUCAAUUCUAAGGCUACGAAAAAGAGGAAGUAGUGCAUCGGAGUGUAAAAUCAUUUUGCCUUAUAAUUUGCAUGUUCAAUCUUAUUCACAAGUCUGGCAAAGACAUAAUAUAUGCAUGCAUUGAGAUUUUAUUCAGUAACUGUGUUUCUUUUGUCUUGUAAUAUCCUUUUUGUAGAAUCAAGCCUCAGAAGCACUUGUGAGACUGCAAUCUUUUUUGCCAAUUGAUUUUGUGGUGAAUCUCGACUUUCGUUAUAGUAACAUAUCAGACUAUAUACGUGUUGAGUCAUUCACCCUGCAAGGAAGAACCCGUUUGUUGUUUGUGUGUUGUGUGAAGUUGCAAACAUUGAUCGAUCUUGGUUUCUUAUUUGCCCUUUUUGAAAUUGAAUAAUGUCCAAUAUUCUAUUUGUGUAACUGAAACUUAUAUUGAUUGCUUGCGUGUGUUUUGAUGUAAUAAUUUUAGUUUGGAACUAAAUGUGUCAUUGAUGAGAAUAAUGCCCAAGAUUCUGUUUGUGUGUAACAUGAACUUAUAUUAUUGUUUGCUUGCGUGUAUUUUGAUGGAAUAAUAUUGGUUUGGAACUGAAUAUGUCACUGAUGAGACCAAUUCUAACUAAAGCAAUGGUUAUGACCCAUUUUUCAUUUUCAAUAUUUAUUGGUUUUUUUUUUCAAGUUUUCAAAUAUAUAUUGUUUUAGGAAGGUAAAUUUUGUGACGGAUGUUUUAGCUCACUAUGGUUUCUUCUGAGAAAUUAUUAGAUGAUACGGUAUUACCAUGUCGGGUAAUACUUCCAUUCAAAUUUUAACAUGAGUGCAGUUUUUUACGGCUGGAUUAAAAAGCUUUUUUAAUUAAUUUUUUUUUUCAGUUUAAACAAAAUUAAAAGAAAAAAUAAUUCUCAGCUCCUUCCGCCAAAGCCCCAGUUCCCCACCACCACCUUCAUUCCCUGCCAUCAAUUGCCAUGACUGCCUUCCUCCUGAGAAAUCACAUCCACCGUCAUAAGAAAUAAUAUCAACCUUAAAGAAUUAAUAUUCACCUUCAACAUCCAGAAAUCAGUCCCCAGUGGCUCCUCAAGGACUCAGCCAUCGAAAUCCCCCAAACCCCAACGAAGUCGGAGUUUCGAACGGCUCCCUGCCGAAAUCUCCAUCUCGAAACACCGCCACGGGUCUCCAACAUCCGUUGAACUCGGCGUCGUCUUCCUCCGUUCCACGUCUGUACAAAUGGCAAGUUUGAAGUCAAAGUACCACAACUGACGUGGUGAUACUGUAUCAUUCUACAAUUUAUCGUCUCACGCUAGCUAACCCUCAUUUUUGGGACCAUUGCUUGCCUUAUCGCUCAUAAUGCUUGUAUGGGAUCAGUGGCGGAUCCAGGAUUUUAAAUUCGGGGGGUCCCAAUAAUAAAGGUAAAAAAAUUUAUAGAUAAAAAUAAUAUUGAAAAGUUAAAUAUAAUACACUUCAUUCAAAAAUUAGAUGGUGCUAUUGGCUUUGGCUUGAAAAAUCUUUCCAUAUUUCUCAUUUCUAAACUACACAUUUAAUCAAAAACACAAAAUAUAUACCAAUCAACCAAUAAACAAAAAUUCCAUCUAAAUUGCAAUGAUAAAAUGAGUAUACAAACAUAAAACAUAUCAACAACCAUAUCAAUAAUAGACUAAAAAUCUCCACCAAUAUCUAAUAUAAUUUAAUUGAGAUUAGAUUAUGUUUAUACCAUAUUUAGGGCCUCGUAUAUUUGGGCCUUGGGCCUUGUAUUUGGGCCUCACACUAAAGCCCAUACUUUGUAAAAGAGGAGGAGCCCCUUAUUCUAUAAAAGGGGACUCCUCCCCUCAUUCUAGGGGAGGCAAAAGAGCCAAGCCUAAGAAGGCUAAGAGAAGCUCUCAUUACAUUCAGGAGAGACCUCACACCACCGAGGCUCUCCUCUCCCUUCUCUUCUUUCUCUGGGGGACUUCCCCAAACACUUGUAUCCAUACACUUACAGAGAAACAGAAUCAACUACAGUGUGGGCGUAGCCCAAACAUUGGGGUGAACCACGAUAAAAUCCUUGUGUUCUUUGUGUCAUUUACAUUUCAUGCAGAUUCACGGUCGGAUUUACGUUGUUCCAAGACCAUCCGGUUUUGUGCAUCAACAUUUGGCGCCGUCUGUGGGAAUCGAUACAAAAAACUAUGUCGGUUCUCUUUCAUUUUUUCAUCAAAUUUCACCACUGUGAAUCUGCAAAAUCUGCAAAAACCUAUCAACAGAAAAGAUCCAAAUUCCAACACCUGUGCUCUUCCAUCCCUCUCUGUUCUUGUAAAAGCAACAUCCAAAUUACAAAAAAACAACAUCCAAAAGCUCCUGGAAAAACACCUCCACUUCCCCCUUAACCUUCACACGUGUCCAAAAGCUCCUGGAGAAAGAUUAGGGGAAGUAACAGGCUUUUUCCGAGCUCUUCAAUGGCUGUCGACGAGAACGUGGAGAGCCGCGGCAACCAAGCGGUGCUGUCAUCGCAGGCACAGCCAUGCAGAUUCAGGCAGAAGCUGGAGAUCCACAACGAGGUACUCCGACGAAUCCAAGCGUCCGCUUCGUUGACCCAAAACAAACCGAGUCUGCUUCGUUCCCAUCGCCGGAACCCGCGAUUCAUUGCGGCCAGUCGUCGACCUCAGUUCAAGCUCUCUGUUAACCGGGUCGAUCUCAUUGGAGCUCGGGAAGCUCACCGGUCUUGAAGUGUUGAGAGCAGGAGGGAACCAGUCCUAGCGCAUGGAAGCAGCUGCCCCAAAGUCUUCUCCGCCGGAGUCUGCCAUCUCCAUCAAGAUCUCCGUCAAGUCUGCCAUCUUCUCAGAUUCUGUUGCAGGAACCCGCGAUCUCCACUCUCUCUGCUCAUCCUGCUCGCCUGAAUUUUUUCCGGUGACUGCGACGGCGACGCCAAGUCGUCUUCGUCGUCGGAUUGUUCCGCCUACAUAUCCAGCACAGAAAUGGAGGACUUGUCGUCCUCGAACGGUGUGGAGAGCAACGGCGCUGGACCGGCGGCGAGGAGGGAGAUCUGUUGACAAAAAUGGAUACUUGUUGACGAAGGAGACGGAGAUCUGUUGCUGCAGCAGAUCAAUCGAGAGGAGCUGAAAGCCACCGGAGCUGAGCCUUUGACCGACGGGCGACACGUCCUUUGCAUCCAUGGCUGGGAAGUCAAGUCCCGCCCAACAGCUGCCACCAGCGCCAUCCAUGCCACCUACCCCCGUCAGAUUUAAAGCAGCAAGCCGACCCGAGUGGAGGAGAACCGGGUCCCAGCAGCAGCGAUUCUCAAUCGUAACUUUGCUAAAUUGAUCGCCCAGGUUGGUUCCUCCCUGUGUGAGUCACCUGAACGUAUCAACCUGUUGAAGUCAGAUUUUGUUGCAGCAUCUGAUAAAAAUGCCGAGCUGGAGAAGCAGACUCACGAGUUGUAGAUGGGCGAAAUAGGAGGAAGACAGAGAGAUAGAUUUCUAAGGUUUUCGUCCGAUGAAGUGGAGGCCACCUCGCUGUCAACCCCAACACCACCUCGCAGGAGAUCGCCAGUUGGAUGACGUCGGACGACAUUCCUCUACGCCGGGGUCGUGAUGUCUCUACACCAGUCUUCGCCGGGAUUUUGUCCGGCCUCACCUUGGGUUUGAUGUCACUUAACCUCGCCGAGAAGAGGGAGAGUUGAUCCCUGAUAUUUCUGAGCUUGAAGGUGGUGAUGUGAUGGGCAGUCCCAGAAAAGAGAAAGGCAGUGGCGGACAAAGCAAAAGGAAAAGAGAAAGAAAAGGGAAAGUAAAAGCAAAAGCAAGUCAGUGUGUCUGGAAGUGGAGAGAUCAAAGAGGGAACAGAAAAGAAAAAAGAUCAUGUCGUUGGGAGAAUAUUUCAGAAAGCAGAAAAGAGGAAAGCAAAAAGGAUGCACAUGGAGACACUGCCAAAACAAGGAAUAAAUACCCCACCCGAAUGAUGUAAUUUAUUUUUAUUAUCUUUCGGAGACAUCUGUAUAAACCCCAUCAGAGGGUAAUAUAUAUAAACCCCAUCAGAGGGUCAAAAAAAAAAAAGAAAAAAAAAAGGGAAAAGCCCAAAACAAAUGGGCUGACAUGUUGUGGAGGGCAAAGGCCCAUAGGCCUGAAAUAGCACCAACCAGGUCAUCAAAAGUACGCCUAGUACUCCAAAAUUAUACAUGAGCACUACUCAUGUCAUUCAUACAUAAACAUUCAUGAGCAUCACUCAUGACAAUCAUACAUAAACAUUCAUGACCAUCAUUCAUGUCAACAUUCAUGAGCAUCACUCAUGUUAACAUUCAUGAGCAUCACUCAUGACAACAUCCAUGAGCAUCACUCAUGUCAAUCAACAUAAACAUUCAUGAGCAUCACUCAUGUCAAUCAGCUUCAAAAGCUUCAUUUACAAAAGCUCCAGCUUCGAAAGCUUCAUUUACAGAGCUCUAGCUUCAAAGCUUCACCUGCAAAGCUUCACCUACAAAGCUUCAGUGCAGGGUAUACAAGUACCGCCUUCGAACAACCGCCACUUCGGCCCAUACAUGAAUUCAAUUUGAAGUCUCCAGCCAACAGACUCUAUUGACUAAAGACUUGGGGACUACAUUAUGUACCAUAUAUUGGGCCUCAACUGGGCCUCAUGAAAAAUACUUGGGGGACUUAGCCCAUCACUUAUGUAUUGAGAAGCGAGCCCUUAUUUUAUAAAAGGGACUCCCUCACCACCAUUAGAGAGUAUCGCCGCCAGCUGAGCAACCACCUCGCCACGAGCAUCACUCCUAAAUUUAUGUAUCGAGGAGCGAUCCCUUAUUUUAUAAAAGGGACUCCCUCACCUUCAAACGCCACAAGCCAAGCCAACCAAGGCAACAUAAGCUACAAGCAAAGCGGCCUCACAACAUGUGCUACUUCUAGUUGAGCAUCAUUCCAGAUUGGGCACCGCCUCAUAUCGAGCAUCAGUUCUAGACGACAUUUAGUUACUUCGGCCCACACAUGGACUGAAUUUCAAGUCUCCAGCCAAAAGACUCUCUUGACUGAAUACUUGGGGGACUACUGUUUAUACCAUAUUUAGGGCCUCGUAUAUUUGGGCCUUGGGCCUUGUAUUUGGGCCUCACACUAAAGCCCAUACUUUGUAAAAGAGGAGGAGCCCCUUAUUCUAUAAAAGGGGACUCCUCCCCUCAUUCUAGGGGAGGCAAAAGAGCCAAGCCUAAGAAGGCUAAGAGAAGCUCUCAUUACAUUCAGGAGAGACCUCACACCACCGAGGCUCUCCUCUCCCUUCUCUUCUUUCUCUGGGGGACUUCCCCAAACACUUGUAUCCAUACACUUACAGAGAAACAGAAUCAACUACAGUGUGGACGUAGCCCAAACAUUGGGGUGAACCACGAUAAAAUCCUUGUGUUCUUUGUGUCAUUUACAUUUCAUGCAGAUUCACGGUCAGAUUUACGUUGUUCCAAGACCAUCCGGUUUUGUGCAUCAACAGAUUAGAAUACCAAAAAACAUACUUGAACUUUGAACUAAAUAGUGGUGGCUUGCAGAAUUGAAACAAGUGGAAGUAUGAUAUUGGAGUAAUGUAAUUAUAAUAUGAAAUUGGGUGGGAUUAGGAAUUGGGUGGGAUUAGAAAUUGGGUUUUGGGUGAAUAUAAGAAAGAUGGGGAUUAGGGGAAAAGCAGAGGAGUGGGGAAAGGAAACGGGAGGGACUCUCGGGAAGGAUGCGGCCCAUGUGGGGCUUUAAAAGAAUAUGGAACAUCAUGGACAUACAGCAGAGUUUGUCUCAUUGAUUUUUUUAUUAAAUUAAAACAAUUGGCCAAAACUAUGCCGUUUUGGACCAAUUGUUAAAAGGCCCUGUUUUCUUUCUUCUUCCCCUCCUAGUUGUCUUCUUCUCCAUUAGAACCUGCAACUCCAACCCGUAGCACAGACCUCGUGUCGAGUACGAGGGGUCCUCGGGAAAAUUUCUAGCAGCAAUUUAGGAUCGCCGAGGGGUCAUUGGACCUCCCAGGUCCCUCUGUAGAUCCGCCACUGUAUGGGAUAGAUGUACAAGAAGAUUUAGUCUUUAAUAGAAAUUUCUUUGUUGAUAAAAAAAAAAUGUGUGUAUAUAUAUACCGUAUUAGAAGAAAAUAAGUGAUUUUUGUAAAGUAAAUAAAUAAUAAGAAUAAUGUUAAGUACACUAAAUGAUGUGGCCCAAUCAAAAUUUUACUUUAAUUCAAGUUUGAUUUGAUUAAUAAUUGUAAUAAAAUUUUAUAUGGUGUUAUACGUGUCAUAUCAUUUAGUGAACACAUUUGGCGCAUAAAUUUGGUGUAUAUAGCAUCACCCAAAAAAUAAUAUUAAAUGGGUGGUGUUAUUCAUAUUUCAUACACUCAUUUUUACGUCUCACACGUAUUUUUCAAUUUCAGGUCGUCAGAUCAAAUAAAUUGAAGAAAUCAAUAAACAAAAUCAACAAGAAUGUAUGACAAAUAAAAAGAAGUGCGUAAAUACCAAUGUACUACCCUAAUAAUAAUAUGAUUGACCGGUUUGUGUAAAUAUCUUACUAAUACCAAAAAAAUAAAUAAAUGAUAUUCAUUAAAAACCUUUGUCAAUGUACAAUGCACAAAUCUCACAUUCCUAAGGAAUUUAUGUAUUUUAGGUUAAGAAUAUAUAUGUCAUAUCCCGGCCCGGGGUGGAUCACUUCCCGGCCCCGCUCCACCACCGUAGCACGAUAUUGUCCACUUUGGGCCCCGACCAUGCCCUCACGGUUUUGUUUCUGGGAACUCAGACGAGAACUUCCACAUGGGUCACCCAUCAUGGGAGUGCUCUCGCGCGCUACUCGCUUAACUUCGGAUGGAACCCGAAGCCAGUGAGCUCCCAAAAGGCCUCGUGCUAGGUAGGGAUGAGAAUAUACAUAUAAGGAUCACUCCCUUGGGCGAUAUGGGAUCUUACAAUCCACCCCCCUUAGGGGCCCGACGUCCUCGUCGACACAUCACAGUCAGGGUUAGGCUCUGAUACCAAUAUGUCACAUCCCGGCCCGGGGAGGAUCACUUCCCAGGCUCGCUCCACCACCGUAGCACGAUAUUGUCCACUUUGGGCCCCGACCACGCCCUCACGGUUUUGUUUCUGGGGACUCACACGAGAACUUCCCAGUGGGUCACCCAUCAUGGGAGUGCUCUCGCGCGCUACUUGCUUAACUUCGGAGUUCCGAUGGAACCCGAAGCCAGUGAGCACCAAAAAAGCCUCGUGCUAGGUAGGGAUGAGAAUAUACAUAUAAGGAUCACUCCUCUGGGCAAUGUGGGAUCUUACAAUAUAUAUAUAUAUAUAUAUAUAUAUAUAUAUAUAUAUAUUAUUGUUAUUUUUUGAGCAAAUGAGCUCUUACAUGACGGCUUGGGUUCAAAUCCCGUCGUAGCUAAUCUAACAAAAUCAAUCGUUUAACAAGAAAAAAAGGGGGAGGGGUAUGAUGUGGUUCAAAUUCGUCUUUGGCGAGAAUCGAACCUAAGACCUAUCACUUACAAGUGAAGAGGAAUACAACUAUAUCAUAGUAAUGAGUGGCUUUAGGUUAAGAAUAUUAACAAAGAGAGCAUUCUAGAAUUUAGAGGUUGGGGUGUGAUAUCCACACACCUUUUUUUUACUUUUCACACACCCUUCUAAUUUUCGGCCUUUGGAUCGGGUGAAUUGAAGAAAAUCAAAGGGCAGAUCUUAACAAGAAGUGUGUGAGAAGUAAAAAGAUGUGUGUGGAUAACACACCCAUAGAAGUUGUGGUGUUUCAAACAAGUUCAGUUGAUAAUGUUCUCACAUGAUUGACAAAUGACAAAGAAUGCAUUCUAGAAUUUGCCGCACGGCCAACAUGGUCCGUCGGCUGUAAAUGUUUAGAAGACCCUAAAUUAUACGUGCCAAGAGCUACAUAGACCUUAUUCGGAAUGGGUACAUAAGUACAAUGUAUGACGUUUUAUGCUAAUAAUACAAUGUUGACAAUGACAUGUGUAGGUUUCUCUUUACAAGACAAUUUAUCAUUGCAAUAAGAUGCUAUAGUGAUAGUAUAUUUGUGUCAUGUAAGUUACUCUCAUAAAAUAAAUAUUGUGGAGCCAAAAAUAAUUCUAAAAAUUCAGAAGACGACACGUGUACUUUAUUCCGAAGAAGACAAGAUUGCCCUCAUUAAAUUGGGAGGGGCAAACAAAUACUCGCACAUGCAACUUCGCGGGAAGUUCAAGCAGCUAACUACGACUGCUUAAACCUCUCUUGGGGGAAGUCACAAGUAUUAAAUAUAGGGUUAAUUACUAAAUCUUAUUUUUAAUACAUUCUCAAUCGAAGAUCAACUCAAUUAAGUAAGGAAUCCCUACAUAUCACAAUCAAUUAGGGAUGUUUCCACCAUUAUCACAAUCAAUUAGGGAUGUUUCCACCAUUAUCCCAAGAUAGUUUCUCCUGAUUAAUAUAUUGGGAAUAUUUUUUCCUCAUUCAUCCAACGGAUGAGAAACGUUUCUUUCAUAUGAAGAAACUCGCCAGUUAUUCCUUCUAUAUUUGUGAUAGAGUGCAUCUUCACACGAAAGGAUCAUUCUGUUCUUGUCAUGUGAAAUAUGUGUUUCUCGGAUUUGCAUAGUAAUUUUGUGCACAGAAUCUUAUGGCUUCAGUUUUUUCCAGGUGAGCAGGUUGUGUAACUUGAUUUUGUUAUUAUUCUUUUUGUAAACACGAUAUUCUCGUUCGGUUGCUACGAUUAUCAGUGUGGCCGGAAUACUACUUGUCCCAAACGCAUGGGGAAGUGCUCUAUAUUGUUCGUGAACUCCGCGUGUUAUGGGACUGCUGUUCCAGUUCAUGGGUGGAUUCUGACAAGCUGCAACACCAGGUAAUGUAGCUUGUACAUCAACUGUUUCAUGUUUCCAUAAGUGGUGAGAUAAAUUUGUUGGGUCUGAUUGAUUCAAACAGGAUUAUGGUACCCUUUUGAUGGAGGAGGCUGAGUGGUUUGCUCGCCGGGAGCAUCGAUAGAAAAAGACUGCUUGAGCUUGAAGGGAAACACCCAAAAAUAAGACUAAGGUUAGACUUUAUACAACAAAUGACUGAGACUUUAUUGUUAGCAUAUUGAAUAGAAGGACGACGUCCAAAUAAUACAAAUUUUGAACAGCAAAACCGAACCACCUCCUAACGAAUCUACCUAGCUAUUUUUCUUGUGUUACUUUUUCAUUCUCUAUUCUUCAUGUUGAUUUCCAUAUUGAUCUUCUGCUUCGGACUGUGAACAGAAUUGAAUCAAAAGAACCAUAUGAGGAAACCAACAUCAAGUGCGCAACGGAAAAGUUGCUCCUUUUGUGACAGAAAGGUCAUGGUUCAAGUCGUGGGAACAAUCUAUCUGCAGAGUAAGGGUAAGACUGUAUACGAUAGAUGUCCCCCUCUUGACCCUCACAAAGUGGAAGACUUGUUGGCUUGGGGUCGCCCUUUUACUUUUUGAUUCUUAAAUCUUGAUGCUGAUGUCUAUCUUGCUCUUCCGUUUCGGACUUUAUCCUUUAAAGAUAUAAUUAUCGGCUACGAACUGAUAAAUUUUAGUUAGAAACCCUUUCAUUUCAGAUGAAUAAGCUCUGACAAAAUUCGUCAUUUGGCUCAAAAAUUUGACCCCCACAGGAAAUUUACAGCUUCAACUAUGAGAAUUAUGCAUUGCACACUCUUGGAAAUAUAGCUAACCAAAUUUAUGAAACCUUUUAGCCCUCCGACUAUUUUGCUUCCUGAAAUGAGUUUCACGACUUUGAAUAGACAUUUAAUUCAUUUCUUGAUAUUGUCCACCAAAAUCUCGAAAAACUUUUGAGUCUGUUACCAUGCACAUGGGAGCAAGCUUUCUGGCAAUGGGUUUUACUCGGUCCUCAAUAAUAUAUCAACCUCUGAUCGAGUCACCCCACUCUGCUUAUUCUCCAAAACCUUCGUCAUCAGUUGUUGAAUGCAUUCCAACUUUGGCCUCUCUCCCCCUUCAAGCUUUCAUAAAUCGUCUUUCCAACAACUUGCUUAACGAUCUCAAACUCAGACAUUAACUGAACAUUAACUUCUGACCUCAUCAACGCAUUCUGCUUUCUUCCAAUAAUCUCGAAGACCAUAGUGAUGAGUUCUCGUUCCUUUGAACGCUCCCUUGCCAUUUCUUGUUCUUUCUUUCUGUAUAUGAGUUUGAGAUCAUUAAACAAGUUGUUGGAAAGCCAAUUUAUGAAAGCUUGAAGGGGGAGAGGGCCAAAGUUGGAAUGAGAACUCAUCACUAUAGUCUUCGAGAUUAUUGGAAGAAAGCAGAACGCGUCGAUGAGGUCAGAAGUUAAUGUUCAGUUAAUGUCUGAGUUUGAGAUCGUUAAGCAAGUUGUUGGAAAGCCGAUUUAUGAAAGCUUGAAGGGGGAGAGAGGCCAAAGUUGGAAUGCAUUCAACAACUGAUGACGAAGGUUUUGGAGAAUAAGCAGAGUGGGGCAACUCGAUCAGAGGUUGAUAUAUUAUUGAGGACCGAGUUUGAAAUCAUUAUGAAGCGCGUUGCUGAAAAUCCAUUGCCGGAAAGCUUGCUCUGCAUGUGCAUGGUAGCAGACUUAAAAGUUUUUUGAGAUUUUGGUGGACAAUAUCAAGAAAGGAAUUAAAUGUCUAUUCAAAGCCGUGAAACUCAUUUCAGGAAGCAAAAUAGUCGGAGGGCUAAAAGGUUUCAUAAAUUUGGUUAGCUAUAUUUCCAAGAGUGUGCAAUGCAUAAUUUUCAUAGUUGAAGCUGUAAAUUUGUUGUGGGGUCAAUUUUUUGAGCCAAAUGAAGAAUUUUGUCAGAGCUUAUUCAUUUGAAAUGAAAGGGUUUCUAACUAAAAUUUAUCAGUUUGUAACCGAUAAUUAUAUCUUUAGAGGAUACAGUCCGAAGCAGAAGAGCAAGAUUGACAUGGCCAUCAAGAUUUAAGAAUGAAAAAGUAAAAGGGCAACCCCAAGCUACCAAGGCUCUCCGCUUUGCUAACAUAUAUCGUAUGCAGCCUUCAAAGGAACAAGCACUCAUCGUGAUGGUCUUCGAGAUUAUUAUAAGGAAGCAGAAUGUCGACGAGGUCAAAAGUUGAUGUUCAGUUAAUGUUCGUGUUUGAGGUCGUUAUGCACUCAGUUGCUAGAAAACCGAUUUCUAGAAAGCUUGAAUAGGGGGAGAUGUCAGAGUUGGAAUGCAUUCAAGAACUGAGGACAGAGGUUUUCAAGAAUGAGCAAAGUGGAGCAACUCAAUCAAAGGUUGACAUAUUAUUGAGGAGUUUGAAAUCGUUAUGAAGCGCGUUGCUGAAAAACCCAUUGCUGAAAAGCUUGCUCGUGCUGUACGUGGUGGCAGACUUGUGAAGUUGUUCAAGAUUUUGGUGAACAACAUCAACAACGAAAUUUAAGGUCUAUUCAAAGCCGUGAAACUCAUUUCAGGAAGCAAAGCAGCCGAAGAGUUGAAAGGUUUCAUAAAUUUGGUUGGCUAUAUUUCGAAGUGUGUGCUAUGCAUAAUUUUCAUAGUUGAAGCAGGAAGGUAGCCCAAUAUUCUUCGUCGCGAUGGAUGUACAUCCUGCUGACUCCAGUGCUCAGGAAGCUUGGAUGGCAUCUCAGACUGGAGUUGUAGGCAUGCCAUAGCCAUACACGAAAAAAGUAUGAAAGCAACAGUUCAUGGGGCACAGGUAACUUCAAUGGACAUUGUGUCAGUUAAAAAACAAUUAAAGAUGAUAAGAGAGCUUGCAAUGAAUGGAGAAAGGAUUCAGAGGGCAGGGCGUUUAUGCAUAGGCCUCUCCCCCAUAUACUAAAUAAAUCACUCAUCGCAUGAACAACAUGUGAUUGUAGCUGUGAUAGGAGAAAUUUUUCAUUGUGUCCGUAAUACGAGUCAGGGGCGAAGGCAAUAUAUGCCUAGCAUAGGCCUAGGCCUACUCUCACUCUUUAAGCCCCUCUAAAUGUUCGUGGCAGGAAUUUUCGUCGGGGAUGUUUCCUGGCUGACGAGCACACAGCUCCCCUGGAGGUCGGCGCGGUUUAGGGCUGCUGUCGGGCUUCUGCUUCGCUGUUGGGCGUUGUCGGGCAAGUCUCGUCGGGCAAGACUCUUCGGGCAAGACUCUUCGGGCAAUGCUGAAAGAGAAGGACAUCGUUAACUUUGAGAGGUGCCUUUGUGGGGCCUUAGGUGUAGGCCUUGAGGCUCACAAUCAAGGUUAACAUUUAGGUGCUUAGGCGUGCCACUGCCAUCUUUAGCAUGGCAGAUGUAAAAUGGUUGUCGUGCUUUAGUUGUAUAUAUGUAUGUAUCCAAGAAACCGUGUUAGUUAUAACAGGUGCCUUCGUGGGGCCUUAGGUGUAGGCCUUGAGGCUUCCCAUAAAUAACUAAACCAGUGCUCGAACGCAUCAUAUUUGUUCUCGUGGUUGUAGGAGUUUUCUAACUACUAUACUUCUGAUUACCCGAAUCCAAGAAGUAGAAUGAACCCAAAUAGGUGCCUUUGUGGGGCCUUAGGUGUAGGCCUUGAGGCUUCCCAUCAGAGUUCAUUCUUAUACUUAGACUCUUUAGAUUGCCGAACGGAAUGAAUCCAAAUAGAUGCCUUUGUGGGGCCUUAGGUGUAGGCCUUGAGGCUUUCCAUUAGAAUCCAUUCCAUACUCAAGCGUUCUAUGGUAAUCAUGAUAUAAUAGAAAGAAAACUAGAAGGUAGGUUGAUUACUUGCGCCCCAAGUAACUUCGGACUUCUCGUUUAUCAAGGACUGUCGUGGAUGGGUUAAGUCCACAUAAAGUUCUUUUUUAUGCCUUGAGGCCAAUGACUUUUAACUGAUCAGAUUUACAUGCCCGAGGGCUUAGGACUUGGAUCUGGUUUGAACACUGACAAUAUAUUCAAAUCGGAUUCAAGUGCUGAGAAAGCUUUUUAAUAGUCAUGUUGCUAGAAAUAACUUACAUAUAACUAGAAGUAUACAACAUAUUGAAAAGACUAGACUAAAGCAAAGAAGGUCGGGCAAGGUUAAACCUUAUCGGGUAAGGUUGCUCGUCUUGCAGGUUCCUAUCUUUGUAGUUUUGUCAAAGGUCUGAAAGCUUUAGAGGGGUAGAGAGAGAGAUUACAAAAGAUGAAUCAAUACUACAGCAAGGUUUAACAAGGUAGUAGAGCUAUUACAAAAGGUUGAAGAGAGGGUUAUCCCGAAAGGGAUGGAGGUUUAUCCCGAAAGGGAUGAAGGCUGACUACAGCUUUGUUUUGAAGGCAAAUCUGGCUUUGAGCAAAGUUUAUGCUUGCAUUUGUUUGUUUGAUUGAGUGUCCUUAAUCCUGGAUUUUCUUUCUUCUUAUAUAGACAACUCAGCUUGGCCUUUGGUAGCAGCAGCUUUGCUCGAAUGCGGUUUGAGGGUGAUGACUCAUCAGUUAUAUUACAUGUAAUGCCACCAUAAAGUACUUUAUGGGCUGUAUAGCUGAUCAGUCUACACCACUUGGCCUUUGGGUAGGUAAGCAAGUGGUCUUUAUGAGCUGCACCAAGUCAGAAAAGGCCUUUCCCUGCCUUCUGGGCUUCGACUGGGCUUCAGCUAUCUUCUCUUUCGGGCCUUCUUUUGGGCCAACUCCUUUCUUGAGCUCAAAGUUCAAGUUUUGAUCCAAACACUAAAUAUUUAGUAUUAAAUAUUUAUUUAUUUUUUAUAAACUUAGUAUUAUACAUCUUUUAGUUUACAUGAAAUCUUUAAAUUCUAUUCACCAAUAAUUAAAACAAGAGGUAUUUUUUCUUUUCACCCAACGACACUCAUCCUAAAACUAAGACCUAGUUUGGGAGUGAGGUGCUUAAAAAAAAGCACCUAUGAAAAAAAGCUGUUAGGGUUUUAGGUGUUUGGUAAACUGAAAAAAAAAGGCUUAUUUUGGAAGCUGCUGUGAGAAUAAGCUGAAAUCAAAGGAAAAAGCUGAAGCUGCUAUUUCCAGCUUUGGAAAACUGGCUUUUUUUUCAAAGCACACGGGGCUACAGUGCUCAUUUAAUGAAAAGACCCACUAUCAGACUGCUUUUUUUUCCAAAAGCACUUUUACAAAAAAGUUUACCAAACGCUCUGCUGAUUUAUUUCACAGCCGCUUAUUCUCACAGCACAGCCGCUUAUUCUCACAGCAGCUUUUUUUCAAAGCACAGCAAUACCAAACCAGCCCUAAAUCUAACUCUUAUUUUGUAUACAAGUCAAUAACUCUUAAAAUUAAAAUCUAAAAUUUACUUUAGUUUUAUCAAAAGAUAUUCUUUUAUAUUGUCAACCUAAAGAAUAAUAAACUUUGAGCUUUUCCUCCUUCCCUUGUUGAAUUUCAUGUAUUUUGCCCUCCAAAUUUUCAACCCAAAACAGUGUUAAGGUUUGUAAAUCUCUGUGUUCUCUUUAACUUUUUACUAAUAAUAUGAUCUAAAAACAUGAUCCCCUAGCAUUUUUCAUUGACUUGAUAUUGGAAGGUUAAUUUCUUUUAAUCCUCUUUAAUCUUGAUUAACUACUCUCUAUAUUGACUUGAUAUUGGAAGAUUAAUUUUAACAUGGAAAAAGCAUUUAGUGCCUCAAAAAAAUUUAAUUAGAUCACAACUCCAAGCAUGUAUUAUACCCUUUGGUAAACAUUAUCUAUUUUUUUAACAAUAAGUGAGGCCCCUCCUCAUAUGAAAUCCUGGCUCCGCCACUGAUACGAGUGGUACUACGUGUUAUUACGUAGGAGGAAGUUUUAUAUUGUAAGUGAUAGGAGCAUAUUUAUGCGACUUCAUUCGCUUGUUCUUGUGCAUUUAUGUCGUGUUUCCUUAGUUAUUUUAAUGUUUAAAGUCAUUUUCGUGUGUUUUCAGACUCUAAGUACAAAGUAUGCAAGAAGAUGCAUUUUGGAGGCCUUUGGAGCAUGUUUCGGGCUUGGAAUGGAUAACAAAUGCAUGGGCCAAGUGGAUGGACGAAUUUGAGAACUAAAGAGGCCAAGGAUAUGAAGAAUUAUGGUCCAAAAGAUGAAGAAAACAGCCCAAAAAUCUGUCACCCCAACUUGCAUUCCUUGCCAUGCAAACCACAUAGAAUUCCCUUUGGAUUCCAUGCCAUGCUUGAUCACUCUUGUCCCCUACAUAAUUUCUAAUUUCAUGCUUCAAUUCAUUUAAUUAUUACACUCAAUUGCUUGAUACCUCUUGUUCCCUUCACUCAUUAGAUUUUAGACAACAUUUACAUCCAUUACAUGCACCAAUUGAUGCUCCAUCAUUCACAUUUGGAAUCUCAUGCCUUGUGUACCACAUGUUGCUGCACCUUUGACCCAUUUAUUGACACAUUUUCACCUCCCUUUCCAUCUCUAUGCAAUGUACACAAUCAUUCAUGCUCCCUAGCUUCAAGACCACUCCAUUUUACCCUUCACACUUUGCAUCAUCACUUCAUUUUCACCCUUGGCCAUUGCACACCACACAUAAAUUACCAUGCAUUUCAUCCUUAACCUAACCUGAUUUUCUAAGGUUUUUGGGGCCUAUAAAUACAUGUUUACACCCCUUGGCCAAAGGAGAAUCCCCCAUAUUCAUCAUUUUAUAACAGAAAUUCGUCCAUACACACCCUAGGAAGCAAAACACCCCAAAAACACCAUUCUAGUGCCUAGAAAACAUAACAGCCACUCCACCUUCUUCCACCCUCUUUGCCUAGUUCUCUACCACUCCCCAACCAUCAAACACUCUUCCAAUCUCACCCUAAACCCUUCCACAAAAUUCCCCAUCCAUUCUACACCAUAAAUCCACCCAAAAAUCUGUCCACAAGCUUCAUGCCGCAAGCAAGGGAAAUGAGGAAUCUUGGAUGCACUUGCUACCAAGUUGGAGCAUUUUAGGUGUUUUCUUUCCUUUGAUUUUAAUGUCUAAUUUUAUGUAUCUUUGCUUUGUGAGAAUGAGGAACUAAACCCCCUUAGUUGGGGGGUGAUUCGAAACCAUGUACAUGCUUGCAAUAUGAUUUGAUUACAUUCAGUUGUUAUUUCAUAAGUUGCGGAUUCAAUUCGUUCAUCUACUUGAUUGAUAACUUAUUUGUGUAUGUUGAUUGAGAGUGCACGCUUAGUUUUCAUGCAUGAAUAUGAUGCUAGAUUAUGAGGGAGUUUCACCUAAUAGUUACAAUCUUAUAAUCACAAGUAGUGAAGGUCGCUUGAAAACGAUCGCGUUGAAUGAAUUCUUGGCACUAGUUUCAUGCUCAUCAUAGUAACGAAUGCCUCGUCAACACUUAUAGUUCUCAUUGUGCUUCAUGAUUCUUGAUUGUAUCUUUAUUGUGCUCAUCACGUAAGGAACCUUUGAGGAAUGCUUUUGAAUUGUUGUAUGCGCUUUUCCAUCCAAUUCAUUAACUUAAGGAGAACUUGAAGGUUAAUUUAAGCGUAUCUAAUUAACUUGGGGUGUUGAGUUUCAUAAUUUAUUGAAAGAACAACUGAAAAUCAUUUUGUUUGCAAGUGUGUCAUGUGUGGAGAAGAACCUCCUAACUAGCCUUUUAUCCAUCCUUUUCAUCCAAAAAACGUUUUACAAUCUAUUUUGUUUUAAAGUUUCUGUUUUGUUUUCAAUUUUCGUCCAAAACAAAUCCCCCUUUAUUUUGAAGUCUUAGAUUAGUUAGAAAGUGUUUUGAUUUGUGUUUUUCUAAGUGUUUUGAUUCAAGUUUUCAUCCAACUUCGUCCAAGUUCUUGUUAGGUUCUUCUCAAAACUGCCCAGAAAGUGGUUUUUUAGGCAGUUUUGAGUCAUUAGGUUGCUGUUUUGAGUUUUAUGUUUGUUUAAGUAUUUUAAAGUAUAGUUUUGCAUUCUUUGAGUCUAGUUUAGUGUUUUAAAUUUUGUUUUUAUGUUUUUAAGUCAGUUUUCAAGUGUUUAGCAAUCCCUCCUAAUCUCCGGCCUAGAACGAUCCCUACUUACAUACUUUACUACAUUUGAUAAAAAGAGGGUUUAAUUUUGUGUGUUAACUUAUUUUACGCAUCAAAUUUUGGCGCCGUUGCCGGGGAUUAGCAACUUUGCUAAUCUCUUGGAUUGUUUUCUUUCGAAUUAUUGUAUUUUGUUUAAGUUUCUGUUUAAGUUGCUGAUUUGUUUUGUUUUCUUUGUUUUUAGGUACUAGUUUAUGACCCGUAGCUCACAACCUGUUCGUGAGCAUAUCUCCGACUUUGACGGUGAUUUUGAGAGAACUUUGAGAAGGAAAAAGAAAUUGCAAGAGUCUAAUCCUCCUAGUCCCGAGCUUGAAUUAGAAGAGCAAGAAGUUGAGGUUGAAGAGAAGGUCACGGCACAAGUGGGUGGAGAAGAGCAAGGUAUAGCCAUGGACAACCGUACGCUCAAGGAGCUUGCCGCCUCGGGUUUGGAUAAUGCCGCACCAUUGUGUAUCCAAUAUCCCAUGGCUGCUCAAGGUAAAACUGAAGAGUUCGAGUUAAAGUCAAGUUUGCUCCACCACAUUCCAAAGUUCCAUGGGCUGUCCAUGGAGGAUCCGAACAAACAUUUGAAGGAAUUUGAAGUGGUAUGCUCAAGUAUGACUCCAGUUACCGUUGACGGAAGUAUUUUAAAGAUGAAGGCUUUUCCAUUCUCUUUAAUGGACAAAGCCAAGGAUUGGUUAUACGAGUUGGCUCCCGGUACAGUUACAUCUUGGGAGAGUAUGAAGAGGGCGUUUCUGGAGAAGUUUUUUCCCAACUUCUCGCAUCAUUCUUUCUUCGUAAAAAAUAAGUGGAAUUCAGCAAAGCCAAGGUGAAUCUUUUCCAUCUUAUUAUGAACGAUUUAAAUCACUUGUUGCUUCUUGUCCACAGCAUCAGAUGAAGGAGGAGUUACUUCUUCAAUACUUUUACGAAGGUCUUUUACCACUUGAACGGCAAAUGUUGGAUGCUUCCGCGGGAGGAGCUCUAGUGGAUAAGACACCUAGCCUAGGGAUGCCAAAACUCUCAUUGCGAAUCGAGCACUCAAUGCACAACAAUAUGAAGGUGUUGGGCAAAUAGACACCCCACGGCCACAUCAUGUCAAUGAGGUAAGUUCUAUUUCUGAGUUACAAUCCCAAAUGGCUAACCUUACGUCUAUGUUAUCACAGUUGGUUGAAGGCCCCAAAACGCAAGGAACUACAAUCUGUGGUGUAUGCUCCAUUCAAGGACACCAAUCUGAUCAAUGCCCUAAAUUAAUUGAGAAUGGAGGAUGGGAAUCGGCCAAUGCUGUGGGUUAUGGGAAUCAAAACCAACCAAGGAAUGAUCCUUUCUCCAAUACAUACAACCCGGGAUGGCGUGACCACCCCAAUUUCAGAUGGAGAGAUGCACCACAAUAUGGCCAACAAAGUGGAUUCCAACAACCCCCGGGUUUCUUUCCAAGGCCAAUGGAACCACAACCACCUCCUCAGGCACAAUCUUCCCAAACUAACCCAGGUACGUCUAUGAAUGAUGAUAAAACACAUAUCAGUUACUAACCACCAUGGCGCAGGGAAUGCAGAACCAAGCAAAGGAGGUUAAUGAGCUGAAGAAGCAAAUGGGCCAAAUGGCCGAAUUUUUGGGGCAAUUCCGUGAAAAUGGUAAGUUACCAAGCACUACGGUGGUCAAUCCAAAGGGUGGCUUCGAAUCUGCAAAGGCUAUCACAUUACGAAGUGGAAAAGAGGUGAGAAACAAGGAAGAUGAGAAGAUACAACUCGAAGAAGAUGAGAACACUUACCCCACGGCAAGGGUACCAUCACCCAUGCCGCAGCCAUCUAAGACAUCCCAUCCGUCCACCUCAGGUAAGAAUGUUCCAAAUGUUGUGAUUUCGAACACUAAUAUGCCCAAUGUCCACUUUCCUAGCAGAUUUUGCAAUCAAAGAACGAAGAGGAGGAAAAAGAUGUUCUAGAGACAUUUAGAAAGGUGCAUGUCAACAUUCCCCUCCUUGAUGCCAUAAAGCAAAUCCCGAAGUAUGCCAAGUGUUUAAAGAAGCUUUGUACAACAAAGAAACGUGUCCGGGAGAAAGAGGUGGUACAUGUAAGUGAGAAUUGUCUCCACCAUCUUGCAACAUAAACUACCCCCCAAAUGCAAAGACCCGGGAAGUUUUACAAUUCCAUGUGUCAUUGGUAAUACCCGUUUCAAAUCUGCCAUGCUAGAUUUAGGAGCAUCUAUUAAUGUUAUGCCAUAUUCUGUGUAUGCAUCUAUGAAUCUAGGAGCACUUAAACAUGAUGGUGUAAUCAUACAAUUGGCCGAUAGAUCUAACGCUUAUCCAAAGGGAGUUUUGGAAGACGUUUUAGUGCAUGUUGAUCAUUUAGUCUUCCCAGCGGAUUUCUAUGUCCUCGAAAAUGGAUGAAUCGGACCAUGCCCCUUCAUUGCCCAUCCUCCUUGGAAGGCCAUUCAUGAAAACGGCUCAAAACGAAGAUUGACGUGGCCAAAGGAUUAGUCACUAUGGCAUUUGGUGGUGACAUGAUUAGUUUUAAAAUUUCUGAAUCCAUUGAGACUCCUAAUAUUGUUCAUUCUUGUUUGUGCCAUUGGUAAAAUUGAAAAGAUAAGACCGGACCAUUCAACACCAAGCACGAAGGAUGCAUCAAGAACCAUGCAAGACGAGGGAAUUGGAGUGGAGUACAAGGACCAUACGGCCACUGCCCUCAAAAUGCUCAAAGUGGCCGAAAGCACCAUGGGGAAGAAUGUUCACAUUGCUGCCACUUCAUCACAUCACAUAGGUAAGCCACCUAAUCCAAAUCCAAUGCCAUUUAAAGUUGAUAGGUGGUUCCCUUCUUUGGUGCAGGUACCUAAGCAAAUCCCCGAUGGUGGGCGUAUGAACAUGAACCUUAGACAACAACAACGCACCCAUCAACAAACAUCACUAUCCAUUUUCCGUUCAAGGAUGUAAUCUACGAGAACUUUGUGGAGCAUGUUGUGGAGGAUAUCCCACUGCAUGCCGUGGGUUCCAAAGAGAAGUGAAGGUGUUCAUCGUCCGGCUGGAAGACGUUAAAGCAAGCGCUUUAAGGGAGGCAACCCAUUUAUUCUGCUUGAUUGUCAAUUUUAUUACUUGUUUAAUUAUUUUUGGUUAUGAUUUUCUAUUUUGAAAUAUUAACAAAUAUGCAAGGGAUUUUUGACAUUAAACUUCAUGAAAUGAACAGGAAUCUGGGAAAUAAAGAAACAUAACAUAAUACAAGAGGAAGAGCCUUCACAAAGGCUGCUUGGGAGAGGUCGCAGUAGUUGGCGGAGUCUCAGCAGUCGGUGGGGCCACGGAAGGAGGAGGUAUCAGAGGUUGAUCAGUUGGAGCUUCACUGCGCGGUGCCGCCCCAGAAGACGAAGGCAGAUGCUGUUGGAACAAACCCACAAACCUCCGGUGAUCAAGUAAAAUCUGACCAUCAGUUUCUUGCAGCUGGUCAAUUUUCCUCUUCAUGUUUGUGGCAUAACUGUGUGCAAGCUUAUGCAAUUGUUUAUUUUCAUGCUUGAGUCCUCUAAUCUCCUCUUUGAGACUCUGUAUUUCAGUCACCAACGAUUCAACAUGACGGGUUCGAGCAAAUAGGCGUUGGGCCAUGUUGGACACAGAACCCGCACACUGCACGCUAAGAGCCAGAGACUCCUUAACCGCCAAUUCAUCAGACCGUCUAGCGAGCAGUCUGCUAUCUCUGGGGGUGACAAGGUUCCGGGCCACCACCGCAGCGGUCAUGUCAUUUUUCAUCACCGAAUCCCCAACGGUGAGGGGAUCGGUAGGGGAUAUGAAGGAUGGGCGCCAUAUGUUGUCUGGUGAAGGCGGAGCUGCCUCUUCACCAAGGUUCAAGUCAAAACGACGAUCGGAAGGGCCAGACAUUUUCAGAGGUGGUGAAGAAAGAAGAGAGGAGGACUGAUCAAGAUUAAACAAGUGCAAGAAGGGAGUGUUUACAGGAGGGAGCUCAAGUGUGUUGUGGAACAAAAUUAACGCCUCUAUAAAAAGAAGAAAUCAAAGAGGCGCUCCUCAGAGAAGCGUCCUCUCGCAAAUCGAAGAGUCGGGGCUCCUUUCUCAAAAAUUCUUUGUUCUCAAAAAGGGCGUUUUUUUCUUAAAGGCUGGGCUUGCUCAGAAAACCACGAGCCGAACACCGAAUUUCAAAAGAUCAAAUUGUCCAGACGUGUCGUCACUCGUCACAUGCAACUGGCAGCUUUGCGGAAAUUACGGGCAGCUUUGUCAGAAAGCGCGUAAUUUGUACUAUUCAUCCAUCCACCGGCUGCCGACAAUGAGUGAGGGAAUAGUUCCGGUUGUGAAGAAAAGCCCUAUAAGUAUCUACCUUCGCCUUCCACAGCAAAGGCACACCCUCUCAGCACUUCUUCAUCUCUCUGAAAUGGCUUUCCAACAAACCCUCUCGAGUCACUCAGUGUUCCUUAUUCCCUGGGAUACCCCUGCAAACAACCCAUCCAGAGCAAAAGUAUUUCAUAUCAUAAAGGUUGAAAGCAAGAGUAUCUCAUAUCAUGCAUUCUCCAUGUCCUUUUCCUUGUCUUUGUUCUAACCUGCAGGACAUGGAGAAAUUGCACUCGAGUACUCGUCUUCCACUGCUGAUGUACUUCCAAAGAAGCUGCCACAUCUACCUGAAGAACAGAUAAGGCAAGCGAAAAUGAUACCAGCAGCAUGUGGAGACAACGUACAGAAGAAACAAGCAGAGAAGAAUGCAGCUCGUACAAUCAACCCAGCACAAGGAGUCCGAGCUGAAGAACUAGAGAAGCUGCCACAUCUGCUUGGAGAACAAAUAAGGAACUGCAACAUCACCAAAGAGCAAAGCUUCGCCGUACAAUAUCAUCAAAUCAUCACUUGCAAGUAAAAAGCUAAGUGUCACCCCGUUCAAGAGCAAAGCUGUGGAAAGUCAACAAGAUCAACUAUCUCCAAAACCAGAUUUGCGUUCUUAAACUCUACUCUGUCUGGUUUUUCUUUGCCAUAUUUGUCAUGUUUAUUUGUCGUUUAUUAUUUGCUUGUUUUUGGUGUGAGUAUAUGCUUGAAACAUUGAGGACAAUGUUUGAUUUAAGUGUGGGGGGGGUAACCAUUGUUUUGCAUGAAAUUCGUAGAAAUUUAUCACCCAUUACUUCUAGUAUUGUUCUUUGUUGUUUUAAGUAUUUUUUUAAGCUGUUUUGGAGUGUUUUAGUAUGUUUUGACAUAAAAAUCCGAAAAUUCAUAAAAAUUUGAAAAAUUGUUUUUGAAAAUCCCAAAAAGAGUUGUUUUUGUGUGCUUAUUUGUGUCUUAGGGUACCUUCCAACACAAUGAUGAGGAUUCAGUUUGUAAUUGCAUGACUGUUAAAGAGAGUUAUAAACAUGGAUGAAAGUUUGAUUUACUCUUUAUUUAUGCGUGGUUGUGGUUAUAACUUAUGAAAUCACAUGUAAUCAUAAAAGAAAAAAAAUUAGUUUUUGUAACAUGCUUGAAGGAAAGAACUCAAACUAACGCUACAACCUUGUGAGACUUGAGCUUAAACGUUUAUUUGGAGAGUUAAAAUCUGUGCAUUCUUGUUUUCUAAAGUCGUUGCAUGAUCUCAUUAUUCUUUGCUUGGCUAUUACUUAGAAGGCGUUUCAUCAUUUAGUUCCAAAUGCUAGAACUCAUGCCUAUUUCAUUCAAAGCAUGCUAUUGAUUUGCAUAAAACAUAUUCAAGAUGAAGUUGUGUAGUUACCACCACCAAAGCCAAACUGCCAUGUAUCCCAUAUCGUUAUAUGUUUAAGUUAACCCCAUUGAGCCUUGAUAGCCUACAUUCUUUGUUAAACCACAUUAUCCUUACCUAGCCUAGUUUAGGACCAUCCAUACCCUUGUUCUUGAAGCAUAGUAAAACAUGAUUCAAAUUGAAUUUCUUUUGAUUAAUGUAUGGCAGAAAACAAGUGUGGGGGAAGUGUGAGUUAUUAUGCUUGUUGAAAAAAAAAAAAAAAAAAAAAAAAAAAAAAAAAAAAAGAGUUUUAAAGUGCUGCUUGUUGAAGAAAGGGUCCAAAACAUAGAAUUCGGCCCUAAUUAUUGCUUGAAUUUUCCCUUCGUGUCUAAAAGCUGAUUUCUGCAAUCUAAGUGAAUUCUAAGUUUCAAUUUCAUUACUUUACUUGCUAUUGCUUUAAGAACGAUUGUUAUCCUUAUCCUUCAUUUGUUAGCCAUCACCCCAAGCCCCGUUACAACCCUUAACUUCAUCUUGAGUGUCAUGCGUUUCAAUUUGUGGAGUUUGAAUUUGAUAUGAGCAUAUGGUGUCACUGGUUCUCGCGUCUAAGUAAUAGCAUUCCAUUCAUGAGAUCAUAUCUAAACAUGCUUAUUAACUCCAGAAAUUGCUUUCUUUGUGAUACAUAUAUGUGAGCGUUCGUUUUCAUAUCUACAUCAAUCUUCUCACAUAUAACUAGUAUAGGGUGUGUAGUUAGAAAAUCUGAGUGAAAAUUGAGUGCAUAUCUUGUAAGGAAUUGAGUGAUUUCUCUAAGGCAUGUUACUACAUCAAAAACAUUGUUUUAAUUGAUUAAUUGUGAACUAGUAAGUGGUGACUAUGAUUAAGUAUGUGCUUAAGUGUAAAGAUGACUCAAAUCUGUGGGGAUAAUGAUUUUUAACAUGUCAUGUGUUGGAAAUCCCUGAGGCAAAUGUUGGAAGGUUUAGGUUGUGUUUUAUUUGUUUUGUUUCGUUUUAUCUCUUUGUUUUGCUCGAGGACUAGCAAAAGCUAAGUGUGGGGGAAUUUGAUAGGAGCAUAUUUAUGCGACUUCGUUGGCUUGUUCUUGUGCAUUUAUGUCGUGUUUCCUUAGUUUUUUAAUGUUUAAAGUCAUUUUCGUGUGUUUUCAGACUCUAAGUACAAAGUAUGCAAGAAGAUGCAUUUUGGAGGCCUUUGGAGCAUGUUUCGGGCUUGGAAUGGAUAGCAAAUGCAUGGGCCAAGUGGAUGGACGAAUUUGAGAACUAAAGAGGCCAAGGAUAUGAAGAAUUAUGGUCCAAAAGAUGAAGAAAACAGCCCAAAAAUCUGUCACCCCAACUUGCAUUCCUUGCCAUGCAAACCACAUAGAAUUCCAUUUGGAUUCCAUGCCAUGCUUGAUCACUCUUGUCCCCUACAUAAUUUCUAAUUUCAUGCUUCAAUUCAUUUAAUUAUUACACUCAAUUGCUUGAUACCUCUUGUUCCCUUCACUCAUUAGAUUUUAGACAACAUUUACAUCCAUUACAUGCACCAAUUGAUGCUCCAUCAUUCACAUUUGGAAUCCCAUGCCUUGUGUACCACAUGUUGCUGCACCUUUGACCCAUUUAUUGACACAUUUUCACCUCCCCUUCCAUCUCUAUGCAAUGUACACAAUCAUUCAUGCUCCCUAGCUUCAAGACCACUCCAUUUUACCCUUCACACUUUGCAUCAUCACUUCAUUUUCACCCUUGGCCAUUGCACACCACACACACAAAUUACCAUGCAUUUCAUCCUUAACCUAACCUGAUUUUCUAAGGUUUUUGGGGCCUAUAAAUACAUGUUUACACCCUUGGCCAAAGGAGAAUCCCCCAUAUUCAUCAUUUUAUAACAGAAAUUCGUCCAUACACACCCUAGGAAGCAAAACACCCCAAAAACACCAUUCUAGUGCCUAGAAAACAUAACAGCCACUCCACCUUCUUCCACCCUCUUUUCCUAGUUCUCUACCACUCCCCAACCAUCAAACACUCUUCCAAUCUCUCACCCUAAACCCUUCCACAAAUCCCCAUCCAUUCUACACCAUAAAUCCACCCAAAAUCUGUCCACAAGCUUCAUGCCGCAAGCAAGGGAAAUGAGGAAUCUUGGAUGCACUUGCUACCAAGUUGGAGCAUUUUAGGUGUUUUCUUUCCUUUGAUUUUAAUGUCUAAUUUUAUGUAUCUUUGCUUUGUGAGAAUGAGGAACUAAACCCCCUUAGUUGGGGGGUGAUUCGAAACCAUGUACAUGCUUGCAAUAUGAUUUGAUUACAUUCAGUUGUUAUUAUCAUAAGUUGCGGAUUCAAUUCGUUCAUCUACUUGAUUGAUAACUUAUUUGUGUAUGUUGAUUGAGAGUGCACGCUUAGUUUUCAUGCAUGAAUAUGAUGCUAGAUUAUGAGGGAGUUUCACCUAAUAGUUACAAUCUUAUAAUCACAAGUAGUGAAGGUCGCUUGAAAACGAUCGCGUUGAAUGAAUUCUUGGCACUAGUUUCAUGCUCAUCAUAGUAACGAAUGCCUCGUCAACACUUAUAGUUCUCAUUGUGCUUCAUGAUUCUUGAUUGUAUCUUUAUUGUGCUCAUCACGUAAGGAACCUUUGAGGAAUGCUUUGAAUUGUUGUAUGCGCUUUUCCAUCCAAUUCAUUAACUUAAGGAGAACUUGAAGGUUAAUUUAAGCGUAUCUAAUUAACUUGGGGUGUUGAGUUUCAUAAUUUAUUGAAAGAACAACUGAAAAUCAUUUUUUGCAAGUGUGUCAUGUGUGGAGAAGAACCUCCUAACUAGCCUUUUAUCCAUCCUUUUCAUCCAAAAAACGUUUUACAAUCUGUUUUGUUUUAAAGUUUAUGUUUUGUUUUCAAUUUUCGUCCAAAACAAAUCCCCCUUUAUUUUGAAGUCUUAGAUUAGUUAGAAAGUGUUUUGAUUUGUGUUUUCUAAGUGUGUUUUGAUUCAAGUUUUCAUCUUCGUCCAAGUUCUUGUUAGGUUCUCAAAACUGCCCAGAAAGUGGUUUUUAAGCAGUUUUGAGUCAUUAGGUUGCUGUUUUGAGUUUUUGUUUGUUUAAUAUUUUAAGUAUUUUGCAUUCUUCAGUCUAGUUUUUUGUUAAAAAUUUUGAAAGUCAGUUUUCAAGUGUUUAGCAAUCCCUCCUAAUCCCCGGCCUAGAACGAUCCCUACUUACAUACUUUACUACAUUUGAUAAAAAGAGGGUUUAAUUUUGUGUGUUAACUUAUUUUACGCAUCAGUAAGUUGUUAAUUUUUUAACACAAGUAUCUCACCACAUAUAUUGUGACAUGUGAUGUAUAAUUCCGUGUUCCGGAUAAGCACUAAAAAAUCUCUCGAUGAGAUGAAUACAACUGCUCCAUUUAAGAGUAUGAAGUUCAAGAAAUGGUUGAUUUUUUAUAUUUAAAUAAAAAGUUUAAAAAAAUGCAUUGAAUCAGUUGGAAAAUAAUUUUUAUAGUUUUUUUUUCCUUUUGUAUUCUUUUUUUUUUUGUUAAUUCAUUUUUAAUUUAAUAGUUUAAAUAUAAAAUAAAACAUUGUACAAUAUAAAUAUCUAAAUUACAUAUUAAUAGAACUUAACCACCAAAAACCAAUGAAAUUACAUUUAUAACCUUUAAUACAUAACUAGAAGAAAAAAAAAUUAGAUAAGGAAAAAAUGUGGGCAUUAAUUCCACACAAACAACUUUUUACUUUUUUUUUUCUUUGAACCUGACAAUCAUGUCACCCUAUCUUUACCCUCUAAACUCACACUCUCUCUCCUUAACAGCCAACCCUUUUUUUUAUGUCUACCAACCCCUUUUUUCGUUUUAUCAAACGAUGUUAUUUACAUUAAGGGAUGGAUGAGUGAGUUAUGUCUCACAAUGGGCCAUCAAUAAUGUAGUUUAAAUUUGCAUUUGGCGAAAAUCCAACGUCAAACCUCUCACUUAUCAAUGAAGAAGAAUAUCAUUAUAUUGUAGUAUUGAGUGCCAACAGUUAAAAACAAAUAACUCCUCCCUUUUAAAAAAAAAGGAAAACUAAUGAAAAGGGUUUGAAAACUUUGAGUUUUAACGAUAAGGACAAAAUAAAGGGUAAAGUGAAUAGUAUAAGGAUUGACUUUUUAGUGUAAAAAUGUAAUUUUUCGUUAAAGUGAAUGAUACCGGGAGUUUUUCUUUAAAAUUCCUUAAAAAAAACCAAUUUUUGAGAAAAGUAAAAAUAAAAAUUAUAUUUCUAACAGAUAGUGUGUGUGGCAUUUGCUAGUAUACAUAAUGUGAGAAGUAGGGAUGGGCACGGGCCGGGCCGGGCCCAUUUUUGAAGGGACCGGACCGGACCCGGAAUAAAGGGAGACGGGCCGGACCGAGCCGGGCAUUACAAAUCUCAAAAUAGGAACCGGACCUUACCCGGCCCGGUUGAAACGGGCCGGUUCGGUCUGGGUCCACGGGUCCUUUUUGUUUUCCUGUUUAAAGCACAGAUUGAAAUUUAAAAAAUAAAAAAAAAUAAAAAAAACCACAGAUUGCUGCGGUACUACACAGAUUGCAAUUGCACAAAUUUGCAAUCUGUACAAAUUUACAAUUGCACAUAUUCAAUACAUCCAAAAUAACAUUAUAGCGUCCAACAUCUAAAGAUCGAAUCAACAUACAAAAUAUUCAAAACCUACUUAAUCCAAGACAUCCAAAUUCCAAAGUUGUUAUAUUAUCACCACUUACCUCAAGUACAGUGUAGCUACCUUGUGGUUAAAACACCGUGAUUAGACAAAACUUGGUACUCAUGCCAAGUCUUACAGAGUGGCCAAAUAUCAGAAAGCCCGAAUACUGAAACAUAUCAAAGUGUAUAUGAUUCCAGGAAAAAUAUUGCAACGAUAAGCAUGCUCUAAAUUACCUUAUAUCCUAUUUUUAAAUUUGAGCUUUUGAUAGGGUUGGGUUCAAUGUCAAAAUAAUGUCACCAUAAGGUACUUCUUGUUUUACAUCAACAAGACCAUAAGUCUUCAAAACCUGAAAGUGACAAUGAACAAUCAUAUUAGUAGUUAUAUACCAAUACGUGCUCAAUUAGUACUUCUACAGGCAGUAUAAGUUUCCUUGACCCGGGAAAAAAAAGGAGCAUAUUUUUUACUUGUUCACAGAGUAUAAGAAAACAGAUAACAAACCAAUUUAACAUAGAAAUAAGUUGCUCUUAAAAUCUGUGAUGUACCAUAAGAUCCAUGCCACAUCAAAUACUUGGACUCUUGGAGGACUUCCAAAAAAAACUUGCAUUCAAACAAGAGAACCCAACUGAUAUGGUUCAAAAGAUUACCAGUGUUUCAUAGAACAUUCGGGCACAUAGCUUUCUAGUUUUUCCUUCUAAAAUUUUGUCCAAGCUGAGAUCUCCAGUGACGUCUUCUGAAGUUGAGGAGAUAGAACAUUCCCUUUUCAAAAAUUGAGCCACAGCCCUGCAUACCAAACGGGGAGAAUAAUAAGAAAAAUAAAUAUAAUGAGCCAUAUAUAAAUACAGUGACUAACUAAAUCCUGUGUAAAUAAAGAAAAGAAACAAUUGAAAGAGAAGUACCUGGUUCUAACUGACAAUGAAUCAACUCCUUGUGUCCCUUGAGAUCCCGGUAUUCCUUGUGUCGCUUGAGAUCCUGGUACAAGCGUAGAUAUGUCAUCCAAACAGUGUACACAAAAGUAAAUGAAUAUGAAGAAUGUGUACGCUUAUUUGUACAGGCAGCCAAGAAAAACAUUAUGCACAAUUUACAUGAUCUCUUGAAUAACAGAUUAAAUAAAGAAGAACAGUUCAACUUCUACAAUUAGUCCACAAGGAAAAGAAGGUCAAAAUGAACGAGGGUUAGGAGUUAGGAUUAUCAUAAAAAUAAGAAUAAGUUUAUAUACUUUGAAAACACCUAAUAAACAAGCUAAAAAUUCAGAAAAUCCACCAAAUCAGCAAGAACAAACAUGAACAUCCCAAUAGAUUGAGCAUAGAUUACAUACAUGAUACAUCCCAAUAGAUCAAAGUUCAACUAAAAAGUUACAAACAUCAGAGGUUAAAGAACCUAUAAAAAAAUUUAAAAAAAAAAAGCAAAAAAGAAGUUAAAGAAUUCACCUGAACUGGCAACGGCGGUGGAGUGUUAGUGAUCGCAAGGGCGGUGAUGUCGUCGGGAAGGAGAGAAAGAGAAUCGAGAAGAUGGGUGGUGCGGGUUCCUGGGUUCUCUAGGUCUAGGGUGAGAUGUCGUCGAGGAGAAUAAUCGAGAAGAAGAUCAGCUCGGUCGUCAGGGCUCAGACUCACGACGGCGGUGAUGUCGGAGGUGGGCAAGGAGGUGGGUGGUGGACCGUGGAACUGUGGAAUGGAGGGGCGAGGAGAGGGGACGAGGUCAGAGACGGAGAGGUCGAGGACUCGGGUCAAGAGAGAGACUCAAUCAGAUUUAGAGAUACUAGGGUAAAAAUCAACGGUCAUGAUAGGGAGGUAUGUUUAUUUUCAAUCUGGGCUGUCCAUUUCAAUUACAAACGGGCCGGUCCGGGGCCCCGUUUUUCUAUACAUUUGGAACCGGCCCGACCCUAAAAUGCCAUUGCACCGGCCCGCCCCGCCCCGUUUCCCCUAUUAAAAAACAGGACCCGCCCCGUACCCGCCAAUACCCGCCCCUACCCGCGGGCCCAUGGCCCGUUUGCCCACCCCUAGUGAGAAGGCUAAAAAGGCGACACUUUCAAAAUACCUAAAAUGCCCCCUCUUCAAAGAAUGCAAUUUAAUAAAACUACUUCACAUACAUGACGGAGUAGUUACUAAUAUAGUUUUUUAUAUUUUCAUUUAGCUUUCAAUAUACCUAAAAUGCCCCCUUUUCAAAAAAUGUAAUUUGACAAAACUACUUCACGUAUAUAUAUUCAUUAUUAUAUUUUUAAACACAUGUAAAUUCAGUUUUUUUUUAAUUUAUAUAUAUAUAUAUAUAUUCAUUAUUAUAUUUUUAAACACAUGUAAAUUCAGUUUUUUUUUUAAUUUAUGCAUAUAACGAAGAAGAGCAAAUUGCCACACGCCUGCAAGGCUAGUAAAGAAUAUAAAUUCAGGAGGCCAAAUGGUGAAUCAUUCAUAAUCCCAAAAAUACCCUCUCUAAUUAAAAUUUUAAAUAAAACAAUUUAAUUUCACAAAAAAUACAAACUAACAAAAGAAAAAAUUGUCAAAUGUGUAAGCGUGUAGCAAGAAACUACUUGCAAAAAGAGAGAAUAACAAUACGAAAAUCAUCUUUGUCACAUUUUAGACCAAAUUGACACAUUAAGAAGUUGCCAAAUUUUUUGAGAAUAUUACUAAAUAUGUCUCAUAUUUCAAAAUCAAAUAUCAAUUCGUUUUUGAAUUUCCUACCCAAAGUUAAAAUUAAAAAUAGUUUCAGUCUUUUUAGUAUUUUUCAUAGAAUAAAAAUAAUUUUAGCCAAUUGAUCAAAAAACAAUAAAGUUUGUUCAACCUUAGACCAUCUUCAAUGCUUGGGCUAAAAGCCAAAUAUUUUAGCCCAAAAAUAGUUUUUCUGCUCCAACCGUUCUAACCUAAAAUUUUAGCCUGGACUUAUUAAAGAAUAAACUUAGGCUAUUUUUUUUCUUAAAUUAAUUUUUUUUAAAUUAAUAUGUAGACUAUCGUAAAUUAAUUUUAUGAAUAUUCUAAUAAAAAAAAUUUAAAAUUCCGAUAAAUAUUUUGACUCGGUUCGAUGGAGCUCAUACCGAUUUCUCGGCUAAAUUUUGGAGGGAAUCUGGCAUUAGUUUAGUAUUUAGCAUUUAGCCCAAAUUUUCCCCUUGGGUUAGAGUGAGUUUGGGCGGAAAUUUUUUAGGGUAAUUUGACUUUUAACUCACCGAUGGUCUUAACAAACACGGACUGUAGCAUAGAAACGGCAGUUCCUGUUAAACCUCUUUUCCUCCCCUCACUCUUCUCUCCCAUGGCAACUGCAGUGCUGCCAGUAUCCGUGCCCGCCAGAAAGCAAGCCCGACCCGGUCAGGGCGGAUUCGAGGCCCAUGGACUAUCCGAAGAAGAGGCCUGGGUCCGAGCCAUCGCCGAAAUCGUCAGCUCCAUGGUCGACCUCUCCCGGAAGACCAAAACGUCGACCUAAACGCCCUCAAGACCACCGCGUGCCGCAAGUACGGUCUCUCACGUGCGACGAAGCUGGUUUAAAUGAUCGCGGCUCUGCCGGAGUCGGACCGUGAGGCUCUUCUCCCUAAGCUCAGGCCAAGACGGUCCGAACCGCCUCAGGCAUCGCCGUCGUGGCCGUGAUGUCGAAGCCUCAUAGGUGCCCCCACAUCGCCACCACCGGGAAUAUUUGCGUGUACUGCCCCGGUGGUCCCGAUUCGGACUUUGAGUACAGCACUCAGUCUUACACUGGAUACGAGCCUACUAGCAUGCGCGCAAUUUGGGCAGGUAUGGCUUUCUCUAGUUCAUUGACGCAUUUUAUCGAACACUUGAUAGGGAAUUCAAAAUUUAUGUUAGUCAUGAUUCGUUUCGAAGUUUAAAGUUUUCGGCUUGAUUGAUUUUUCACCAUGAAAUUGAGAGCUUUGUAAUGAAGAGAUUAUUUGAAGGAAUUGGUGUUUAAAAUUGGAUUAGUGAAUUUAAUUUGGUAGUUAAUCUUUUGGUUUUGUGUGUUUAGAUACAACCCAUAUGUCCAGGCUAGAAGAUCAGCUGAAGAGAUUGGGUCACAGUGUAGACAAGGUUUGGAGAUUUCCAUGAUAGAGUAAUAUGCAUGGUUGUCGCCUUAUAACUGGUACUGAAUUUGUGUUUUCAGGUCGAGUUCAUCUUAAUGGGCGGUACUUUCAUGUCGUUGCCCGCAGAUUACCGUGAUUACUUUAUUAGAAAUCUGCACGAUGCGUUAUUGGGACACACUUCUGCCAAUGUUGAAGAGGCAGUUGCCUACUCUGAGCAUGGUGCUACUAAAUGUAUUGGAAUGACCAUUGAAACCUGAGAUUUUAGUUUAUUUCCGAAGCCUUUAAUUUCUCAUUCUUGUGUUUAAAUUGGCUGACAGUAAUUUUUCGCUUACCAUCUUGUUUCCAGUUCAUCUGGUCGGUCCAGAAAGUUAACAAAGGUAGUUGUAACUUUUUAUUCUGCUGGAGGCCAGAUUAUUGCCUUGGACCUCACUUGAGACAAAUGCUUUCUUAUGGUUGUACAAGACUAGAAAUUGGAGUUCAGAGUACAUAUGAGGAUGUGGCUCGGGACAACAAUAGAGGUCAUACCGUAGCUGCAGUGGCUGAUUGUUUUUACUUGGCAAAGGAUGCUGGUUUUAAGGUCAGCCUAGUACCUUAUCAUAAAACUCACUUACCUUCACCGUGGGAAAAGAUUGGAUUUUGGACCUUUUAUAUCUACAGUGACAGGAGAUUAAUCUUUCAUCAAAACAAUUUGUGAGCCUGGAUAUAUUUUUCAAAUUAUUGUGCUCUCCCAUAAUUCAGCGAGAAUAUUUUAUCAUAUUCUAGUCAUUCAUGUUGAUUACUUUUGUUUCACACUAAUAAUUUUAUGCAUUUGCUCUAGGUGGUUGCACACAUGAUGCCUGACCUUCCUAAUGUAGGGGUUGAGAGAGACAUGGAGAAUUUCGGGAGUUCUUUGAGAGCCCCUCGUUCAGAGAAAAUGGCCCUAAAAUUUAACCAACACUCGUGAUCUGUGGAACUGGACUCUAUGAGCUUUGGAAAACGAGCAGGUACCUGAGCAACUUGUGGACAUUGUAGCUCGGAUCCUAGCCAUGGUCCCCCCUUGGACGCGUGUUUAUAGAGUUCAGCGAGACAUUCCAAUGCCUUUAGUUACUUCUGGGGUUGAGAAAGGAAAUCUUCGGGAGUUAGCUUUGGCUUGGAUGGAAGACCUGGGCUUGAAGUGCCGUGAUGUUCGAACACUGAGAGGCUGGAAUUCAGGUAUGUGGGUAGUCAUUCUUGUUUGAACAUGUUUUUUGGAACUGAGGUUUUGAUUUGCAAGUCGAACAAGGCAUGAAAUUCGGGUUGUUGUAAGUGGAGCGAGUGAUGAAAUAUACGGUUUUAGUUUUGGAAUGAAUUUGGUUCUGAAGUUGGAGUUUUUUUGUUUGCAGGUAUACACCAGGGGAGUUCCCGUUGCCUUCAGAAACGCGGUCUGCUGAGUUCUAUAAGAUGGUGCCUAGGAUGCUUUCGGAUGCAGGUUACAACCUAUAGAAAUUAGCAGUUACUGCAAGAGUGGAUAUCACUGCAAACACAAUCUAACUUAUUGGAAGAACAAGCCUUUCUAUGCUGUCGGCCUUGGCUCCGCUAGCUAUGUCGAUGGCGUGAGGUUUUCGAGACCAAAGAGGAUGAAGAGUACAGGUAAUGUGGAGAAUAUGGAGAAUGAUUUGGUGGAGUGCGGUGAGGUACCGUAUGGUACGUAGACGGGACGAAACGGAUGUUGUUAUGGAUAAAUUUUUCAUUGGGACCGGAAUACGCGUGGUACAUCACGUGUUUUUAUAUAAAUUGUGGGAAAUUUUAUUUUUUAAGUUGUUAACUUUUUAACACAUAUCACACCAUUUGUAUAGCGAUACGUAAUGUACCAUCUCGUGUUUCGGUCACACCAAAAAAAUUCUCUCAUUGUUAUCUUCUCUCUUAAAAUGAAGAGAAAACAUUACAUUUAUGUACAAUUAUUGCUUCCGCUGAAAUUAAUAAUUAACAAAUGCAUUAUGAUUCUUACCCUAUUAAGAUAGAUCAUAGUUAGGGGUGAAUUUGGGUACGGUUAUCGUACUAAAAUCCUUGUACUAAAUACCAUACCAAAUUUUUGGGUUUGACACAAUUUAUUAUCAUUAUUAUGCCAAAUUUUUAGCAUAACUAAUUAUGGUAUGUCAAAUAGUUAUAGUUCGGUUAACAUGGUAUGAUCAUAGUAAUUACCACUUUAUUUUGGAUCACUUUUUCAGCCUAAAAUCUGUUUUUUUUUUAAUUUUUUAUUUUUAUAAAUUUAUAUUUUGUUCCCAACCCAAUUGAAGGGCAACCCCUCUCCCUUUCUUCCAUCGUUCUCCGGCUUCUACUUCUACUGGUCACUAACUAUGAAAGGUAUGAGUGUCCGCCAUGGAUGACCGUGUUCUUGUCAACAAUUUAAUUUUCCAAUAUCUUCUUCUAUUGAUAACUUUACAUGGAGUGUUAUAAGUUGCAUGGUUUACAGGACGAGCAAAAGAAGGCUGGAGGUACUACUCAUUUAACUUUAACAUAUUUUUUGCCAUUUAGUAUUACGGUUUGGUGAUAUUCCUUCUCAUUUUUAUGGAUGGCGAAUUCGAUACCAAAUUAGAUUGGGCUUAACCGAACUCACCCUCUCUAGUUUAAAAUAUAUCGAUGUACUAAAAAAAAAACUUAAGCAUAUUUUUCUCAAAUUAUUUUGAUUAAAUGACAUGGAUUAUAAUUAAUAUUUUUUUAAUAAACAAUAUUAACUACACUAAGGGAGAGGGGAUGGGCUACCAAUAAUGUGGUUCAAAUUCGUCUUUGGCGAGAAUCGAAUUGGAGACCUCUCAUUUAUAAAUGAAGAGAAAUAUCAAUAAGCCGUAGUAUUAAGUAGCUAUUAUAAUUAAUACUAACAUUUGCCUACAUACUUUGUGUGUAUGAACACAUUUUUUAGAAAAUGAGAAGGAGAGGGAGAGAAAGAGAGAAAACGCGGAAGGAGUGAGAGGUUUUUUAUUUUGGUUUUUUUUUAAAUAGAUGUUUCAAUAAAAAACAAUAAAAUUUAGACCUAUGAAAUUACAUUAUUGCCCAUCAUUUUUUUGUGUGAUAGAAGACUAAGUUAUCUUCUCACCCUCUUUUGGUUGAUAAAGAAGAUUUCAUUAAUUAAUAGAGAUUAUACAUAAUAAAUAAAAUGAAAAAUAAUAAAAACUGAAAGAAAAAACCGUACCGUUCAAACUUCAAAGUUAGGGGGAGGGUAAGAAGGACAAGGAUUGGCUGCACUCCCACUUUUGGUGCCCUCCCGUGCCCUCCUGUUUGUGUGGUUACGGUUAAGUCACGUCAACAUUUUAUAUUACUAUUCAUUUUUGUCUUAUUAUCUCUAUAAAAAAAAUAUAUAAAAUGUUGACGUGAUUUCACCGUAACCACACAAAACAGGAGGGUACCAUAAGUGGGAGGGCAGACAAUCCUUGUCUGGGUAAGAAACCUCUCCUUCUCUGCCGCAUAUCUCCUAGUUUUAUUUAUUUACUUAAUUUUUUUUUGGUGAUAAAAAAACCUUCCUGAUCUCUUUACUCUCUAGAAACUCAUGUGUUAUUACCAUUUAUCGGACGAUAUGUUUUCCCGCUUGUUCAGAAUGUUCUCAUGCUUGGCCAAUGAGAGAAAAAAUCGUUUUCCACAAUCUAAUUUAUCAUUCAAAAUACCAGGAAUGAAGAAUUAGGGUUUUGGGUUUAGUUUUGUUUACCGAACAAAAUAAUUCAAAAGAUCGAGCAAUUGCGCAAUAUGCUUUGUGUGCUUCUUAAUUUUGUAUAAAUCGAAUCAAAUCAACAUGCAGUAAAGAUGGAUUUUCUCUCCUCCUCCUUUCGUUCGUGACCAGUUGAUUUUUUUUCCUUUUGAGUUCUAUUGGAUUACUUGAUUCUUAUUCAUUUAAUAUAAUUGUUUAUUUAUUACUUAUAAUUCACAUCAUCAUCCAUGUCACUUAAGGUUUAAACUUUUCAACAUUAGUCUUAAUCAAGACCAUUGAAUGUUAUAAAGUCUAAUGGCUAAAAAAGAGUGUAAAAAUAUCUGUCCCUUGAUCAUAUUCUAUAUGUAUUUUUAGAUAUGAAUAUAAAUUAUUCUCUACUAAUUUUUCAAUACAAUAUGGUAAUAUUGUUAGUAAUAUUAUCGAAUACCAAUAUAUUCCUAAAAUUUCAGUUUGCUACAAUAUCGUGUCAUUAUCGAUAGGCUCAAAAUCGACAUGGUACGAUUGUCAAUCGGUGACACGAUAAUUCGACAAAAAAAAUUCACCCUAGAGUUAAUAACUCACCCGUGAUAAGUGUUGAAUCAGAAACUAAAAAAGUAAUUGAAUUUUACCGGAAGUGUAUAUAAACUUUUGUAAUGUGAAUUAAAAUUACAGUGUGCUUGAGUGAUUUUUCAAAACCUUCUGCUUGUUAUUUGAAAUAAGAGUUUUCUAUUAUAUUUUUAGUUUUUUUCGUGCACCAAUUAUUUUUCUACCGACCCCAAUUUCGAAGCGCAACUUUAAUUGACCUCACCACGCAAUUAUUGUUGGCGAGCAAAAUACAUCCUACGCGGUUUAUUUACACUAAAAAAUCAAACCUGCUACUAUUCACUUUACUUUUUAUUUUGUCUUUAUCAUUAAAACUCAAAGUUUUCAAUAGGGGUGGGCACUUAAAACCGAAAACCAAAACCAAAACACGAACCAAAUCGAACCGCACCGAACGGUUUGGUUUUGUGGUUUUGGAACGGUUUUGGUUUUGAAACCGAACCGCAACAUAGAAAACGGUUUGAUUUCGGUUUUGGCUUUUGAAAACUGCACCGAAACCGAACCGCACCGCAAAUAUUAAUAAACAUUUAAUUAAAUGUCCAUAUUAAAUUUCAUGUUUUAAUUGGUUGUUUGUUAGAAUCCAUGCACUUAGUAUGGACACAACCACACUAGAAUAUCAUCAUUCAUCACUUUCUUUCGUUCAUUAACUUGAAGGACCUUUGUUAUUUAAUACCAUCACACACACACACACAUAUGUACAAGGGUGGACUAAUCUUGUUAUCAAGAGUCGAACAAUGAUUUAAUGAAGUGCACUCAUUUGAAACAUGAUAUCACAUAUUCUAGUAUGAAAGUUUCACUCUUGUUUAAUGAAUUCAAAGUUAUUCAACUUGUUUUAUGUUAUACCUUGUACGGGACACCUUUUAGUUGCACAAACAUAUUUUAACAUAACAACUGCAUGCAACAUGCUAAUUGUUUAUAUAACAAAUGUAUUUUUCUUAUUACUACUGGGAAAUGCUUAUUAAUAUGUUAAAUUGCAAAUUGUACACUUUUUCUUAAAAACCAAACCUAAACCGUUUGAAACCGCACCGAACCGAACCAAACGGUUUGGUUUCAUUUCGGUUUUGGUUUCAAAACCGCACCGAAUCAAACUGCAAAAAAAUUUAGUUUCGGUUUUGGUUUCACUCAAAACUGCACCAAAUCAAACCGUGCCCACCCCUAAUUUUCAAGUCAUUUUCAUUAGUUUUCCUUAUAUUCUACGAGCGAGCUCCAUUCCCUUCAUCUCAUAUUUGAUAUUUUUGUUUUCAUCGACAAAGGAGCCCAACAAUAACGACGUCAGAGCAACUGAAGCAUAUCAUUGCAAUUUGCAACUCUUUUGUGAGCUUCCAUAUGCCCCAGGGUAUGUUAUUCACUUAUUCUGCACUCUUACUACCAUAUCUAAUAUCCUUCUAGAAAAUUUCUGGAAGAAAGUAUAAGGGCUUAUGAGCUACAUCUGACUUUUGUGUCACUUUUUUCUUCUUCUUAUUAUAUAUGUAAUUCAUACUCUGAGCAUUCAUCAUUAAACACAAGACCUCAAAUUCGAUUUCUUCCUCGACAAUUACAUAUAUUAAAAAAAUAAAAUACAAAAUGAAAGUUUUUUAUUUUCUGUAAAGCCUAUAACAAUUUAUUGAAAAAAAAAAUGAAAGUAUUCAACAAGUCUAUUACAAUAUCUUAAAAAAAUAAAAUGCAAAGUGAAAAUUAUCUAUUUUCUGUGUAGACGGGUCUAGGAGGGCGCCUCAGUAGGUCUAGGAGUCAUUUCUUAAUUUUUAAAUUCCUAAGCAUUAAUUGGGACGGUGGCCAACCGUCUAACGCCGCUGGGAUUUUUAGAACAAUGGUUAACGUGUGGACCCAAGACUUGUUAUUUUCGAAUCGUUCAAUGUUUGGUUAACGGGUGCUAAAAAUUGUGUGGUAUUUGUGUAGAGUCCAAUCUACUAGACCCAAAACAUUCCGUUCUUUUCGACGUGUGUACUUUCAUUUAACAACAAUUUUGUGAUACUUGUCAACUGCCACCUACAAAGAAUUGAAACUUUUGGUUAUCCUUGACACUGACAAAAAUCCAUGACAUUUGGUGGAAGAAUUAGAUUGAAUGAGUUCGAAAUUUUCAAUCAUAGAUUUUUGUUCUUGAACCAAAUUCUUUAAUUCUGUGUUCUUGCAAAAAAGACUCGAGAAGUAGGUUUCGGACUUUUGAAGUAUGGCCCUUUGUUAAACUGAAUGAAAAGAACAUAAAUUUAAAUUUCUUGAGUACCUUAUUUAGAUCUUGAUUUCUUUUGGCUUGUGGUUUCGCUUUGAAAACUAAGCACAUAGUCUGUAAAAUACAAAAAUUUAUCCAUUGCAUUCUUUUUUUCUUUUUCUGUUGUUUUGAAACUUGUCUAUUCUGUAGAUAGAUUGCAUACCAAGUAUCGAAGGCCAAAAUGGAGUCAGCUGCAUCACUAUUGAUUGGGAAAAUUGCGUUCAUUCUUGAGAACGAAGCAUCUUCCAUAGCGGCAGUCCGUGAUGAAGUUGAUGAGCUUAAGCUGGAGCUCAUAAGCAUGAAAUCUUUCUUAAUAGAUGCUGAAGGCAAGGAACCACAAACAGAAGGAGAGAGAACGUGGGUUACAAGCGUCAGAGAUUUGACCUGCGAUGCUGAAAAUGUCAUUGAUGAGUUCCUGUAUCACAUAUAUGACAAGCAAAGUGCGACUCCAUUUGCAAAAUUGCUCCACAGAACCAUUUACUUUCCAAAGAAUCUUUGGUAUAGGCAUCGAAUAGCCAAAAAAUUACAGAAAAUCACAAAAAAGAUCAAAGCCAUUCCAGAGAGGAAUGAGAGAUAUGGUGUCUCUACAAUAGAAGGAACAAGUUCGGAUAGUGUUCCCAGAUGGGUGAAGAACAAAGCCGAGUCUUCUCUUUAUAUUAUGGAAGAUGAACUAAUCGGGAUUGAAGACAAGAAGCAAACGUUAAUAGGAUUGUUGAUGAAUGGAGAGGAAAAUAAAAUGGUUGUGUCUGUGGUCGGGAUGGGAGGAUCAGGCAAGGCAACUCUUGUUGCCAAUACCUUCAACAACGAAAACGUAAAGCGACAUUUUGAUUGUUAUGCAUGGAUCACUGUUUCUCAAACUUAGGUGAUUGAAGACUUAUUCAAACAAAUGAUCAAGAAGUUCCACGAAGGAAGAAAGGAAGCGGUGCCUGAACAUUUGAAUUCCAUGAGUUAUGAAGAAUUGUUAGAGAUGUUGUCGACAUACUUGAAGUCUAAAAGGUACCUCGUUGUAUUGGAUGAUGUGUGGGAUAUUAAACUUUGGCAAGAAAUAAGGAUACCACUUCUUAAUAGACACCAUGGAAGUCGAAUCAUGCUUACAACACGAAAGAAAGACAUAGCAUUAUAUUCUUUUGAAGUUGAAAGUCGUCCUUUUGAAAUUGAACCUUUGGAAAACAAUGAAGCUUGGGAGCUCUUUAGCAAGAAAGCAUUCUCAAGUUAUGAUAACAAAUCUUGUCCACCAGAGCUUGAAUCAUUAGCAUGGAAACUUGUGGAAAAGUGUGAAGGCCUACCUCUGGCAGUGGUAACUUUAGGUGGUCUAAUGUCUUCGAAGAGGUCAUCAUCGGAAUGGAGAAGCGUAUAUAACAGCUUAAAUUGGCACUUGACUAACAAUCCUAUGUUAGAACCAAUGAGCAGCAUCUUGUUGCUUAGUUUCAACAAUUUGCCCAACCGGUUGAAGCCCUGUUUCCUAUAUUGUGCCUUUUUCCCAGAAGAUUGUCUCAUCAAAAGAAAAAGGCUGAUCAGGUUGUGGAUAGCUGAAGGGUUUGUUGAACCAAUUGAUGGGGUCACACCAGAAGAAGUUGCAGAGGGCUAUCUUUUGGAACUUAUUGUUCGUAGCAUGCUACAAGUUGAAAAGAAAGAUGCUGGACGACUAAUAGCAUGUAAGAUGCAUGAUCUUGUGCGUGAGCUUGCUUUGUCGACAUCAAAAAAGGAAAAGUUUGGUGCUACGUAUGUUGGCAGAGAAAUAGAAAGAGAAAUUAAUUCUUGCACAGGUAUGUCAGAGCUUAGCUCCUUUCUUGUCUUUGGCGCGUUAAAGAAAUUGCCUUCUGGAUUCAAGUUGUUGAGAGUUCUAGAUGUGCAGGAUGCUCCAAUUGAUAGAUUUCCAGAUGAACUAGUGUACUUGUCCAACUUAAGAUAUUUAAAUUUGAAGAGAACUUUAAUUGACGAGCUUCCAGAAUCCAUCGGACGGCUUCGCAACCUUCAAACCUUGAACAUCUGUCACAGUAAGAUAAAGGCACUUCCAAAAGCGAUCUCCAAGUUAGUAAACCUACGCCAUCUAAUCAUGUAUUGUUACACUGGUGAUUGGGCGGCCUUUAGAUCUCUCAAUGGGACAAAAACAGCAUCUGAUCUAAGUAAAUUACAGAAACUGCACGUUUUGUCAGCAGUUGAAUCAGAAGGAAAGAUUAUUAAAGGCAUCAGGAAUAUGACCCAACUUACAAGCGUCGGUAUUACAAAUGUGAAAGCAAGUGACGAGAUGGACCUCUGUGACUCCCUUCAAAAGUUAGAGCUCCUUCACGAUUUGUCUUUAAUGGCAAGUGAUGAAGAGGAGUUUCUUUGAGUUAAUGCACUACGUUCGCCUCCUCCAGACCUUCAAAAGGUUAUUUUGGCCGGAAAACUAGAAAAGGUACCUCUUUGGUUUGGUUCACUCCAUAACCUGACAUGUAUGUAUCUAAUGUGGUCUAGACUUGAAGAAGAUGUGCUACCUCACAUUCAAGCAUUGCCGAAUCUUGAAAUGCUUUCGCUAAUUAAUGCAUAUGUUGGCGAAAAAUUGUGUUUCUCCAGAGGCUUCAUAAAGCUUAAGCAUUUGCUGUUGUGCAGCUUCCCGGUAUUGAAUAGUAUAGCAAUAGAGAAAGGGGCGAUGCCAAAUCUCCAGGUCUUACGCAUUGGGAACUGCCUGGAGUUAAAGGCAUUGCCGCAGGGCAUUGAGUUCCUUGCUAACGUAGAACGCUUGAUUCUGUAUUAUGUUCCAAUGCAACUUAUAGAGUCCGUAAGAUGAGGCAUGGAUCGUCCAAAGGUACAACAUAUUCCUGAAAUCCACCUGUAUUAUGGGAGAGAAAAUAUGGAGUGUCAUAAAAGUUUUUCCGGUAUUCACUCUCGUAGAAGGUAUGCACACUUUUAUCCUUACAUAAAAAUUUGAUUAAUGCUAGACUUACCACAUUUUUUGUAUCACAUUUGUACCACCUUUUUUUAUAGAGGUAGAGCCCAUUGACAUAUGUGGGUCUUAUUUUUAUUAGAGAUGUGGUAUAAAUGUGCUAUGAAAAUAUGGUAAAAGUAACAUUUUUGUAAAAAAAAAAAUUCCACAACGUAAUCAUUUGAACUAUUACGUUAGAAAGUUAAAAGGUUGGUGAUUUUCACAGUCCUAUUUUUUUUUUCUUAUACGCUCCUCUUGUUUUUGUUCGUUAGUGUUUUGAUUUAUUCAAUUGUUAGGCUACGAAAAAGAGGAAAUAGUGCAUCGGAGUGUAAAAAUCAUUUUCCCUUACAAUUUGCUUGUCCAAUCUUAUAUAGAAGUCUGGCAAAGACAUAAAAUAUGCAUGCAUUGAGAUUUUAUUCAGUAACUGUGUUUCUUUUGUUUUGUAACAUUAGAAUCAAGCCUCAGAAGCACUUGUGAGACUGCAUUGAGUUCUCCUUUGUCCCAGUUGAUUUUACGGUGAAUCUUGACUUUCGUUAUAGUAACAGAGCUGACUAUAUACGUGUUGAGUCAUUUAUCAUGCAAGGAAGAAUCCGUCCAUUGUGUGUUGUGUGAAGUUGCAAACAUUGAUCGAUCUUGGUUUCUUAUUUGCCCUUUGUGAAAUGGAAUAAUGCCCAAGAUUUUAUUUGUGUAACUGAAACUUAUAUUAUUGAUUGCUUGCGUGUGUUUUGAUGUAAUACUAUUGGUUUGGAACUGAAUUUGUCACUGAUGAGAAUAAUGCUUAAGAUUCAGUUUGUGUAACAAGAACUUAUAUUAUUGUUUGAUUGCGUGUCUUUUGAUGUAAUAAUAUUGGCUUGGAACUGAAUCUGUCACUGAUGAGACCAAUUCUAACUAAACCAAUGAUUAUGACCCAUUUUUCAUUUUCAAUAUUUAUUGCUUUUUAUCAAGUUUUCAAAUAUAUAUUGUUUUAGGUAGGCAAAUUUUGUGGCGGAUCUUUUAGCUUACUAUGGUUUUACCUGAGAAAUUAUUAAAUGGUACGAUAUUACCACGUCGGCCGGUAAUACUUUUAUUCAAAUUUUAACAUGUGUGCAGUUUUUUACAUGCUUAUAGCUGGAUUAAAAAGCUUUUUUAAUUUAAAACUAUUUUUUUUUCAGUUUAAACAAAAUUAAAAGAACUAAAAAUAGGAGGCGUUUUGACAUAGAUGCCUAGGGUUUAGCUUUUAAAUUUUUGAGAUAAGGCAUUCUCCAAUCAAAGGGUUCAUAGGGCCGAAAAUAGCCCGAAAACCGUCUUCAACUGAGGACUAGGUCAAAGGGCUCGUGGGCCCCACUGAACAAAAAAGGGCCAAAAGGCCAACUGAUUGGCUCAACCCAGCUAGCCAACCCCAGGCCAAGCCAGAAAUUUGAAUACAACAGCUAUCUGACGUCAACUAGCCGUUAUAUUUUUAAAAAAUAUUUAACUAUAGACCUAAAAAGGUGAUUAGUUCAAUGUUGGGCGUUGGGAUGUUCAUUUUAUAAGCAUGUUUGGUUGCUCAAAUCUCUCCCACGGACGAUGUGGGACAAAUAUAAUGGAUAGUUUUUAAAUUUAAGUUGUUAUAGUUUUUAAAUUUAAAUAAUAAAUUAUAUUUGAUCAUAUGGUCCUCGAAUGGAGAUGAUUUUUUGUCACAUGACCAUGUUUAAUCCUAUGAUCCUCUGACCCUCGGUUGAAGAUGGUAAAAAAUAUAGUCCUGCACUAUUCAUUAAAGUAUUAAUUUCUUGGACGGCCAGACCUUCGGUUUGAGCUGAUGGAAGAUAAACACUUAAAAAGAUUAUGAUUGUAAUAUUGAGUAGAAUAUAUAAUUUAAUUUCGCUUCAGCAUAUAUAGAUGAAUUGAGGAUCUCACUUUUCCAGAACUUCUUGUUUCUCUGAUUUGCGUAGUAAUUUGUGCAUGGGUUUUACCGAUCGAGCAGGUUGUCUAUACUGACACUUACCAAGAUUUGUUUUUGUUCUUUUUGUAAACAGGAUAUUCUAGUUGGGUUACUGUGAUUAAGAAAGUGUGGCCGGAACACUACUUUUCCCGAACUCAUGGGAAAGUGUUCUAUUGUUCGUGAACUCCAUGUUUAUGGGACUGCUGUUCCAGUUCAUGGGUGGUGGUAUCCACACUUCCCUUUUAUCUUUUUCUCUCCUCUUAAUUUCCGUUCGUCAGUUCAAAUGUAUAGAAAAAGAUUAAAUAAUAGAAAUUAACAGGGAGUAUAUGAGGUAAAAAAUAGUGUGUCAAUUAUUAAGAAAACUGUUUCAUUGAAAAAAUAAUUAGAGUACAUCAUUGGUUUAUAUAGAGCUAUACAUAUGCCAACUAAGUGGCUAUACAUUUGCCAACUAAGCACAACAAUCCUACCUAUCCUACAACUAAUUACAAUAGAAAAAUCAAGAUAAACUAUCCUUAAUAUGCCCCCUCAAACUGAACGUAGGCAACCGAAGUGAUAGUUUGUCUCGAAGAAGUAAAAACCGAGAAGUGGACAGAGAUUUGGUACAAAUAUCCGCAAUUUGGUCUUGUGAACACACAAACUGAACAAUGACAGCAUUGGAAAGAACCUUUUCCCGGAUAUAGUGAUAGUCAAUCUCUACAUGUUUUGUCCGGGCAUGAAAUAAGGGAUUCUUGGCCAAGGAUAUCGCCGAAAUGUUAUCACACCACAAUGUAGGAGAACAUGGUAGAGAGACACCAACAUCAACAAGUAACUUGCAAAGCCAUGUAAUUUCAGCAACGGUGUUUGCUAAGGAGCGAUACUCUGCUUCAGUGGAGGAACGAGCCACGGUUGGCUGCUUUUUAGCACUCCAACUAAUGAGAGAGUUGCCCAGAAAAAUGCAAUAGCCACCUGUAGAUCUUCUAUCCAGUGUACACCCUGCCCAAUCUACAUCAGAGAAGGCAUUAACAGUGAGAGAACCUAAGGUUUUGGGAAACCAGAGACCAAGCUCAAGUGUGCCUUUCAAAUAGCGCAAUAUGCAUUUGACUGCCUGGAAAUGCGAUUGUCUUGGUUGAUGCAUAAAUUGACAAACCAAGUUAACAGCAAAAGAAAGAUCAGGUCGGGACCAAGUAAGAUAUUGCAGGCCACCGACAAUCGAUCUGUAUUCUUCUGGAUUAGAGAGCAAAGGAGAAUAGUGAUCCAGCUUAAAUGUACUACGAGGUGUAGCACAUGGUUUUGCAUCGGCCAUGUUGGUCUUGGUAAGUAGAUCAAGAAUAUAUUUAGUUUGGGAGAUAAAGAUUCCAGAGGAGGACCUGUGAACCUCAAUGCCAAGAAAAACAUGUAAGGGACCCAGAUCCUUGACCGGAAAAAGAGCACUGAGUUGAGCUAUUGUAUCCUUGCAAACUUGGGAAAAUGGAUCGGUGACUAAAAUGUCAUCCACAUAGACAAGGAUAAACACCAGAGAAUGAUCAUUUUUGACAAAAAGUGAAUGAUCAUUUUGUGAACCACAAAAUCCCAUAGAUUGAAGGGCACCAUGAAGUUUCUCAUACCAAGCACGAGGAGCUUGCUUAAGGCCAUAAAGACUCUUAUGUAACUGGCAAACAUGAUUCGGUUUAGUAGGAUCUUGAAAACUAGAGGGUUGCUGCAUGAAUACAGUUUCAGAGAGAUUUCCAUGCAGAAAAGCAUUACUGACAUCUAGCUAGUUUAAAAACCAGUCAUACUGAGAAGCAAGAGUGAGAAGAAGCCGGAUAGUAACCGGUUUAGCAACAGGACUGAAGGUUUCUGUGUAGUCCAAACCUUCCUAUUGAUGGAAACCUUUUGCAACCAACCGUGCUUUAUAGCGGUCAAUAGUGUCAUCAGCUUUCCUUUUAAUGCGAAAAACCCAUUUACAUCCAACAAGAUUUUGAGAUGGAUGAAGAGGAACAAGAGACCAAGUAUUGGUAUUGACCAAAGCAUUGAAUUCCUCCUGCAUGGCCUGUCUCCAGUGAGAAUGUUUUGAGGCUUGGAGAUAAGUGGUGGGAAGAAAAUCAGGAGAUAUGUGAGAAGGAAGAGGGUGUUUAGUGGCGGAAUAAGCCUUAGGCUUAAAAAUACCUGAUUUGGAUUGGGUUUGCAUAGGGUGAGUGUUCGGAGGUGGUAAUGGUUGUAUAGGUGAAGAAUGAGGAGAGAUGGAAGUGGGAAAGGUGGGAGAAAUGGGUGGGGAAGAUGAGGAAUUUUGAUUAUAUGAAGAGGCAGCAGGGUGUAUAGGUGGGGAAGAAGAAGGAGUUGGAGAGAGGUUGGUGAAGACAAGAGUGGAAGGGAUUGAAGAUGGAGGGGUAAGAGGUGAGUUUAUGACAGGUGAAACUGGAGAGACUUGAUGAAAAGGAAAGGUCAAUUCAUCAAAUAUAACAUGUCUUGAGAUAUAGACCUUGCGGGAUUGAAUGUCAAGACACCUAUAGCCCUUAUGAUUGAGACUAUAGCCAAGAAAGACACAGGGCUUACUUUUAGGCUCAAGUUUGGAAGCUACAUAUGGUUUUAACCAAGGAAAACACCUGCACCCAAACACUUUCAGUGUUGUAUAAUCUAGAGGCUUGUUGAAUAAAUUUUCCCAAGGGCAAGAUCUAGACAUGGUAGGCAAUCGGUUGAUAAGAUACACUGAUGUAGAUAAUGCUUCAACCCAGUAAACAUGAGGAACAUGAGAGGCAGCUAAAAGGGUUCGAGCAGUUUCCACUAUGUGGCGAUGCUUACGUUCCACACAACCAUUUUGCUCUGGUGUAUGAGGGCAAGAUAGUUGAUGAUGGAUACCAUGAUCAUUAAGAUAUUGAGUAAACAAAGAACUGACAAACUCACCUCCAGAAUCAGAUCUCAAUGUAACAACAUUAGUAUGUAACAAAGAUUCAGUAAGAGCUUUGAAUUUAACAAAAGUCUUGAACACUUCAGAUUUACAUUUGAUAGGAAAGAACCAACAAUAACGAGUGAAGUCAUCCAUUAUAAGGAGAUAAUAUCUACAACCAGAUACAGAGAGAAGAGGAGCUGGACCCCAAACAUCAGCGUGCAAAAGUUCCAAGGGUCUAGUUGUAACACUAGAUACAGAAACAAAAGGCACCUAUAGCCCUUAUGAUUGAGACUAUAGCCAAGAAAGACACAUGGCUUACUUUUAGGCUCAAGUUUGGAAGCUACAUAUGGUUUUAACCAAGGAAAACACCUGCACCCAAACACUUUCAGUGUUGUAUAAUCUAGAGGCUUGUUGAAUAAAUUUUCCCAAGGGCAAGAUCUAGACAUGGUAGGCAAUCGGUUGAUAAGAUACACUGAUGUAGAUAAUGCUUCAACCCAGUAAACAUGAGGAACAUGAGAGGCAGCUAAAAGGGUUCGAGCAGUUUCCACUAUGUGGCGAUGCUUACGUUCCACACAACCAUUUUGCUCUGGUGUAUGAGGGCAAGAUAGUUGAUGAUGGAUACCAUGAUCAUUAAGAUAUUGAGUAAACAAAGAACUGACAAACUCACCUCCAGAAUCAGAUCUCAGUGUAACAACAUUAGUAUGUAACAAAGAUUCAGUAAGAGCUUUGAAUUUAACAAAAGUCUUGAACACUUCAGAUUUACAUUUGAUAGGAAAGAACCAACAAUAACGAGUGAAGUCAUCCAUUAUAAGGAGAUAAUAUCUACAACCAGAUACAGAGAGAAGAGGAGCUGGACCCCAAACAUCAGCGUGCAAAAGUUCCAAGGGUCUAGUUGUAACACUAGAUACAGAAACAAAAGGCAAUUUGGAACUUUUACCCAUUGCACAAUUGGAGCAGAAAGUCUUAUUCAUACUAGUAGAAACAGGAAUACUAGACUGAGAGACAAGUUUAAACAAGAUUUUGAAAGAAGGAUGGCCCAAUCUUUGAUGCCAAACCUCUGAAAAAGCUUUAAUAGUGGCUGCAUAAAGCUUGUGGGAACCAGCAUUGACAGGAGCAGAGAAUUGAUAAAAUCCAUUUUGCACAGGGCCUUUAAAAAGCGUCCUCACCAAAGUAAGAUCCUUCACAGUGAAGUGAAAAUGAUAGAGAUGAAUGGAACACCAAUUAUCAAUAGUAAAUUGAUUGGCAGAGAGUAAAUCUUGCUUUAAAUCAGGAACAUGUAACAUAUUAUUCAAAGCAAAACGAUAAGAAAAAGUAUGUUUAUACGAAGAGCCGGAAUGAGAGAUAGGCAAACCUUUGCCGUCACCAAUAUAGACUUGUUUAGGGCCUGUGUAAGGUUCAGGAUUUUGAAGAUUGGCUAAGGAACUUGUCAUGUGGGAACUUGCUCCGGAGUCAAGAAGCCAUGAAGUAGAGCCAUGCUGAGAAGUGUUAGCACACAUAGCAGCCUGAGAAUUUCGGUUACCAAACUGAGGAUUCAGACGAUGGGGACAUUCAGAAGCUUCAUGAUCAUAUUGGCGGCAUAUUUGACAAAUGAGUCGUUUGCCAAAAUAGGAGAAAUCGGAUCGACCUCCACGAUGAUGUUGUUGAUUGGUGCGAUUGUUACCACGAUGGCUAGAGAAAUUGUUACCACGAUAGCCAGAGAAAUUGGUCUUGGUCUGUGAAGAUCUAGGAUUUGACUGAUUGCGAUCUUGAGAACGACCUGGAUACUGAUUGAAGUAAGAGGAAUUCUGAGCAAGAAAAGCUUGAGAUCCAUAAUUGGAGGUAAGUGUAGGCAGAAGACCAGGUGAUGAGCCAAGAUUCGAAGAGAAAGCCUGAAAAAUACCAGGAGAUGUAGUGGCUUUCUUGCGAUUCGCCAGUUGAAUUUCUUUGCUAAGAAGCAAGCCAUGAAGUUCAUUGAUUGUUGUAGAACCAAGACGGAAUUGAAUCGCAUCAACGAAAGAAUCAUACUCAGGCGGCAGGCCAUGGAGAGUGACAGAAAUGAGAUCAGAAUCUUCAACCGGAGCUCCGGCGCUGGCAAGAGCAUCAUCAAUUUCCUCAAUUUGCUGAAGAUAGGAGGCAGCAGUGGAUUCUCCUUUAGAGAUGUUGCGAAGACGAGAACGAAGUUCAUGAAUAUGCGAUUGUGAAGCCGCUGCAAGGCGUGAUUCAAGCUUGAACCAUAGCUCUCGAGAUGAAUUGACACCAAUAGUAUAAGGAAUCAAAGAUUCAGAGAAAGUUGAGUUAAUCCAGAUAAGAAUGUUUUGAUCAUUCUCAUACCAAGCAAUGUACUUAGGAUUCAAGAUCUGAUUUCCAGAGGCAUCUCGAAGAACUUUCGGCGGAGCUUCGAUCGAGCCAUCAACAAUUCUAGUGAGAUUAUAACGGCGAAAAAUCGGAGCAAACAAUGCGCUCCACGUGAGAUAAUUGGUGGUGGUAAGCUUGAUCGGAACCAUGGAGCCGAUAUUCUGAAUCGUAAUUAAAGCUGUAGAAGCAGUGCCAGAGGAAUUAGGGCACGAAGUUGUCACCGAAAUUGGAUGAACAAGUGCUGCAGAAUCAGAGAAGGGAGAAGCAGCAGACGCCAUUGCUGGAAAUUAGGGUUUCAGAGAGGGGAGGGAAGCGUAAGAAGGAAGACUCAAGGGAGAGGAGGAUCAAGAGGAAUUUGAGUCGUCAGACAAAGGCGAAAGAUACCAUAUUAAGAAAACUGUUUCAUUGAAAAAAUAAUUAGAGUACAUCAUUGGUUUAUAUAGAGCUAUACAUAUGCCAACUAAGUAGCUAUACAUUUGCCAACUAAGCACAACAAUCCUACCUAUCCUACAACUAAUUACAAUAGAAAAAUCAAGAUAAACUAUCCUUAAUAUCAAUAUCAACACCCUUUUUAGAUUGUUGUAAAUGUCAUCCAUUGAUUCACCUGGUUGGCUCACUUUCGUACAUUUUUGUUCGUUUGAUCUACUUUUGAGGACUUAUAUAGAACGGUUGAACGUCGCGUAGUGUUCUGGUUUAAUAAUGCACAUGACAAUAUAUUAUUAGAUGGAGUGUCACAAUGAUAAUGAACUCAUUUCAUAUAAGUUGUUUCUAUUUGAGACGUAAAAUAGUCAAUUCAAAUGGUAAAAAUAGAUAGAGAUAUUCAGAGUGACUAAAAUGAGACACAUUUUGUAAUUAUAAUUAAACUCUCCAAAUUUGAGCCACUUAAACAAUGUUGGAAAAUGACAUUUUCACACCACUGAAACGUCGUCGUCUCGUGUUUCUUAUGAACCAGUAAAGCCAUUGCCAAUUUCGGAAUAACAAGCUGACCUCCAUUAAUGCUUAAAUCAAGCUUCGCUCCCAUUUUCUCAACCUUUCCCGCCAAACGCCUAUCUCCGCCGAAGCCACCGCCAGACGCUACCUUCACCUGCUUCGCACACACAGCGCCAAAUGUUCGAAAAAAUGCCUCAACCAAAGCCCCCACCAUUAUUCUCCCGCCAUCCACUUCCGCCUACAUCCACCUCUCUUUCUGCCGACAGCGCUGUCACUAAUGCGACUUCACAAUCGUCGCCCUCGGCGCUGCUUCCGCCCAAACCGAAGACGACCCGGGAAUGACAAAAUACGUCCAGUUACUCUGCCGGGAAAUCAACGCCACGAAGGCCGAAAACAAGACCGACCCGCCUCUGGAGACGGUGUUUUUUGGCGGCAGCACGCCAUCUCUUGUGCCGCCAAAGCUCGUGGAUUCCGUUUUGGAGACGUUGAGUCUGAAAUUCGGGUUGAGUUCGGAGGCUCAGGUGUCGAUGGAGAUGGACCAGGGAUUGAUGGAGUUGGGUGUGAAUGGGGUGUCGUUGGGAGUUCAGGCGUUUCAAGAAGAGCUGCUGAAAGCUUGUGGGAGAGCUCAUGGCGUUCGGGAGGUUUAUGAGGCUACGGAGAUUGUUGGGGAAUGUGGGGUUGAGAAUUGGAGCAUGGAUCUUAUCUCUUCUCUGCCUCACCAGACCCCGGAAAUAUGGGAGGAGAGCUUGAGGUUGACGGUAGAAGCUCGUCUUACCCAUGUGUCAGUUUAUGAUUUGCAGCCGAACAAGGCACGAAAUUCAGGGGGUUGUAAGUGGAGCGAGUGAUGAAAUCUACGGUUUUAGUUUUGGAAUGAAUUUGGUCCUGAAGUUGGAGUUUUUUUGUUUGCAGGUAUCCACUAGGGGAGUUCCCGUUGCCUUCAGAAAUGCGGUCUGCUGAGUUCUAUAAGAUGGCGUCUAGGACGCCUUCGGAUGCAGGUUACAACCUCUAGAAAUUAGCAGUUACUGCAAGAGUGGAUAUCACUGCAAACACAAUCUAACUUAUUGGAAGAACAAGCCUUUCUAUGCUUUCGGCCUUGGCUCCACUAGCUACGUCGAUGGCGUGAGGUUUUCGAGACCAAAGAGGAUGAAAGAGUACACAGGUUAUGUGGAGAAAAUGGAGAAUGAUUUGGUGGAGUGCGGUGAGAGUCCUCGUACGGUGCAGGACAUGGCCACGGAUGUUGUUAUGCUCUCUCUUAGGACUUAAAGAGGUUUGGACUUGAAGUAUUUCGGAGAAGCAUUUGGUAGUAAACGAGGGAAGGGCCAUCGCUGCAGAUGAAUUCAACACCUUGCUAGUAAACGAGGACGAGACUGAAAGAAGUCCUGCCUACAUUCGGCUAAGUGAUCCAGAUGGUUUCCUUUUGUCGAAUGAAUUGAUAUCGCUUGCAUUUGCGGUUGUAGCUCCGUAAGCUAAGUGCAAUUCCAUGUACCUGCAGCGUCUGGUGGUAGAGUACUAGAGUGGAACACUAGCAUUCAAGUAGUUUCAUGGCAUCAUCAAAGCUGAAGGCUUUGUAUUUUCUACAUAGCAGAGCAUCAGAAGAGAGAUUCUACUCCUGCACCUAUCGUGGUCAUAGUCGACGAGAAAAUGGUGCAGCAGAGAACCAUGGCCGGAACAUGCGUCAUUCAAGUGAUAAGCGACCAGCUGAGCGUAUUCAAGAAACUAACAUGUUCAAGUUCCCGGCAAUGGGCGAGGCAUCGCGGAGAAGAAUAUGUUGAGGUCGAUUGAAACAUGAGUCGUAAAAGGAAGGCUUGUAACAUUUCACAUUUGUAAUCAAAUAUCAUUGGCAAAGGCUUGUAACAAAGUACCUGUUCUCUUAUAACUUAAGAAAAAUCUUCAAAUGUAAGAAAAUCAAUGUUCCCCAGACGAUGAACGACAACAAACUAUAGCCGUUGAAUUACAGGUGUAUGGAAGAAAUAGAUUGUUAGCAACUAGUUCUACUUUCGUCAUCCACCAGUGCCUUUAUUAAGGGAAUGAUACGUCAUGUCUGGAGCAACUUUGAAGACGAUGAUCAAGAAUUUGGCUUUCUUGCAUCAUUCGUGUGCAACAUACUCCUCUGUGUGACGUAUAGCAUGCAGAUCUACAAGAAAAUAUGUUGAACGGCAAGUUUGCGCCUGAAAUCCUAGAUGGUCAUUUCAACGACUCCAACUCCCUGAAUUUAAACAUAUGAAACAUAUAGAAUUAGAAAUUCGAGUCGCACUUUGUGAUUUACUUACACAUCUUUCAUGGUGGUAUGAACUAUCUAUAAAUGAACUUGUGUAUAGCUUACCAGCGACUACGAGGGUUUUGUUUUCUGCCCAACUUUUGAAAUGCGCCUAAGCUCUUGGGUUCCUUUCCUCAUCUCUCUGCAAAUUGCAAACAAAUUAGGAAAAUCCUGCAACGAAUCCAAAUGUGAAUUUUAAGUGUCUGAAAAAGUGAUACCUUUGGUGCAAAUACACUAUCAGAUAGAAAAUAGGGAGCAGCAUCAAAGUCAGUAUGGAGAUAGCCAGGUAGAAUACACUUAUAUGUUUCUGCAAAUACAAAACAACGCGACAACAUAUCCUCCGUGACUCAAAAAUCUUCAAAAAAGAAGGAAAAAUACAGAUAUAAAAAAUGACAGACAAUCCUUGCAAAACUGCAAUGGAAAAUAAGCCAGAAGAUUGAAACUAUGGCACAGUUCAUUCUUUAUAGCAAAAUCUACUGCAAUAAGAGACUGAGACCUUACCUUUCCUCCUCUAGGAAAAAGCUUCCGUUUCCCCGAGCAAGUAUGAGCAUGACAAAAUUGGUGCAAGAAAAACUCUACCAACAAAUCAAAGUGUAAGCACAAGUAUAAUAAACAAUAACCUAUCUGAAAUUAUAUCAACAAGAGCAAAAAGAAAUACCAUUAAGACGGCGGGCUGAAGGACUUUGAUUAAUCGGAAAACAGCUAUUGGCAAGACCCUACAUUAUAAAAGGGGAAAAGGUAAAAAGGAUUAAACAAGGUAAUGUACAAGAAUCAACAAUACAACCAAUUAUAGUGCCUUAAAGCAACCUCACAUAGGUGGUGAUUCCGUGCAACAGAUGCAGGAUUGCAUUUGGUUUUGCUCAACUUGGUAUUCAUCACAGCAUCGCAAUGCAAAGCUCCGCAUAAAUCAGCUAAGCACUUGCUGCCACUCUGCAUUCAUCAAAUUUUUUUCCAAAGAGAGAAAAAGAAAACAUAUAAGGGAAAGAAAAAUCAUACAUACAAUUAAAGAUAUAAUAGAAAAGAUAGAGAUCAAAUAAAUUUAUAAUCAUGUAUUGAUGUAUAAUGCAAGUAUGCUUGAAGCAGACGCAGAAUAGCUCUUCGGACUUUGAACAACUCCAGAUGCUAACUACCCUUCCCCAGAGUACCAAAGUACAAAAUACACAUCUUAAGAAAGGAAAGAUUAUCACUUGGAUAUUUCUUUAUCUGUGUUAUACAAUGCGAUCUUGUACAUAAGUUUAAGCCAUGUAAUUGUUCUUCGGCAAUUUUUAAGAAAUAGUUUUAUGAUCUAAUUUAUUGCAUCAUGCUACAAGCCUACAACUAAAAUGAUAACUUUAAAUUUGCUUAAUUAAUUUUUUGAAAGCACGUUUAUGAAACCCCAACACAACAGGGAACUGAUAAACAUGGACUAGAUGCAAACGCUUUUAAAAGAAAAGUUCUUUCAUUUGCAGAUAAGCUGAAUAGAGAUAAUUUGAGGUUUAUCAACUAGAAGAACAAAAUAUAAAUAUAACAGAGGAUAACAAAUGCAAAGAGGGCCAGCUGAAAAUGAAAUUACUUCUUGCACUAUUUGGACAAGUGUUCCUAAUUCCUAACAUAUUAAAGCAAGGAAAUACAGUCCACAUACUACAUUCAGAAGAUUGUAGUGUCUGUUGUCAAAAUGUUGAUCAAGAAACAUUUCAGCACGGAAGCUUUUCUUACAGUAUCCGCACUGCCAUUCGUUUAUAUCCAAAUGAAUCUUGUGCUCUUCCUGAUCUCUAAAUAGAUCAUUGUCGGGAUGAAGUCGACAGUUACUUGGAAUCUCAUAGUGCUCAUGUUCCACAAAUGGCAUCAAAUACUACAAAACACAAAUUAGAAGUAGCCUUAAGUAGACUAUUAUGCAUGACACAAUUUUGUAAUAGCACUCAACGUUUUGCCCAUACCUUCUCAAUAAUUUGCCAAGCUGCCCUGCUUCUUUCUCUGGAACAGUGCACUUCAUGAGCAUGCUCUUGCCCUUGUUCAAGAGUUCUAACAUAUAGAAACACGUACCAAGUAUAUAACGCGAACCAAAAGAAAGAAAUACUACAUUCCCAGUUGGAUAUGAAAAAUUGCCAAAUUAAUCUAAAGAUUAAAGCCGUAUUACCUUGAAGAUUCAGAUUUUUCAAAAUCCUGGAUCAAAGGAUGAAGAAAAUAACAUUAGCUUGGAAGGUCCAAGAACAAAAUACAUAAUUAAAUUCACAAAAGAAGUAAAAUUGAGCAUCAUAUGCACAAUUUACGAUAUGAUUCCAAUACCACAAGGCAUAAUUUAUUUUGACACAACGAUAUUUUAAACUAUUCUAAUCCACAAGGUGGAGGAUUCAAACUUGGGUGUGGGGUGAAAAGACAAACUGGCCUCACACGACCAUUCAAAAGUCGAGACGUUUUGAAACUAAUUCAAGGUAAAUUCAAGUUUAGGUGAAGCUCUAAAACCGCUUCUGAUCAAAACCUUUGCGUUUAUUGUUGAAUUUUGAACGUUUUAAUCUAAAUAGAAACACAAUUCGUAUAUCUUGCUACUCUGCGUAAAGUUCUCACCAUCAAAAACCAAGCCUUGAUCGGAUAAAAAUUAUUACUUUACAAAACCCACAAUCCAAUACAGAAAAUCGAAGCUUCCCAGCAAAACCCAACAUCCGAACAAGUAAAAAAAUGGAUCAUAUGCAUACAUAUAUAUAAAGAUAUUGAAGUACCUGGUUUGUCUGCGUAAGGGAGGAGACUUGGAGUACGCUGAAGGAUAAGAAGAGAAGGAUUGAAACAAACAGGUUGGUUUUCUUCAUCUCUUUCAGAAACGAAAGAGUUCGAUUGAUGAGCUUUUUUCUGGGCAAAAGCUAAAACUGAGAAAGCUUCGGGUCGGGGCGGGGGGGGGUGUGAAGCUGAAUGAGAAUAUGGGUCGGUUUGUUUUUCUAUUCUGCUCAAGAAUGACGCGUUUUGAGGAAAAUUUAUGCAAAAUAGCUCUCAAAAAACAAGUAAACUUUUAAUAAAAGGAAUUACAUUUUAAUUGUUUUUCUUCUAAGAAUAUGCUAACUAGUUAAUCAGUACUACGGUCAAGUAUUAUUCAUCUUCACUUGUGUGAGGUGAGUCAGCAUAAUGAGUUAAUAGGGACCGUCGAAUUUAGUUUGAGUGAUCUGAAUUUCCUACUCUUUAAGCUCCGGACAGUGAGAUCCGGAGAGAAUCUUUAUCCACAUUUUUGUACUAUAUUUGUGUUUUACCUAAUAUGCCAAGUAAUGUGUACAUGCCACAUCAAUUAAUAAAUUUAUCUCAUUCAAUGUUGAUUAUACGAAUCAUUUAUCAUUAUACCUUAAAGUAGUAUAAAUACGUAUUCCCUCUAGCAUUUCUCUUUUUCUUUUUCGUUUUUUUUUUUUUUUUAAACAUUAAGAAGAAUAACAUACUUCUGGAUUGUGUAGCUGAGUUGGAAAUCGAUUACCCUCUUGGAAUUUUGUACACUUGUAGUUGACCCAACUACGAGAAGUCGUUAGGAGUCAAAGAAGUAGUUUUCACAGCUUGUGGUACUUUGUACCUACAAAACUUUAUAAGGAAAACUAAUGAAAAUAGCUUGAAAACUUUGAAUUUUAAUGAUAAAGACAAAAUAAAGGAUAAAGUGAAUAGUACUAGGAUUGACUUUUUAGUGUAAAAAUGUGGUUUUUCGUUAAAGUGAACAGUACCGGGUGCUUUUCGUUAAAGUUCCCAACUUUAUAAGCAUAUUUAAGGACACUGAGAAGCCGGUCAAAUGCUUCCUCUGGUGUCACUUUUUUCAGCAGCAGUUUGAGCAUGGCCAUGAAGUUGAAGGAAAAGGAUUAAAACAGAAGGGCAAACCCACAAACAAACUUAGACAAAAUUGAUGUGAAAAACAGUAAUCCCAGUGGUUCACGACGUUAUCAUAUUCCACAACUAUCUUAAAAAUACACUCGAUAUAGCAGUACUGUGUGUACACCAUAGCGAACCGCUUAUCUUUUCUUCUUGCCUCUUUUUUUGGUACUAGUUUCUGGUUCUUGCUCUUCGGCCUUCUGCUCUGCUUCUAAUAUGGCCAACUGCACCAUUCACAGAAGAAUAUGAAACAAAAGAUGUCAAUUUAAUCCGUUUGGUUUCAGAAAGAAGCCUUGUAUAAAUCUUGAGACACAAAACCAAAACAUUACCUCAUCAAGAAUUGGUUUAAGCUCUCUGUAUCGAGCUUCAGCAAGAUCAAAACCGUCCUUACGGAGCUCCUGCGAUGCCAAGGCCACACCGUGCACAUCACAUGCACAAGAAAACAAAUAUCAGAACAGCAUGAAUAGGAAGUUUCUUCUCCUUCAAAAAUGCAGCCUACAGUAUAAUUGCUUCUUUGUUUUGUCAUUCCUUUUUUAAGGGUUUUAUCUUUCGAGGAAAAGAAAGAAACGGACCUUUCCAGUGUGUUGAGUAUGUUCAUGUGCCGCCAUUUGCCAGUACAUAUUUGUACGUUUGUAGAAUUCUCUCAAAGUUUCACCAGGCUUCACAAAAGAUAUACUACAAUAUUAGCUGAAAAAGUAAUGCAGUGAAGAAAACGUAAAGAAUGGUCAUAAUCAGCGAAACAAGUACAAACUAAGCCUGUAGAGUCUCAUUCACGCUUCCAUUAUAGCUUAAAACCUUCAAUAGCAAUUAAAGAAAGAAUGAAGUACCGUUGGGGUUCUUUGCGAAUCUGAAAGCCCAAGACUGGCUCUAAUCUGCUCAAUUCUGGCCCGUUUCUCUUUCCUUCGGAGACUCUUUCCCUCCCCUUUGAUUAAAGCAACAGCAUCCCCCAUCUGAAUCGACCCAUCCUUCCCAUGCUGUACACAAGAAAAAGUGAAGACUGAAGUAAAACAGACAGCUGAACAUUUUCCUUCUUCAAAAGUGACAGUACAACAGUUUUCAUUGAAAAACAGGAAAAUUCAAAGCAGAUGGUGAAAGAAUCAAAAUAAACCUUCAGCAUGUCUCGUAUCAUUUAGUAUAAAGUCUUGUAACUGGAGUCACAGUUUCACCAAAUUUUUAACAAAAUUGUAUACAACACUAAACUUUAAAAUUUUUUGUUCCAAAAUUGUUAGCCACAGAGAGAAGUAAAAAAAGAAGAUCUGACUGGUUAACAAAGGGAGAUAAUUAAAACAUUCACAUAAAAGGGCAGAAAAGUGUAUGAUUACUAUUAUCUUAACCACAAAAUCAAGAUGUAUUUAAUUACUAAAAUUUGGAAAACACAUCUACACUAUGUAAUAAGUAAGAACCUCUUCAUCAUUAUCAUCAUCAGUCUCAUCACUGUUACUAUCUUCAUCGCCUUCAUCUUCACUAUCAUCAUCGUCAUCCUCAUCCUCAUCUUCAUCCUCGGACGCCUCCACCCAUUCAGUUUCCGUUGCCUGGGUCAAGGGAAAAGCAGACUCAUGCUUAAAAUAAUGAAAUUCAACAAAAGUAAAGAUGCCCAGUUGUCCCAAUUUUUUUUUUUUUUUAAUUUACAACAGUAAUAGUUAUGUCUAGUGAUGCUGAGAGAAUUGAAAUAAUAAAAAUAAGACAAUACAACACUUGAAAAUAUUGAGACGAUACAAGCAAUUAUAUGUAGAGAAUACAAACCGGUAUGAUGCACUUCCACUCGUCAAGUUUGCUAAGAUUAAGAGAAUACAAAUCAUCAAGUGUAAUUUCUCGAUCUUUAAUCUCCAUCAUUCCCCCAUAAACAUAUAAUGUAUCUCUUCCAACAACCAUGCAAGAGUUGAUACGUCCACAGGGCUUCACUACCUAACAAAUUAACCAAAUUCGUGAAUCAAAUGGAUGAAUCCAAAAUGUUUGAGAAAGUAUAAACAAAAACAAAAUUAUGUUCAGCAUAGAAAACCUCUGGCAAAUCAGAAUCUUGCGAAUCCAAAUUAGCACUAGAUUCAUUUAUCUUCCCAUCAGAUUCGUCAGCUAACCCAUCAUUACCAACAGUAAUGGUUUUAGCCAUUUGAUGUGAUAUACCAUCAACUUUGCUUUCAAAGUCAUCUGCUUCUUCAUCAAUCUCAUUGUUCUCAUCUUUUUCAUUUGUCGCACAUUCCUCUGGCUCAAUUGAAUUUAUCUUAUCAUCAUUUUUACGCUUUCGUCCAGAACUCUUUUUAGGCUGCAAAAAUGAAUGUAAGGGAAGCUAUAUGUUACUAAAACAAUGGGGUUUCAAAUGAACUGCUUCCAUAUUAUUUAUUAAUAAAAUGUGAAAGUUCUAUGGGAAAAAUCCCUGUACGACAUUGAAAUCGGUACAUGUAUAGUUAUGAAUCUAAACGUUACCGGACCUUAUCUUUUGUUGACUUCGCCUUCCGUAGCUCUAAUGGGUACCUAUACAAAUAGAAAAUUGACUAAAUGGGAAGGAACUAUUGCACAUUUAAAGUUCAUUGCCCAUAUAAUUGCUCAUCAACAAAUUGAGAAAGUAAUAAUAAAUAAAAUGGGUCAGGAAGAGAGUAUUAUAUAUCAACUAGAGUGCAGCAAAAAAAAUUAGCUUGUAGCUGAUUGUUCAAUAAUCUCAACCUGUAAAAAAUAUAAAACACAAAAAAACUUUGGUGGGGCUUACCACCGAUGGUUGUCUAAUUGGAAGCCAUACAGUUCGUCCAAGAACAAGCUCAUCAUUACAUCAGCUGCAUGCAUCAGAAAUUUUUCUAAAAAAAAGGAAAAUAAAUCCACCUACCCUCAAAGGGCCAGUCGUAGCUUCAAGCGAGGACUGUAUUGCCUAGUGACAUAAGAUAGGUAGAACAGAAAAAACUAACCUCCAACUUCCAUGUCCACCACACCCCCAAAGAGCAAAGCUCGCUUCUUAUGAACACACAUAGAGAACCCAGCACGAGGUCCAGGGGGCAUCCCACUUUUCUUCACCUAUAAUAUGCAUUUACAGUUAUUAAAGAAAUCUCAAACUUACAAGCUGCUAAAUAUAAGUUGCUGCUAUUCAUCAUCAAAUAUGCAUGCAAGGAAAUUAUAAAUUGAGUAACCAGCAUACAAAAGCUUCAGAAUGAUGAACACAAAACCACAGCAUAGCUUCUACAAUGUAGUAAAACCUGCAUGCAUGCUAUGCUAUCCUAUCCAAAAGUAGUAUAACAGGUACUUUUACACAACAGAAUAUUCAAUAUCCAAGUAUAGAAGGGGAAGUAAAACUUGAGGUCAGACAAUCAUGUCAUGUUCCGUUUGUUGAUAAAUACACAGUAAUAAAAGAAAACUGUGGCACGAGUAAGAACCUUGUUCCAUUCCCAAGUCCUAGGAUCAAGGGACCACAAGUCAGAAUGAACAAUUCCUUUCUCGGAGCCAGUUUUAUCUGAUGAAACUUCUUUGGAAUAGCCACCAUAUAAGAAAAUCUGUCAUGUCAAAAAGAGACCACAAGGUCAAAUCUUUGAGGAAGUCAAGAAAUGAUAUGCAUAUAACGAAAUUGUUCUGAAUCACUCACUUCAUCCUGGUAAACGAAAAACUGAAACCCACUUCGGGCACUUGGCCACAGGGAACCAGGCCUAGGAGUUAUUUCUUGCCACUGAAAUGAAACAUUGCAGAAGCAUUAGUUAAACAUAUAUGUACAUAAUAUAAUGCACAUGAAUUUAUAAUAGUAGAUUAACACGACAGAGCAAGAUCUCUACCUUGAACUGAUCCAGGUCAAAUACAAAGAGAUCAUUAUGAUACCUGCACAACAAAUUAUUAUCAACUCCACAUUAGCACCCCAACUCCAAUUGUCAUGCAACAAUACAUUAUGGUUUGGGGCAGUUAAUAUGUCAAGAAAACUUCUGAAAUAACAAAGUUACAAUAAAACCAACUUCGCAACUAAACACAUAGUGGUUUGCAUCUGACCUUGACAUAGAAAAUCAACACAAAAUCUUGAGCUAAAUAACUAUGAAACUUCAAAAUGUUUAAAAAUCCAUUAACAACCUCACUUCUCUAAGCGUGUCAUAAAAGCCUCCAAAAACAAUAAUCUUGUGCUUGUACAGUACCUGUAAAAUGACCAAAAGCACAGAUAUUUAUAAAAAUCUCUCUUUAAAGGAAGAUUAGACUAAUCUUUUCUUGUUACUGUCUCAACACACACGCGCACAAAGGUACAUGGAAAUUAGACAGUUAAACUCCAUAGUAAAGGGAACAUCAAUCUAAGGCAACCUGAAUUUACCAUUCGAUGACCUGAGCGUGGACUUGGACUCCCUUUUAAAUUUAGUUGUUCCCAUUGAUUUGUUUUGAGGUCCAACAUCCAAAAGUCCUAUAGCAGCAGGGAAACAAAAAGGUGACAUUAUGAUAACAUAAACUAGAAUGAUAGGUAGUUUAAACAGCGAAAGCAGAUUUUACAAUGAACUAUAUUUUAAACAGGUUUUACCUUGUAGUGAUGAAACCUCUCUUGGUUUGGGGAAGUAAACUCACCACCUAAUGACAAACAAACGCAAUCAUGUUCAUGAUGCAAAAGAAUUAAAAGUGCAAGUGCAACACGUGUGUUUGUACAUAUGAACGAAGUGUUGCCAGUAUACCAAAGAUGUAGAGAUAAUUCUUCCAAGUGACUGCCUGGUGGGCACUACGAGGAGGUGGACUAUUGGGGCUCGAAAUUAACUUCCAGUCCUGCUUUUCAACAUCAUAGCGGUAAAGAUCACCAUACACAAACGUCUGCAGCAACAAAUUUGACAAAAAAAUCAGGUGAACAUUAGGUAAAGAUCAAAGAUCAAAUCCAUUUAGUUCAAAUAAAGCACAUAGAUUCUCAAAAAAGAUCAAGACCUUGUUUCCAUUGUAGAAUUCACCCCCAUAAAGGAUCAACUCUGUCUCUUUCAAGGGAUUGAUACUCAGCUACACAAAAACCAAGCACAAAAAUCCGAGAUUAACAAAGGGUAAUAAACAUUUACGUUCCCAAACAAAACUAAGCCUAACCCACUCAUCAGAAAUUUCUAACAAACACCAGCACAGACAUUACCGUGCAGUUGGACCGUGGAGAUGGAGCCGGGACAUUUUCCUCUACAUGGACUUCCUUCUUCUUAGCUUCUUCCUUUUGUAUACUUGACUGUCAAAAAAAAUGCAUAUCACACGACUUAAAAAUUGAAUCUUUUCUCCAUGUCCAUAUAAAAUGUAAAAGUCCAUCAGAUUAACUUCAACGUAUAAACUCCAAAAACAAACCAUCACUCUUCACCAUAUUUCUGUCAAUAACAGAACACCCUUUUGUUUCUGCACCGCCACAAAAACAACAUUCCAUAUAAUCUCACACUUUCAUCUAUCCAUUCAUUUCCAGAGAAAAAAAAAAACCAAAUUCGAUAACUUUAACUAUGAAUAUUGAAAACCCAAUAACCCAAUUAGUCAAAAAACUCCCAGAAACUAUUUCAGCAGCUCUCAAAUGAUCCCUAACACUAUAUAACAAGCACCCGAUACACACACAUACAUACAUAUAUACACAUGUACAUAUCUACCCAAAUUUUCCCCAAGCAACCAAAUUCAAAAACCUCAGCCCGAAUUUCAAAAACUCAUUAACUUAAUUGGUUUUAAACUCCCAGAAACUAUUCCAGCUGUUCUCAAAUGAUCCAUAACUCCAAGUAAAAAGCAGCCGAUACACAUACACAUAUACAUAUACGGAGAGAAUGAAAUUACCAAAAUGGCAUCGAUGUCGUCCUCGGGAGAGAGCUUCUUGGUCUCUCUGCGAGCUCUCUUCUCCUCAGCUUUCACGGUUUUCUUCUCCGUCUUCUCUUUUCCUUUACCUGGCUUCUUUGUCUUCUUCCCCAUUUCUCGGAACGCAGCCAAAGAGGCGGAAAGCAGCUCUCACAACUCACUACAGAGCGGUUCGGCGCGAGGAAGAAGACGAAGGAAAGAAGGCCUUCGGGUACGACACUAUGAGCGACUGUGUUUCUUUCGGCGCAAUGUCGUUUAUUUGGAUUGUAAUCCCCUGGCAGCUGGGUCGCUGGGUUUCACGCAUUCACGUUGUCGUUUUUAAAGCUGCGAGGCCCAGCCUAGAUGUGGGAAUUUGUUGGGCUGGGCCUUGUUUCGGCCCAACAUCUUAGUACGGCUCUGAUCCAAUGGGAUUCGAGAAUGUCACGUAUACAAAAUCUUCGUCCAAUUUUUUUCCUCCAGGAUCAAUCAACUACUACUCCAUGCAGAGGUGUAAAUUUUCUCGUUUUUUCUCGGAUGCCAAACAGAAUUUACUGCCCCCGCCUCGUAAAAGCCUUGUUAAUCCACCAAACUUACGUAUUUAGACUUUUACCGGUACCACAUUAUGCUUUUCAGAUAACAGCACUGAUUGUAAAUGGGUUCGAAAUCAAAGCCAACUCGUCACAAAGCAUGCAUUAGAGAUAGGAUCAGUGAACUUCCAGAUGAGAUUCUCUUUCACAUUCCUUCCUUCCUUCCUUCCAACAAGGAGUGCCGUACAGACCUGUGUUUUAUCACACUGAUGGAAACAUACGCGGGGUUUUGUUUCGAAUUUAGAUCUAUAUACAUUUGUGCUCACCAAGAUAUGAUUGGGGUCAUACUCCGAGCUUUGAAGAUGAAGUACUUCCCCCCUUGAAUCGUUCAAACGUUCAUAAAGUUCGUCUUUGAUGCUUGGAAUUGAACAGCCAUUGGGCGUAAUGUUGUUGAACUCGACCACCUACUUUCUGGGGUCCAGAUACCAUCCAAGAUUCUUUUGUUAACUAGUAGUCUUUUUCUAUGCAAGAUGUUGGAGGUUCUGAAACUGAAACUGACAUCAUAUGUUUCCAUUGAUCCUCCUACCUCCAUGUUACAGUACCAUACCAUCUUGACCCAAUCAAGAAGCUCUUUUCAUGUUGCUUUCUGCACUUGAAGAUUUAACAAUAGAUGGACGUUUUCCGUUGCCUAAAUGUUGUUCAGUCGUAACAUAACUGUCAAUGCACCUAAACUGAAAAGACUAUGUGCAUGAAGGCCCCUGUGGCAGCCAUGGUAUGCAGACCGAAUACGUAGGAUUUUUGCAGAAAUCAUCAAUGUCAAAUAUUUGUCCCCUUCAGCUUCAUUUUUGGGAUUCUCAGAUUGAACACUGACGUACUUUGCCUACAUUAAAUCAUUUGAAUCGCUUGGCGAGCUACGUCUUUCGGGAUGCUACUCUUGGAAAUCACUACCAAACGCGCUCAAGGUGUUGCCCAAAAAAAUAAAUUCUACUAUGAGCGUUAACCUGAGUUGAUAAUUAAUUAGUGUCCACCCGAGUUUGUGCCUGUCUGUUGUCAUGCCUCAAGACUAUUUACAUACGAAGGUUCAAGGGACGACCAGAUGGGUUGGAUGCGGCAAAGUGCUUGUUGAAGCAUGGUAAGGUUUUGAAUAAGGCGAAAAUUUAUACCUGUGAUCUUAGUAGAAAAUUAGUUAUGAAGUUAAGGUGGAAAGUUUCAAGGUUGUAGGAAGUUCAAAGAAUUGUAAAAUUGAAUGGAUCCUUUGAAAGUUGUGGAUGUACCUUUUCAUAUCGGAUAGAACAUGAAUUUUGUGCUACAAAAUUUUCCCUAUGAAAUCUGUUAUACUUCCUAAACACCCUUGUAAGUUUGCUAGACAAAGUUAGUUUUGCUAUAUUUUAUGAUUUAGAACAACUACUCCAUAUAACCAUGUACAAAACCGCGUCGGAUAUAUAGUUUUAGUUUCUUUAUAUCGGUCUCCAUACCCAAAAAAAAGCAAAUCCAAAUCGUCCCCAUACGACCUGAGUAAUCGCGCAAAACGAAUUUAAUUGGUAAAGUUUUCAUCGCCAACUAGCUGAGCCAUCUAGUCAGGGAAUGGGGUUGGCUGAGGGUAAGCUUGUGGCUGGACCAGCAUCAAAGUCACACUCUAUAUAAGAAUCAGGCAUAUCACAACACUAAUAUCUAUCCAAAAAAUCCUUGCAUCUUCCCACUAUGUGGCAAGUCGUAUUUUAAGUUCCUACUUCCGAAGACUUUGAAGGCCAGAACAACAAAAAAGACCAUGACUUUGGACCUUCUUCUUUUAAUUUGGCGUUAGGUAAAUGAAUUAGCAAAUUGGUAUUAAUUAGUAUUAGAAAAAUACUCAUCAUGCUCUUUGUUUUUAGGAAAUGCUAGUAACAUUUUUACCUUAUCCUUCUCAUUUUACUUUUUCGGUUCUUCUUCACAUUCUGCAUUGUUUUUUUAUGAUCGGAACUGUAUGUAUACUAGACUCUUUAAAGAUCAACUUUGCAAAAGAACAACCAAAUAAAAAAUCAUUUAACCGUUUGAUUACUAUUGUCAAAAUUUUCGUGUUUAAGUGAGAAACAUGGUUCGUUUAUUUAUUGGAUAAUCAUUAUAUUACUAAACGAUUUUGGAUUUAGUUUAAUUUUUGUAUAGAUGAUUUAAAAAGGCGAUCCAAAAAAUAAAUAGUUUCUAUCAUCAGACAAUAUUGCAAGAUGAAAAGAAAAGUUGAAAAAAAAUCCUCUUUUUAUUGAUUCAUUUAAUAAAUAAAUAAAGCAAGUGUUAUAAUUAAAUUUUUGCAUAGAUGAUAAUUAAAAAGUGAUCUAAAAAGUAAACAGUUUCAAUCAUCAAAUAAGAUUGCAGGAUGAACAAAAAGUAGAAAAAAACUCCUCUUUUUAUUGAUUCAUUUAAAGAAAAACGCGUGAUAAUUAACUUUUAUAACGCAUCAAUAACAGCUCUACUAAAUUAUCAUCUUUAAGCAGGUACAUCUUUUCCUAUAUUGAAUGACAAAAAAAUUGUUAAGAUAUAUACCCUCUUAAGUAGUGCUUCUUCCACCUACGCGGAGGCCUUGCUUUUGCUCCUCCCCUUCCAUUUGGGUUUUGGGUUUUAACUUUUUUUAAGUAAUGCCAAACCCUAACACUAACCUCUCAGUGUUUCUCCUUUUAAAAAGUAUCUAAAGUUUAAUCUUCACUUUCCUCUUCUUUCUUGUCUCUCAAAAGGAGAACCCACUGGGUCACUGCUGUUUCAAGUUUCCACACACUAUAUAAAAUUUCAGUUUUUGCGCAUGCGAUUAGGAAAAGGAGUUGUAUACAUGUAUUAGGGUUCAUGGUUUUUGAGUUGUAGCUCCUCCGAAAGGGUUUCGAAGUUAUCGAGCAAAAAAUGCCACCCCCCCACCCCUCCCCCCCCGGCGGGGCGGAUGGUGAAAACUUCUAUGAAACCAGUAGGAGUUGUAUACAUGUAAUUAGGGUUCAUGUUUUUUAAGUUAUAGCUCCUCCAAAGGGGUUUCGAAGUUAUCGACAAAAAAUGCCCCCCGAUGGAGAAAACUUAUAUGAAAAACCUUUGAUGUAUACUCUUUUCUAUUAGUACUGGAAGAAUAGUAAAUAACUUAGGUAUUUGUCGAUUUUUUUUCUAAAUUUGAAAUAAGGAGCUGCUAAUUUUUCUUGUGUUUAAUUUUAGUCAACUACCUCUGUGAACUUAAUUGGCCAAUUUUUCUUUGAACUUAAUUUUAGCCGAUUACUCCUAAACUUUUAUAAUUAGCCAAUUUUUUCCAGAACUUUAAUUUUAUAAUUGCAAAAGGUAAAUUUAUUUCUAAGUAAUGUGGAUAACAUAUUAUUUUUUCUUCUUUUUCUUUUCUGCUAGUUUACUCCGUAAACUUUUUGUUUGAAUUUUAAGGUUUAGGGUUUAGGGGGACUUAAAGCCCAAAGGAAAUUAACUAAUUAUAAAAGUUCAAGAGAUAAUAGGCUAAAAUUAAAAUUCAGGAAGAAAAUUGACCGAAUAUAAAAGUUUAGAGGGAUAAUUGGUUAAAAUUAAACUUCAAUGAGAAAAUUGACAGCUCCUUACAAAUUCAGAGAGAGAAAUCGGUCAAUACCACUAAAUAUAAUUAGCAAUUGCAUGAGGAGGAUCGCCUCUGCUCGGAAGCCCUGAGUAUUCUAAUGUAUAAGGUUUUUAACGAUAAUGUGUAUAUUUCAACUCUUGACAACACUAUUUCUCUCCUCCAAAACAUUAAUACUAAUUAAUUAAUUGAAGAUAAAGAUUAAUUAAGCUGCUAAUUUUGAGUACAACAUUUGAACCUUCGAUGGCUACCUAGAUUCUUUUAACUAGUGGACAACAGAGUGACAAUGGUUUGGCACCUUUUGUUAAUAUUAUUUAUUUUUUCAUUUCUUUAAUUGCAUGCGUUACUCACAUCUUUUAAUGUAUCAUAUACUUUAGCUUUUCUUAAUUUUAUUAUUAUUGGCUUCUAUAUACGUAUUAAUAAUUCAUUGUCCUCCGCAUUUACUUUUUAAAGGCUAUUGCCCACUAGUUACUUCAUAUUUUUUUGUUGAUAAUGUACGUCAGAUAUUAUCACUUAGUAUUACGGUCUAGUGAUAUUUCUUUUCACUUGUAAGUGAGAGGUUUUAGGUUCGAUUCUCGCCAACGACGAAUUUGAAUCACAUUAUUGCUAUCUCAUUGUGAGGCUAAGCUCACCCCAUCUCCCUCAAUGUAAAUAAUAUCGUUUGUUCAAAAAACAAAUGUACGUCAGAUAUUUGGUCUUGUACACUACAUUUUAAGCACACUAAACCAACAUUAAUUUUAAGAUUAGGAAGGUCUUUAGUACGAAUUGUAGUUUUUGUUUUGGCUUUUUAACCAAAAUGAUUUAUGAGAUUAGCGUAACUCUUCAUUUUGGUCUCUGAGAUUUGAAAUCGAUAAAAAUGGUCCGAUCCCUGAAUUUGUCUAUCAUCAAUCAUUUUGAUCAUAAAACAUCUUAAGCUAAAAAGCCUUUUUUUUUAUUUUUACACAGAGUACAAAUUGUAGUUUAAGAUUUGGAAAUCCCCACCACUAAGGGUCCACAAGACACAAGAUUCUUCCUUACUCUUAAAAUUAUAAAUAUAAAAACAUUUUCAGAUCUUUAAAAGAUUUAGAUUUUGGAGUUCUCAAGCUAGUCAUCAACAAAAGAGAACUAUAUAAAUAAAUAAGUAAAAAAUUAAGCAAAAACUAACUCAAAAAUCAAUAUGUUUUCUUGUUGGGGCCCAAGUUAGUGUACAGAUAAGAGACUUAGGUACAAGAUUUAUAUUAAUUUGGCCGGUCUCUCAUCGUUUAGUCGUCAAGGAGUCAUAUCUCUUCAAAACCCCAAAAUCUAUGAGGACGAAACCAGAUCAUAUCAAAUUUAAAGGAGAUUUGAUAGACGUUUUAUAGGUGGAUGAGACAUAAGAAGAAAGAUAUAUAUAUAUAUAUAUAUAUACCCUGAAAAAGUUGAUGCAUAUAUAUGCAUCUCCUGCAUGGUUGCAUGUCAUGUGCAAUGUUAUUAAAGAUAUAUAGUUAGGUGGGCACAAAGACGGAACUUGCUUCGUUGCUGAAUAAUUAGUAGGAAUUUCUGAUAAAUAACAUGUUGCUACUUAUGGUAUAUUUAAUAUUGCAUAAUUUAAAAAAAAAAAAAGUGAAUAUGUGUCAAACUGCUGAGCAGCCAACAUGACACAGUAGGAGUUCUUACUAAUUAUUCAGCAGCUAAGCAACGUUCUACAAAGACGACAUACGUGAUUAAGAUCAAAGUUUUGUUAUUGUAUGUAUUCAAGUUGCAAAUAUAUUUUGUUAUAUGAGAAAAUUUAUAAUUAAAAUUAAUACGUGAAUAAGCAUUACGCACUACUUCAACAGAAGACAAAUUUCUCGAGUUAUUGAUACCAAACUCGCACGAUUGAUUAUAACGCAUGCCUAUAAUUAGUAUAUUUAGUUGCAAUAUUCCCUUUUAUUAUCCAGCUUUCAAUGAAUUUGGGUUUAUUGAAUAAAAAUAAAUUUUGUCAACCAUUUAUGUUUUACAAAUUUCCCACAUUAUACCUCUACAAGCAUUGACUUUUAUAAAAUAUCCAAUAUAAAAUAGUACUUAACAAUUCUUUAAGAAACGAAAAACAAAAUCCUGUCAUGUUUUCUCUCCCACCACUCAAUCGAACUUUUCUUCUCUUCCUCCAGCAAAGAUUGUCAUCCCACAUACAGAGCAUAUUUAGCUUUUCGAAUAUGUCUUCGUUCAAGUUGUUCAGAAUUUAAGUUGAAUAAUUUCCAAAACCCCAGUGAGUCGCCACAAAAUACUGGAUCAUCACAUGUAUAAUAAUGUAAGAGGAGAGCCAUCAAAAGCCUCUCUCUUUUUUUAGCCUGGAAUAUUUGGAGAGUCAACUGCCAAAACCUAUAGCACAUCUUUCAAAUGCUUUUGGAACCCAAACGGUAUUUUUUCUAAAAGCGAUUUCAAUUAUUUUAAAAGCACUUCCAAACAAGCCCUAAAACUAUAAUUAUUGCAUAUUUUAUUUUAUCAAUAAUAAAUAUGUAACUACGUAUAGUUUUUUUUUUUUUGAACAAAUGAUAUUAUUUACACUAAGGAGAUGAGUUUUGUCUCACAAUGAGCUCGCAAUAAUGUGGUUCAAAUUCACCUUUAGCGAUAAUCGAACCUUAGACCUCUCACUUACAAGUGAAGAGGAAUACCACUAGACCGUAGUACUAAGUGGCGUAACUAUGUAUAGUUUGACUUGCCUUUUAAUCCAAAAUCAGGGAGGUUGCUUACCAUAAUAUAUAGUUAUUCUUUGUAUUAACUAUUUAAUUUUUUUUUUGUCUAUUAACUAUUUAAUUUCAAUUUGCCCUAAUUAUUAUUAGAAUCUCCCUCCAAAAACCAAACCACAUCUAUCUUUCCGAAAAAAAUUUCAGUGUGAUUGUCUCAUAUGGUAAAUCAUUUUAUUAAUAUUCUAAUACAUGAACCUAUAUUAAUGUUAUAGCAUGUUAGGUUAUACAUGAACCUAUAUUAAUACUAUACCAUGUUAAUCUAAUUACAAUAGGAAACAAAUCAUAUUUAGUAUUUACAACUAAAUACUAUAACUCAGGCCAGCAUACCAUAAGUUUAAUUGUGUUGUCUGUCUAUCCAUAUUAUAAUACGUGAAUUAAUAACGUACCAUGUACCAAUGUAACACUUGAAAAAAAGUUUAUCCAAUUCUUAUCCUAAAAGCUUUGUGACACCAUGUGAUGAAACGCUUGGAAUGCCCUACUACUUCCUAAAUUUCGGGUUUUCACACUUUCUGCCCUGCAUGGUGUGCCCAUUUGUCCUUAAAAUAUAUCCAAGAAGAUUCCCUUCCUAGCCAACUCAAGCAUCUUGAUACAAAAAUAUAUAACUCUAACCACCACCCUAGCAUAAGACACAAUUUCACACCAAAGAAAGAGAGAGACACGGAAAGAGAAAGAGUGGGGAGAGAUAGGAGAGAGAGAGAGAGAGAGAGAGAGAUGGGGGGAGAGUUCUGUGUAGCAAUGGGAAAUGGAGUUCUCACAAAGAUAAGUAAGUCAUGGAGCAAACUAGAGAAAGGCUUAAACGAUGGAGUUUCAAAGAGCAAAGUUGGCAAAUACUUUAAGUUAGAAGCAAGGAGGAGUUGCUUCACCAAGGAGCUACGUGCCGGCCUAGCCACGUUCCUCACCAUGGCCUACAUCAUCUCCGUCAACGCCACCAUUCUCGCCGACUCAGGCGGCACAUGCUCCAUCGCCGACUGCUCUGUCCCGGUGAACCAAACCGCCACCCCGGAUUGCAUGAUCUUCCCCAACGAAGGAUACCAAAACUGCCUUGCAAUGAUCAAGAGUGACCUCAUUGUUGGCACAAUUUUAUCAGCCAUGAUCGGGUCGAUUGCCAUGGGCGUUUUAGCCAAUCUACCCCUGGGGCUAGCUCCAGGGAUGGGACCAAACGCCUACUUGGCUUAUAAUUUGGUGGGUUUCCAUGGAAGUGGGAAACUGUCUUACCAAACUGCCCUAGCUGUGGUGCUACUUGAAGGGAUUGCUUUUCUUGCAACUGCUGCUUUUGGGCUUAGAGAAAAGCUGGCCAGGCUCAUCCCUCAUCCUGUUAGACUUGCUUGUGCAGCAGGGAUUGGGCUUUUUAUAGCUUUUGUGGGCCUUCAAGUCCACCAAGGUGUUGGCCUAGUGGGCCCAGACCCAUCCACAUUGGUUACAAUCACUGCUUGUGCUAACACAAACCCAGCAACUGGUGAGUGCCUUGGUGGGAAAAUGCACAGCCCAAAGUUCUGGCUGGGUGCAGCUGGGUUUAUAAUCACAUGUUAUGGCCUAAUGAAGGAGAUUAAAGGCAGCAUGAUAUACGGCAUCGUUUUUGUCACAUUCAUAUCAUGGUUUAGGGGCACAAGUGUGACAGUGUUUCCCAACACACAAAUUGGUGACACGGAUUUCAGUUAUUUCAAAAAAGUUGUUGACUUUCACAAGAUUCAGUCCACAGCUGGGGCUAUAAGCUUCACCAAUUUCAAUAGGUCUGAGGUUUGGGUGGCUCUAGCAACCUUGCUCUAUGUUGAUGUUCUUGCCACCACAGGCACAUUGUACACCAUGGCCGAAAUGGGUGGUUUCGUGAACGACGAAGGCGGGUUCGAAGGCGAGUACUCGGCGUACUUGGUUGAUGCGGGGUCAACAGUCGUGGGAGCUGCACUGGGGGUGACCCCUAUCGCGACAUACAUAGAAUCUUCAGCGGGUUUGAGAGAAGGCGGGCGGACGGGGUUGACUGCAAUAACCAUCGGUCUCUGUUUUUUUGUGUCGUUGUUUUUCGUUCCUCUUUUGUCUAGUGUGCCCCCGUGGGCUAUAGGGCCUUCACUUGUGAUGGUUGGGGUGAUGAUGAUGAAGGUUGUGAAGGACAUUGAUUGGGGGAAUAUGAAGGCGGCUGUGCCUGCUUUCAUGACCAUGAUUCUAAUGCCUCUCACUUAUUCCAUAGCAAAUGGGAUUAUUGGUGGCAUUGGGCUCUACAUUGCUCUUAAUCUGUAUGAUUAUUUGGUAAUCGUGAUUAAGUGGUUGAUUAAGAUGAAAAGAAUGGUGGGAAGAGAACAUAAUCAAGUGUCUGCAACAGCUCCUGUAGACUCAGCAAUUGAAAUUAUUUGAAGCCCUUUUUUGGUUAAAUUGUUGUUUUGGGGUGAUUAUCGGCGGACCCUUUUGUAAUAAGUAGCUUUUAUUUUUUUUAUUUUUUUCUCUUAUUUAUACCAGUGAUAUUGUGAAAGGGCAGACUCGAAUACAGGACUUCGGAUGCAUGAGCAAAUACUAACCUCUCAAUCAAUCAAUUUUUUAUAUUUUUAAUAUUUCAGGACCAACAUCCUUUUUGCUGUAAUUUAUGCAAUUUAUGAGACCAACAUCCUUUCUACCUACGACAAUUACACAUCAUGGACAAAGAUUAUGUUCCAGAAUUAAAAUAUUUUAACAGACAAAACCCAACACUCAGAAUCCCGGGCUUCUUGCUCCUGAUAGAACUAAAACUAGGUCAAACUUUGUUAGACUACAACCUAAUACGUGGUUCCUGCGUGCUGGUUUUGCAGCUCUACAGAAAGAGUAGAGCUAUUUCGACCAUCAGAACUGACCAUCUUGCGUAUUACUUCUCUAGUAGAGGUUAAACCCGCAUGUGUGGACCCCACCUCUAUUAGAGUUACGUAAGGUGGUUUGUUCAAGAUGAUAUAAAUAACAAUACUCCCACGGUACAUACAAAAAAUCACAAAAAGUGUUGUAUCAUCUUAGGUUCUAAUUAUAUGGACGCUGCAUAUGCGUUCAGACGCAUCUUCGAUCCCAAUAGCACACGUAUCUCCCGGUUGAAUGUUGUUUGCCUUGCUGAAAGCUUCCCAACCACUCGACAAAAUUUUGGAGAAACAAUUAUCAAUGUAGAGGACUGGCCACAAUCUCAUUGUUGUGUCUCGAAGGAAAAUUACCCUCCUAUCUGGUGUAUGCCUUCCCCUGAUGGUCAUGCGUAUUGGCAAGCGCACUGGCAGCUCCUGCACAAGAAUCGAAGGGAGGUAAGAUAAGUCAAGCAAAACCUAAAGAAUGCUCGGUAUCCAGUAAAAAAUGAUCACAAGCGCACUGGCAGCUCCUGCACAAGAAUCGAAGGGAGGUAAGAUAAGUCAAGCAAAACCUAAAGAAUGCUCGGUAUCCAGUAAAAAAUGAUCACAAACGCAAGGCGAAUGCAGGGCUAGGACCUCGAUCAAACAGGGCAUAUCCAUUAUAACAAUCAGCUUGCUGAUGAACAUCUCCAUAAUUAGAAGUGUAUAAUUAUCAGAUGCACCGUUCUGUGAAAAUGAAACACUAGUGUAUGUGUAAUACAUAAUGAUAAUUAAGCGUUCAAGUUUCCACAUUGAUUUCUCUAUUUUUGCCCCAAUGUCCAUAUAUUGAUCGAAAGUAAAACUACAACAAUCGAUUGAUUGACUCUACAAGAUUGUGUCAAACUAACAGAACUCUGAAUAGAUAAAUCAAUAUGUCAGCCUGUUCGGGCCACCAGAAAAACUUCCUAUAGAAGCGCAUGAUUAUCAGAUGCAUCCUUCUCAAAAAUGAAUUGAAAGCAUUUGGAAUGAGCUAACAAGGUUAACAAAAGAAAAGCAUGUGUUAACAUGAAGUAGAAGGAGGUAGCAGCACCAAGAAUCAGUCAGUCCAUAAAUUUAUCAUGUCGAAACAGAGUAAAAGUGAAUGCUAGGAAGGUGCAAAGAAAAGACAUAAAAUAUGUAAGGGAAUUAACUAACAUACUAGAAACGAUUGACUGCCUACUGCCACCAAACAGGAGAACGAUGAGCUUGGAAAGGUUUCAACUUGAUCGACAGGUUCAGAUUUUAUCACAGGCACAGGAAACGCAAUGUCCUUUUCUCUUUUAAUCAUAUUAGAAAUCUGACUACACACUGCGUCGACUGGCUCGAAUGAUUUCCCUGCAUUUAGAUGUACUGUAAUUAAUUUGGAGUGAGAUAUCCUACAGCAAUACACACUCAUGCAUUCUUCUGCACAAACACAAAUAGAGCUUCCCUUAAUUAAAUGAUUUUAUAAUAAUAUCAUACCAUCUAUUUCUGGUAUGAUUUUCUGAAAGCAUGGAUCUGAAAUCAAAUCUACAGACUCUUUUUUAACAGCCUUCGUCAUCAUAUCUGUUCACAUCAGAUAUUCUUUUGGUAUUAAUAAAUGACAUUUUUCCAGAAACGGAGAGGUUCUCUAACAAUUAUGCAGGGACACAUAGCAUUUGGAAGAAAGAUCAGUAGAAUGACAGAAAAAUUUUGGAAUCCAAAUGUAACAGGAAUACCAAAAGACUCUGGAGGAGUUCCAGUAAAGUUCUUUUUAGCUCUUUGAAAACUUUCAUCGAUCAAAUCAUGCUCCUUUUUGGAUGCUGCCACCUUAUUGCCUGCCAAUGAAAUUGAGAAUACAUAACAAACAAAAUUAAGAUAUUGAACACAAAGAAAACUGUGUAUACUACAGACAUUAUACACUCAGGAAACCGACAAUCCAACAGAUAGGAGCAAGGAAUUAACUGCGUCUUGCCUGAUCCGUCAGCAUUCAGCAAUUCUAUUAUAUUGUUUACAGUAUAAGAGACGCUACCUGUAUCAUUAGGAUUCACAGCAGCUGUUGGGAAGAGAUGAUGAGAGGUCUUGUUGGUGGUUCUUGAAUCAUCACCAGAAGGUGAUACCUUUUUCACUCUGGCUUCAGAAGAAUUAUUUUUCUCAGUCCCAUCAAACUUAUAUGCAUCCGAAGGAAUUGCUAUAGUCACUGCUUCUCUAGCCACUGGAGCUUUAUCAACUAAACUAGCCUCACCUCUCAAUCUUAGUGAUGAAUCAUCAUGACUUGAGCAUGUUUCAUCCAUCGGAAUUGCUGCAGUCACUGCCUCUUUAGCCACUGGACUUUUAUCAACUGAGCCAGCCUCGUUUCUCAAUCUUAGUGAUGAAUCAUCAUGAGGUGAGUAGGUUUCAUCCAUUGGAAAUGCUGCAGCCACUGCUUCUUUAGCCACAGGAUUUUUAUCAACCGAGCCAGCCUCGUUUCUCAAUCUUACAGAUGAAUCAUCAUGAUAUGAGCAUGUUCCAUCCCAAACAACUACUUCGUUGCUUCCACCAGUGCCAGACUUCAGUUCCAAUAGUUCAAAAUUCAGUGAAUCAUAUAUACAGCUUCUGUUGUCUUCUUGUUUGUCUCCCAGUUCUCUAUCGAUCAUACAGAUCAUAUCUUCAAUGUAUUCUUCUUUUGGCUUGAGCUUUGGCAUUUCAUUACUAUCAUCAUAGUUUGAAGCAUUUUCUGUUGCAAUUGUACAUUCCCCCUUGUCAUUCAUAUUAUACAGGUGUUGAUCUAUAACUCCAUCUGGUUCUUUCAGCUUAAGCUUUGACCUUUCAUGACUAUUAUCACAGUUUGAAGCAUUUUCGGUGACCACAGGUGCUUUCGUCUUGGCAUUCAUACCAUACAGAUCUUGACCUAUAUCUUCAUCUGGUUCUUUCAGCUUAAACUUUGACCUUUCAUGACUAUUAUCACAGUUUGAAGCAUUUCCGGUGACCACAGGUGCUUUCCUCUUGGCAUUCAUAACAUACAGGUGUUGAACUAUAUCUCCAUCUGGUUCUUUCAGCUUAAGCUUUGACCUUUCAUGACUAUUAUCACAGUUUGAAGCAUUUUCGGUGACCACAGGUGCUUUCGUCUUGGCAUUCAUACCAUACAGAUCUUGACCUAUAUCUCCAUCUGGUUCUUUCAGCUUAAACUUUGACCUUUCAUGACUAUUAUCACAGUUUGAAGCAUUUCCGGUGACCACAGGUGCUUUCCUCUUGGCAUUCAUAACAUACAGGUGUUGACCUAUAUCUCCAUCUGGUUCUUUCAGCUUAAGCUUUGACCUUUCAUGACUAUUAUCACAGUUUGAAGCAUUUCCGGUGACCACGGGUGCUUUCCUCGUGGCAUUCAUACCAUGCAGAUCUUGACCUAUAUCUCCAUCUGGUUUUUUCCGCUUAAGCUUUGACCUUUCACGACUAUUAUCACAGUUCGAAGCAUUUCCCAUGACCAUAGGUGCUUUCCUCUUGGAAUUCAUAUCAUGCAGGUGUUGACCUAUAUCUCUAUCUGGUUCUUUCAGCUUAAGCUUUGACCUUUCAUGACUAUUAUCACACUUUGAAGCAUUUCCCAUGACCAUAGGUGCUUUCCUCUUGGCAUUCAUCGGAUCCAGAUCUUGACCUAUAUCUUCAUCUGCAUCAGACGUAAGAGAGGUGCUUGAACCCUGUUUGUCCAUCAAACUGUUAUCAACUGUGUGGCAAGGACCAUCUUUGACAGAGGAAUUUUGGUUAUCCCACGUCCAGUUCUUCUGAUUCAUGGCCUCAGGAAACUUGAGUUUCUCACACCCUGAUUUGUCACAAAUCUUAACAUCAAAAUGUGAAUCCGUAACAUAAUUGAAGAAAAGAAGUUCUCCGACUUGUAGGUCAUUGUCUAAUGCAAAUGCAUUCCAUCCUUGUUGAAAAGCAAGGGAGCCAUCAACUCUGGAUAUCGUAACUUUCCACUGCCACCCUCGUGAAUCUUCAAGAACAGCUUUUUUAUUGACCAAUGCUGACACAGUAGGAGCAAACUUAGGAGGCAAGAACUGCAAUGAGAUGACAUGGUAAGCUUAGAAGGGACAAUCUCUACCAUCAUAGUGCAAAAAGGGAGUAGCGGAAAUUAUAUAUUACUAAGUAAUAUAUACUUAUCAAACUCACAAGAUAAUGAAAAAUUAGUUAAACCUUUUGCGUGAAUCUCUCUACAGUAUACAUCACAUUGUUUACAUAAUUCUAGAAAGAACGAUACAAAGUAAUUUUCGAUGUUUAAAAUAAGUACUUCCUACGGGAAUGUUAUCCCCAGAAAAGAAGAGAUACUGUUGAAUUUGUUUGUCAGUUUGAUGCACAUACUAAAAAAAGAGAGCUACAAUCUACAUAGAACAUGGGAAUAAAAAUUAAAUAGAUUACAAUUUAGUAGGGCGGGGGGAAGAUGGAAAAUUUAUCGUACCAAAACUUUAGAAAGCUGAUCUCCGAUCAUGAUUUUGAAAAAAGAGGCGACAACAGGUGAAGCUUUUUUCUUGUUCCCAUGAUCCUGCAAACACUUCAGAGUACAUUCUGCACAAGCUUCGAGCUUACUACCCAUCACUUCUUUCGCUCUGUUGAAUACUUUACCACUACAACAAGGAAAAAAGAUAAAUGAAUACGGUAUUCUAAUGAGAUAGUAAUGUCAUAUAAAAUCAGCUUUGCAGAAACAUCAUAAACUUCAAAGUGAUGUCAGCAGUUCUUCUGAGAGACCACGCUAAUAUGAUUCAGAGCAGGAACUUGAAAUUCCUGGCUCUGUUGAUCGUUUCCGCUAAGUUUCUUUUACUCUAAGCCAAGAUGGCUGGAGAACAUUAUGAAGCUGAGUGCUCGAUGGAUGCUCUGUUGAUCGUUUCUGCUAAGUUUCUUUUACUCUAAGCCAAGAUGGCUGGAGAACAUUUACUCUAAGCCAAGAUGGUUGGAGAACUUUUACUCUAAGCCAAGAUGGCUGGAGAACUUUUACUCUAAGCCAAGAUGGCUGGAGAACAUUUACUCUAAGCCAAGAUGGCUGGAGAACAUUAUGAAGCUGAGAGCUCGAUGGAUGCUUUAGCUCUACCUAACGUUGUUCAAGUUUGCGGCACGAAGCCAUUUCAAGUUUGUUUGUUUGCGGCACGAAGCCAUUACUGUUUGUUUGCGGCACGAAGCCAUUUCAAGUGGGAAUUUGGUAACAUGGUGCAGCAAGAAGCAAAGCGUUAUUUUUACUAAACCUCUUCCUACGGUUCAGUUCAUGCGCAUUAUGUCCAAGCUUGGCUCAAGGAAUCCCCUCGAUCCAGCUUGAGGGGGAGUGUUGGAAUGCAUGCAAGUCAUAUCUUUUGUUAAAAUGCAUGCAUGAAAUAAACAUGUUGGAUGACUAGUGAAGUUAGGCUAGUCAACCUUCUUUGUGUAAAUUAGACAAGUUAGGCAAGUUAGGAAAUUAGGCAAGUUAGGCAAGUUAGACUUAUGUUCUCUUUCUUUUCCUAUAUAAUGUUUCAUCUUGUAAUUGUUUUGAUAUGAAAUACACAUCAAAAAUUCAACAU
rnacentral:lncRNA from 1 species